GAAAAUUGGAGACUGACGGAAGGAAAGGGGUUCCUCCCUUCUCCUUUAGGGGAGAAGCUUGGUUCCUCCUUCUCCGCUGAGAGGGGAGAAGAGCUGGGUUCCUCUUUGAAAACUCUUUCCGUAUAGGCCAGAAAACAGCUUGCUUAGAGAAAGACUGACUCUCCUACGGACCUGGUGGACCUUACAGUCGAGUUAUUGCAUCGAUCUCACAAACUAUCAAUUUCAUAAGAGAAGAAAGAUCGUUUUUAGAUCAUCAAGUGAGGACAGGUAGUAGCUCUGGUAGAGCGAGGGACUGAAAAUCCUUCUGUCUGCGGUUCGAAUCCGGACUCACUUCUAGCUCUGGCACAAGUUCCUCAUCCUUAGUUGUUUGAUGAGCCUGCGUAGUAUUAGGUAGUUGGUUAGGUAAAGGCUGACCAAGCCGAUGAUGCUUAGCCGGUUAGAGCAAAGGACUUGAAAUCCUUAGAGCAAAGCCAGGGACUUGAAAUCCUUUUUGUGUCAGCUCUUUGGAAGUGCCUUUUCCUUUACUUCAGUAAGGAGUCUCAAAAUAGGAAAUACCUAGCUAGCAAAGUAAGCAAUAACGGAAGGUAACGAAUUCUCCGUUUCGAUAUUAACAAUCCGGAUCUAGGGAAAGUAGGUUCCCGCAUCACGUAAAUUUCAUUUCUUUUGGGAAAAUAAUACAUAAACCUUUUGAGUCACAGCCACCUCAGCACAAGUUACUCGAGUAGCACAGAAGCCAUCAUCAAUAGCUUGCUUGCCUGGGAGCUCAACCACGAAUUCUCUGUCUUCUAACCUUUCUAUCACUUGAGGAUUAUCUACGCAAUUCGUAAAUGAUCAAACUAGAUAGUCCCUUAUCUUACUGGCCAGUAGUAGAAGGGGAUCUUGAAUCAAAGAGUUCCUGUCCAACAAGCAAGGAAUGUCAGUCAUAAAUAAUGAAAUCCAUAUAACUCUACUCCGGGUUGUGAGAACAUCGUGCCUGUUGCGAUUGUGUGGCUUUCCGCAUGGUUGGAGACCCCCUAUGAACAAAAAGUAGGGUGGUGUAGGAGAACCCCGACUCCCUAAUGCAAGAUAGAGCUCUUAGGGUGCGUUUCGUCUUUGUCAGGAAGAAAAAAGUGGCAAGAGGAGUGUAUCCAUACCCGUACCGAAGAGAUCUUGGGAAGGCAUCUCUAUAGAUUUAGUAGUUGGACUACCAAAGACCCAGACAGCUUCAAGGUUAGGUCUUCAGUGUUAGGUCAGUUCGAGGUCAGUUGUUCCCUCCGUACUGUUGCUAGAGAGCUGCUUUCCAUCUAUCUUCCUACAUGAAAGGAUCUAAGUCUAUCCAAAUAAAAUAGCCCAGAAAAUGACAGCCAUCAAAAGGCGCGCAGCCCAUAUAGCCUCGGCCUGUCCAAAUGAUGUUCAGCGGUCUCUACCCAAGUAGCUGUGGCCCAUGAUCCAAAGGACCCGCAACCAGUCAAUCAUGCUAUCCUUACCUUCCAACCAAUUGGCCAAUCACGCUAUCCUUACCUUCCAACCAAUCGGCCAAUCACGCUAUCUCCUUACCUUUCAACCAACCCCUUCGAUUCCGCUUCUGCAGCAGUAUAUAAUCUCGGUCCCUUACCUUGAUGCCUACAGCUCAAUUUGUUUUCCAGUGAUGGCAAGAAUCCGAUCCGCGAAAUACUGCUUUUUCUUUUUUCUUGUGUUGUUUCUGAAUGGCAUCAUAGCUACACGAGGGAAAGCGAUGCUGCCCACUCUGCCGCAAAAGGGGGCCGCUUUCUUCCCCCCCAAAAUGCCAGUUCCACCAUCAGGGCCCAGCAAGCAGCAUAAUUCUGCUCCUCGAUCGGACUUCGUGCAAUUCUUUUAUAUGUAAAUAAGGGAGGGGUCUCGACCACAUUUUUGAGUAAUAGUAAUAGGCUAAGGCGGAUUCGUCUGCUUCGCUUACGUAGUCAAAACAUUCUCGCUGGACACCUGGUAAGGAAUAUUUGUAUAUGCGGGAAAGAUACUCUCACCUACAGCUCCCGUUACUAGUAGUUCCGGUUAGCCCACUUGCCCGAGCACACUCUCAACUUGUAGAUGAUCCAACAGAAAAAGCAAGAGACCACGAAAGCACGCAUGAAAACAGCCCUUUUGAAAGCAUACCCAAGGCACCCAUCCAAUCUGAACUUAUAGACAUCAAGAAGAAGAUCUAUUAACACGCAUGGCUACCUAUAUAACAAGUUACCUCUGACCUCUUCUGAAAGCAUUUGAGACUUCUCGUGCUGAAAAAGAUAAUUUCAUUGACCUACGGCACGGAAGGAAAGCACCGCUGCUAGCUCGCCUUGUCCACGGAACUUAUCCUGUUGAGAAUCCUAUCUUGCUUGACUGCGCUGGGAAGUCUUUCCUUAAAGCAUUGAUUUUACUUGGAGUAUCCGCUUAAGUGAGAAAAGGAACUUGAUUUAGCUUGAACCUUGAGCCGUAGAAGAGGACCUUUCAGAAGGACGGCUGGCUUUAGCCCUUGAGCAUGGACGAGAGUGAACCUAUUUAAAGGUUUACUGUAUCGUUUACUGGUGAUGGGAAUAUGUAAUAUUGUUGUAGAAGUUUCCAGCCUCACAGGCUUUAGAUUGAACUAUGGAACCGAGCGAAGACCUUUGAGAUUGAGAUUCCCCAGUCCACUUAUGAAAUGGAUCCGAAUUAACCGCUUUCGACUGAGAUGUAAAGUCACCUUCGCUUUUGCUUUUCGUAUUCUAUGCGGCUUUCUCCAACUCUAAUCUCAGGUUUUUCCUUCUCUAUGAACUCUAUAGAUUGAUCCACAAAGAGAUUGUACCUAUACCUACUUCAGUAUAAGUUUAUCCUGAACCCUAUGGCACUUCGUUGCUUGCUCCAGUGAGCUACCUAUUUAAUGAAAGGGAUAUUUUUAUCCUUUUUCAGUGUGUGUACACGCUUGAAAGCGGAAAAGAUGAACUCAGACUAAUAAAAGGAAACGGAACUUAGAAAACAAAACAACUAAGGAUGGGCUCUCCGGUGGAUGAAACGACCCCUAGGAGUCCCUUCGAUUGGGUGAGGGCGAAGCAAAUCUACAAUCCUUAUGGGAGGAUGGGAGGCCUACCACAAAUAUGGGGAUGAAAACAGGCAAACGGUCUCAUACGUCGUAAAUAAGCAUUCUUAAUGUCAAGUUGGUAGAUAGGCCAUAGCUGUCGCCAACCAAGUCUAUUAGAACCAUCACAGUUUAAAAUUUAGUAAGCGAAGGUCUCUUUAUCAUCCUUCCCAAUCACUUGCGUCUACCCUUUAGCUACUAAUGACGCUUUCUAUCUCUCAAUAGAACCAUCAGGAUGAGACUGGAUCUUAUACAUUAGAGCCUAUAAGCCUUUGUAUUAGGUGGUAAUGUCCGAAGUCUUCUUGGAUUUGAGUGCACCAAUUUAUUUUUGCAUGGCCUCUUUGGUCUCAUUCUUUUUCUGAGAAGAAGGUUCAGAGACAGCAAGAAGAUUGUUCAAAGAAGCUAGAUAGUCUGCUGGGAAUGUGUGUCUAUUAUGCAGAGGAAUUGAAAGAGAAUGUGAACAGAGAAUCAACAGAAAGUUUCCCUUCUUCUUUGGUACCGUAGAAGCUUGGCGAUGUGAAAAGAUAGAAUUCUUGAACGAGCGAAGAAGCAAUCGGGGCAGCGUAUAGCCUUAGUCACGCGCAUCCCUUUCCUGCAUAAAGAUGAGCUAGAUAGCACGGCUUUGAAAGAAAGAUAUCUGAGGCAAUUUUCCAUUCACCUUUUCUUGCUGGUCAAGAUAGUAAGCCGAGACUUCUGUAGUAGCUUUCUGUUCCUUGGAUAAGGAGUCAGUUGAAAGUGGUGAAUAAGACCCGCAAAUCCCCCUCUAAAUGGUUUUUUCAUUUUCAAUCUGUAAAUUCAUGAAGUCAAGAAGUGUAGCCGAAUCAAAUAGUUGGCUCUAGUCUAAUUGACUACUUGGAAAGAAAAAAGUGAUUUAGUGAAGUCUCUUUGAUGCGCUACGAAGGUCAAGCAGGAAACAGGGAAGCCCUUUCGACCUAAGCCAGGCUAAUAGGUUGAGUGACCAGGAGAGUAGACCAGAGAAAGGUUAUGUAAUAGAGGCAAUAGUGAGCCCCGAAGAGUGCUUUUCUAUUCUUCCCCUUAUUCGCUACGUAUUCCUUUCACUGGGAUUUUUCAUCGCUCCUAAUACUAUGACAAGGCUCGCUUAUGGCUCGCUCCCGUGGCUCUAGUAGUAGUCCAUUUUAUUCAGAAUUAUUCUUUCUUUUUGUUGAUGGUGCGUUGGAAGGGACGAAAGGAGCUAGUGAGCAAUGACAUCCGCGCGGGGAAUAGGCUUGCUUCUUCCUAGCGAUCGGGCGGUCCUCCCUCUUCCUGUUCACCGCCGGUUCGCCCACUGCUGCUUUCAUAGAUGUCGUGCGAAGGGACAGAGCUAAUGGAUGCCUAUUCCGUUCUCCUGCUCCUGCUCCAGCUCAAGAGUUCAAACGGACAGAGGAGAGUCCUGCUACCGAAAAAAAAGUGCAUAAUAUUGGAUUCAAACAAAGGGGAUUUAUUCACGAAUACGAUUUCUAUUGAUUGAAAGCUUUCCUAUUACUGAUGGCAAACGGGCGAGACGGAGACCGUCGAAGAAGUGCCUUGACGCGCCGCAGCCACUACUUUGACUCCUUUUAUGCAAUUAUGAACUCCACGGAACUUUCUCGAUUCCAACGCAACUUAUCCUUUUGGAGCUGACGUAACAAACUAGGCGAGCCUCCCAACGAAGCCAACAUAAAUCCUAUCCGAAUAAAAAAAAUAAAAGGCAGUUUCAUUAUGGUGGUAUACCAACCUCCUGUUCUGGAACUUCCAGUUCCAAUCGAAGCAUAUAGAUCCGUAAAUAGAUUUGUAUGUAUAGCCACUUCAGCCGUGCUCGUCCUUUCUCGAAAGUAUCUUUUUUCUGGGAACAUGGUUAACCAAAAAUUAUUAUGUUUGCGAUUCUUCAUCCACCAAUGCAGAAAAUGCUCAAGUUUUCCAUUCUUAUAUGAGGCCGGAAAGUUUAUUAGCAAGAGGUCGGCAUGAAGUGAUUCAUCAUGCUCAAACAUGAGCCGAUCGUUCGUUAGGGACGGUUUAUAGAUCAUCAAAUUCCCACAAAUGGAAUGAAAAGUGGGUCCAUGUAAAUGAUCGAGACCUCGCAAACAACAACGUUCCUUCCCCAUAUGGAGUUCGUAACCCAAAGGCAAUCGUUGAGUGAACUGUAUCUUCUUUGUGUUAGUUGACCUAAGCCGCACCAUUACUGCUGGGGUGGGGCUCGGCCUCCGAACCGUACGUGGGACGAGUUUCUGCCUCAUACAGCUCGGGCCGAAGACCGGGGGAAGUUUAGGAGAGAUGGGGAGACCCAGCAGCUGCCGGUCGGGGCGGGGGUAAGCUUGUGAAGAAGCGAGCUUAUCCCCCCCAAAAAAUCCUAUAGCGCUAGCGCUUCGCGUUCUUUCUAUUUUAUCUAUCUCAUUUCAUUCCGGGAUAGGCGGCUAAUACUAAUCUAAUAAGUGAAGUAGUCGUCGUCUGACCAAUUGACUCGGACACCAGACCGCUCGUGCCCGCCCAUUCUGUCUCGCCCUAAAUGGAAUGGCUCUCUUAGUUACGCUGCACCCCGACCCGAGUCCCCACGUCCGCUCUUCUCCGUCCGCAACCUAAGAAGUUGGCUUUGCCAACACAACAUUAGGGCCGUCCCCUUCAUUCUAUGCUGACCCCGCCCGGCCCGGGGCUGGCUUUUUGGGAAGCCCGUUCCCACCGCGCUCAUGGCCCGGCUGGCCUGCCAGCGGUAGUGGGAAUUAUCCCGUUCCCUGGUCAAAGACUUGGUUGGAUGCGGGAUCUACUCCACGAGGAGCGGUACGGACGUAGAUGAUAUCAUCACGACCUCUCUUUUCGUACCGCUAGGGAUGCUUAACGCCACUUCGCCAACUAGCGUUACCCGCGCUUUCGUGUCUCUCAGUGUGGUCAGCACUGGGUGUUUCCGAGCAGCGAAGCUUACACCCAUUCGCAUUAGUUCAUCCAAAGUUCCUUACCCUUAUGCACGAAUUUUGGAAUAAGCCAUCUUCCUAUCAAGGUUAAGGAGUCAACUGAGCAUCUCAGCGGCGGGAUUGAAUACCCGGAUCGAAUCAGAGUUCACGCCGCCCGCCCUGAACAAAUAGGAGGCGUGGGCCACAGGUCGCACAUAAGCCGCCGGGUCGCACGACAGAAGAACACCCAACAUACAGAUGCACACUCCUCCAUGUGAAAUAUUCAUCUUCAUUGGAACCUUUUGGUAGUAGUCGUGACCAACAGCCAUAGCCAUCAGCUGUCGGCUCCUUGGUAAGGCGAGAGCUUCAAGCCCGAUUUCUGGUGGCACGCCCCCCACACAAGCACCACCCAACUCAGGGGGGACGGGGAAAGCUAGAGGCCCAAAACCUUCGACCCUUCUUUCUAAAUCUAAAUGGGGGUGCCCGGAGCACCUCAUCUUGUCAUUUCGUCGUUGCUCAUUCCCGUUCGGCCGAAGUGUUUGGCCUUUCCUUCUCCGCGCCCGCUCACGCUUCGCUGACCUAUCGCGUGCUAAAAAGAGGAAAGUACGAAAGAAUAGUAAACAGAGCACACCGCAGAAAGAUUCUAAAUAUGAGAAGUCCCCCUUGGAUUCGAGAAGACGGAAAUGAAGAACGGGAACGAAAAAAAAUAAGGCCUUUCUAGCUCUAGUUUCAGAUGAGCUUCUCCCAAUUAUGUCUGGUAAUAGAAUAGGGCGACUUGCUCUGACCAAGACUCCACUUUUUGCUCCGUCCAUGGAGCGUAUGAUUUUCCUUGAAUGUAGAUAGACCAAAAGAGGGAAUGAAGAGAUAGGAAUAGGAAUUAUAGUACCAUUGGAAAAAGGGGCACCCGUGGGAACAUCUCUACUGACGAACCAUUUCAAUAGUACGGGUGCUGCCGUGCCACAAGGCACGACCAUAAAAAUAAUAAAAAAGAAAAAGUUAUGUAGUUGGACCAUCUGCUCUAUCCGUUCGAGUUUGGCUUCUCUAAAGAAGAGAAGGCGCUAAAAAUGAAAAUGUUCGCAAGGCAUACCGAAAGGAUACCAAUGAAGCCGACCAUUAAUGACUAGUUCGAACACCAGGAGCGGAAGGAGGGACUUGAACCCUCAACCUUAGCCUUGGCAAGGCUAUGCUCUACCAUUAAGCUAUUUCCGCCAGCUACGGUAGUGGCGAAGCACUACUGAGCAAUUCACGUAUUACUUGAUACGGACGACUUCCGUUUUUCCGCCGGACCACGGCUCUUGACCUCCGAUCGAGCUACGAGCACGAGUAGGUAGGCGGCAUCUGUCUUUUUUUUUUUGAAGUUGAGUCAUUUCCUUUCCUAAGACGGCUCCUCUUAUUCUACGAUAAUCCAAGCAGCAGCUGCCCGAGUCCGCUCGGAACCAGUCGAUUCCUGAGCCUGGACUCAAGGUCUCUCCUGCCUGCGAGUUUGCUGCGAAUGCUGCGAGUAAAUACAUGAACGAGACGAGUGAGUUAGUCUCCGAGCGAAUCCGGCGGGUCUUUCAAACAUCCAAGUUGCCACUUUUCAGCUACUUGGAAUGCAUGAGACCCCUGCAUUUAGGAAUCUUAGGUUACCUCCAGCCUUCUGAAGCGAGUUGACCUUCUGUUGACCUUAUAUCUGUCUACCUUAUAUAAUAAUGAAUAUGAAAGGAAAGCACUAACUCCUGAGCUUGGGCAAAGUUGGCUAAUCGAUUUAGACUAUUAUAAUAGAAUAAUAAAUCCGCGACUUGGGAAACCCUUUCUUCAUUCGUUUGGCGGGAAAGGAGAAACCAUUUCUUCAUUCAUUGGCGAGAAAGCAUUUCGUGCCUUCGUCCUAGGCUCGGCUACUUCUUUCUCAAAUAAGACAAAGAUUGCACUAGACCUUGAGCCCGGGAAGACCGCUACUAGCCCUUUACUCUAUUGGAUUGAUUUGGUCGAGACCCGGUUUCUCCUUCCUAGAAACCUGAAACUGCAAUCCGCGAACGACCGCUUUCUUCCUUAUUAGCCUAAUAUCUUACUCUCGGACUACAUUUGUCUAAGAGCAGUUGAGGAAUCUGCAACUGAAAGAAAGGAAUCAUGGAAUCUGAACCCAAGGUUAAAAAAAGGGGAAAGAACUACGGAAAAGGUUCUAUCACGUUAAUCGUCACCCACUUACGCUCCCUAGCCAUCUCUGGAAUUGAACUUCCUCGGAACAGCUACAAUGCUUUGAAUUCCUCUGUGCUUUCACGAACAAGCCGAAUAACCUUCUAUUUCGGAAGAGGCAUUCUGAUACCAUUCACCCAUAGAUGAUAUUGAGAAUUCUCAGGUUGAAAGCCCAUCAACUUAACGCUAUCUGGGGCCAUUCAGAAAUUAUAAUCCACGAAAGGAGCCAUCACCGGACUCGAGCCGGGAGAACCUUUGAACAAUACUGGCUGCCUUUGCUCGUUGACGACUAGCCUUUGUUCUUUGACCGAGAUGUCGACCUGAUCACUUUUCUCAAAUUUCAGCAACAACAAUAAGAAAUAGUAGAGCCUUCAACGGGACAUUCGAACGCAACAAAGGGUUUCUUGACCGCCUUUGAACGACAACUCGAUAAUAGAAUAGAAGACUUUCUUCGUCGACUUACUCGCUCGCAUGACAGCAUUUAGUGGUCUCUUCACUGGCUUAGGCUAUAUUGGGGAACGCUCGGCUACAAGAUUGAAAAGACCGAUAUGAUAGCUCCACGGCCGGAGCCGAUACUUCUCUCUCAAACCAUUACCUUUCCCCGCCACAUUCUUUUUUGACGGAGAGACGAUUCAAGAGGAUCCAGCUAGGCUGAAAGCGGAGGAUUCUUUCUUUACCUGUGCCCCGGACCCAAGCUCGGCUGAAGGCAAGGAAUUCUUUCUAGACUGACACGCAAGCUAGGCUGAAAGCAACCCGGGUUACAGCAAUGGGGAUUCUCUCUUCAAUUAGAAAUGAUAUUAUAUUGGUGACUACUCCCUUCAGAUUGAAGAUUUGAAAGAUAACACGCCCACCGCCGGAUACUCUUCACGUGCUGAUACCUAUAUUGGAUUGGUGAACAACCCUGGAGUUUAGGACAUUUGAAACUAUAGAAAGACCUUAGCCGCUUUUAUGAUAUAGUCCUGAAGACCUAACUCUUAGAAAUGACCUACUAACUCAUCGACAAAGAAAGGACUUCGCCUUGACCUUCUGACCUAGACGUCGAACCAGUGCCUUGGAUUCAUCAACAAAGGGAUCAAAGGAACUCAUCUGUCCCUCCAAACGGAAAUCUUGGUUUUGUAAUUUGAUCUCUGACAAAGGGAGAGGGAAAGAAAGACCAAUCCGUAUCUUUGAAAGAAAAAGAUUCUCAGAAACGCUACCACCGAACAUCGACUUACUCGGCAUCUUCGGAUUCAAGCAUUUCAUUCGUUCGUUGGCGCAAAAGCCUCGUUUGGCGGGAAAGCAUUCAUUCGUUUGCGGGAAAGCAAAAGCGUUCAGCAUUGACUUCCUAAAGCGACUUCUUAGCGUGCUUCAACAGCGCCCAGAUAAUGCCUUGACCGGAGCCGGAGGGAGACCUAAACAGAAGAACGACCUCGCAGUGGCAACAUAGCCCAUCCUCAACUCAUACCUCAGAUUUUGAACCAUACUUUGAGUCCUCAAACUUUGAGAUGGACUGGACCAACACUCUUCUUUGAGAUGGAAUUCCCACCACUCUUAUUUGACAUGAACUGUAACGCUACUCUUUCAAAGAUACCUAACAACCUUAGCUGGCAUUGAUCACUCUUCCUUCCCAAUCCCUCCAUUUAGAAUUGCAAACAUCCCAACUUCCAGAGCUACCUAUGAGCCAAGGGCGGAGGGAGAUAUAUUAGACUGAUCAACUUCAAACAAAACGACCUUCCUGGACUCGCUUUCAUCUCCUUCUUUGAAACGACUCAAAUAAUUGAGUGGGCAUUGGGAGCCUUAUUUAAUGGUGGAUUCCUGAGCUAUGAAUGUCUCUGAAAUCGUGAUGUCAAAAAGGAAUGAUAUGCGAUUAUUAACUUGCUUCCUUCCCUCUAAUUUUCAUGCAGUAGUUGAAUUUUUGCACUCUUACCUGGAUGCGAUUUUCCGCCUUGAAUAGAUGGAGGUGUUUUCCACCUUGAAUUGAGAAUUUUUGCAUGCUCGAUGGGAUUUCUGCCUUGAAUUAUGAUACAUUUAUUAUGAAUUUUUGCAUGCUCGAUCUGAUUUCCUUCGCUGUAUGGGAGUGCAUAGGCCUAUUCUAGCAUGGGGUUUCUCGGGGUAAGGCUUGUGCUUUUCCUUCCAUAUAAGACUAGCUAUGUGCUCCCUCGGUACGCCUGUAUUCCUUUCGUGGAUUGGAACCUACGUACUGUUGUAUUGUAGCGUGAUGUUUUCCCACUGCUUUCUGGCUUGACUCACAUAAAGUACGUGCGUAACUGGCACUAUCAUGUAGGUGCGAAAUCUGUCUUCUCCUAUGUCUUGUUCUCCCAGUUUGAUUCCUAUGUUUCGAAGUCCAGCUAAUUAGUGAAGGAAAGUGGUAUGGAUGUUUGGAGCUCAAUCCAUCGAAUUCACUCGCUUCUUUGCGCUGCGUUGUAGCUCUUAGAUUAUUGGGAGGAGGUCAUUUCGAAUGUUUUGUAAUUUGGAAUCGUUUUUUCUUCAAGGCACGGCUUCUUGAAUCGUCUUUGUCUUGUAGAAUGGUUGUCAUCUGGAAUCUAACUAAAUAGUUAGUUAAGAAGACGCGUGCUUUGUUUGGUUUUGAUCUGGAAUUUCACUAUAAGAUAAGAUAAGAGUGAAGUGCUUUGUUUGGGCAAUCUGCCUCCCUAAAUCUAGUGGAGGUCCCGGUCCCGCCGCUCCUGUUUGUAAUGGGGCCGCUUUGUGCCAAAUGUGUAAGUUGUUUUUUCAAUCCGUUCUAACUGUAAUAAGAGAAGAGGGAAGUCCGUCUAAAGAAAUUAGUGAAGGAAAGUUAUAUGGAUGUUCAUUAGUUCAGUAAAGUGUUAGUAAUGUUGCUGGGAGUAACCCUUUGAUCUGAUCUGUCUUUGUACGUGUUAUCUUGCGAGGCUGUCAGGUUGGCUUGUGAGGAUGGGGAGAAAGCGGGCCGAGAAUCUUAUGUCAAAAGGACCAAGGAUGAUCUUUUCGGAAAGGAGGAGUAGGAGGAGUCAGCUUAUUCUAUAGAUACUGUAAAAGCCAACUCAUGUUUCCACUCAAUUUUCAUUACGAAGAUGUAUCACGUCAAGAUCCGUUGCUCAAACCGAAUCACGCCAACGUUAUGGAAGUUCCUGGAUCGUGUGAAAUAAGAGUAGUACCAAAGGCACCCUAUAAUUUCAUAAUAAAAAAUGGAAAAUUGGCUAUGGAGAUUCCGCGCGGUCAGAAAUUCAUACAGACACAAAGGGGUUCGACAGGAAAGUCCUUUCGAUCUAAUCCAUUCUUGGGGUCAAAUAAAGACAAAGGAUAUGUAAGUGACCUAGCACGACAAAGCACUCUCCGAGGGCAUGGAAUGUCUAAUUUUUCGGUCAGAAUCUCGACAGUAAUGUCUCUAUUAGAUUUUCCGGUCGAAAUACGGAAAAACUCCAUUCAAUUCUCGAUGGAAACGGAGUUUUGCGAAUUCUCCCCGGAACUGGAAGAUCAUUUCGAGAUCUUCGAACAUAUUCGGGGGUUCAAUGUGACUAUUAUCACUUCGGCCAACACACAAGAUGAGACUUUACCACUGUGGAGCGGUUUUUUGCAAAAAGAUGAGGGGGAAACUCAGUAAGAUGUCGUAGAAGCAAAAUAGUAGAGAUCACAAACGUAGAUUGCUCGCGGCUAAAUUUGAAUUGAGACGAAAGCUUUAUAAAGCCUUUUGUAAAGAUCCCGAUCUUCCUAGUGAUAUGCGGGACAAACAUUGUUAUAAGUUGUCCAAGUUGCCAAGAAAUAGUUCCUUUGCACGAGUCAGAAACCGAUGUAUUUCCACGGUCGCCCUCGUUCUGUAUCUGAGUUCUUUCGAAUUUCUCGUAUCGUUUUUCGUGGAUUAGCAUCUCGAGGUUCUUUGAUGGGCAUAAAUAAAUCGUCUUGGUAGCAACCACCAAACCAAUAGAACAAAGAAAGGUUAGCUCCGCAGCUGGUCCACAAGCAAGGUAAGUAAGCCCAUUACCAGCCGGCUCCGGACCGAAAAGUAACGUAUUUAAAACCCUUAUCUUGGAUCGGAGAUGCGAACGGGGCGGGAAUCGAAGUGGGGGACCUCUCUACCGCUUGUGUCUAUUUCCUGUCAAGUAUGCUCCCCAUACAUAGACUACGUACAGGUAGUACUCUUGGAAAGAAAGAUAUAAUGCAUGAACAUAACAUUAACUUACGAAUGUAACUCCCGACCACUCUUCUAAAUAUACUAAGGCGGAGAACUCUUGUUCAUUGGAGCGCCGUAGUGCGGAGGUUCUUCCCAUCAUGGAAGUCCGAGUUGGGACUGAGCCUUCCGAAUGAUAAUGCUUUGUUUCGUUGGAAAAACCAACGCAAAUCUCAUAUUGACUUUCUAUCGCCCUACUUCUAAGGAUAGAUAGAGAGAGUUACUUUAUGAAAUUAUCUCCCUUCUAAAGCAGCGCAAGUCGGCCCCCCCAGAACAAAGCCCCUACUCCCGAGAGGUAUAAAUGACUCGACUAAAAGGAGAGGUAUUUAUUACUCGAGCACUUGUUGCGAGAGGUCCAACGUAAUUUAUUACUCUUAUAAAAGAGGGAACUCGACUGAAAGGAGAGGUUGUUUACAUACUCGACUAAAAGGAGAGGUCCAAAUGGACUUCUGUGAAUUACAGUGAUCCAGUCUCACGGAUAUGGAGCUUCGCCGGAGAUGGCAGGGCAAAACCUGAUGGACCUUUUUUUUUUUUUUCUCAAGAGGUGAUUUCGAGAAUCAACCAACCGACGAGACUAAUUCGAGGAUGUGUUAAAAGAGAGUCUAACCGCCAAGGCAAGUCCCAUGGAUAAGCCCCAGCCUCCCUCUCGUUUCACUCUCGUUCCUCUCCUUACAGUCGAGCUCCUUUGUUCCUUCGGACCUCUCGCCCAAAUGAAAUGGGAUGAAUCCAAUCAAUAAGCUUAUUGAUUGAUUCAGAGCGCAGCGAAGCCAAAUUCAAUCAAGGCAAAGGGGGGCUUACUUUUCCUGACGCUGAGUCAUCCUAUUCAAAUUUAGCUAUGCUAAUGUAACAGGAAAAGUUUUCACAGAUGAUAUGGAUCCCAAGAGAUGAGCGAGAACCUCCAAUUGCUUAAGGAUCGCACUCCGCUAUCCCGCUUGGUGGACGAGAUCUUCUCUCGGGUCAUCCAUCCUGGGUUACUGAAGGGUUGUCCGACUGCUCGGUGACCGAAUCAGAGAAGUUUUGACCGCUUUCUCUUCUCUCCAGCACUCUCGGACUGAUCAUCCAAUCCAUCUUGCUGCGACAAAGCAAGCUUAGGAAUGAAUCUAAGAAAUUUAGGUCUCUGCCCGCUUGAAAGAUUCUUCUUUCCUUUUCGGUGAAAGAGGGCAAAAGUGUGUAGGAGAAAGAAUUCUAAAAACGUCGACGCUUAAUUCGCCCCCUCCAUCCUUCAAAAGUAAAAGAAAGGCUCAAAUAUCAAUAUUAUAUAUAUAUUUGAGGAUAUUUUAGGGCCCUAGAACGCAAAAAAAAGGUGGGUGAACAAGAGUUGUCACGAUAGGAAAGAGAAAUGACUAUAAGGAACCAACGAUUCUCUCUUCUUAAACAACCUAUAUCCUCCACACUUAAUCAGCAUUUAGUAGAUUAUCCAACCCCGAGCAAUCUUAGUUAUUGGUGGGGGUUCGGUCCGUUAGCUGGUAUUUGUUUAGUCAUUCAGAUAGUGACUGGCGUUUUUUUAGCUAUGCAUUACACACCUCAUGUGGAUUUAGCUUUCAACAGCGUAGAACACAUUAUGAGAGAUGUUGAAGGGGGCUGGUUGCUCCGUUAUAUGCAUGCUAAUGGGGCAAGUAUGUUUCUUAUUGUGGUUUACCUUCAUAUUUUUCGUGGUCUAUAUCAUGCGAGUUAUAGCAGUCCUAGGGAAUUUGUUUGGUGUCUUGGAGUUGUAAUCUUCCUAUUAAUGAUUGUGACAGCUUUUAUAGGAUAUGUACUACCUUGGGGUCAGAUGAGCUUUUGGGGAGCUACAGUAAUUACAAGCUUAGCUAGCGCCAUACCUGUAGUAGGAGAUACCAUAGUGACUUGGCUUUGGGGUGGUUUCUCCGUGGACAAUGCCACCUUAAAUCGUUUUUUUAGUCUUCAUCAUUUACUCCCCUUUAUUUUAGUAGGCGCCAGUCUUCUUCAUCUGGCCGCAUUGCAUCAAUAUGGAUCAAAUAAUCCAUUGGGUGUACAUUCUGAGAUGGAUAAAAUAGCUUUUUACCCUUAUUUUUAUGUCAAGGAUCUAGUUGGUUGGGUAGCUUUUGCUAUCUUUUUUUCUAUUUGGAUUUUUUAUGCUCCUAAUGUUUUGGGACAUCCCGACAAUUAUAUACCUGCUAAUCCGAUGUCCACCCCGCCUCAUAUUGUGCCGGAAUGGUAUUUCCUACCGAUCCAUGCCAUUCUUCGUAGUAUACCUGACAAAGCGGGAGGUGUAGCCGCAAUAGCACCAGUUUUUAUAUGUCUCUUGGCUUUACCUUUUUUUAAAAGUAUGUAUGUGCGUAGUUCAAGUUUUCGACCGAUUCACCAAGGAAUGUUUUGGUUGCUUUUGGCGGAUUGCUUACUACUAGGUUGGAUCGGAUGUCAACCUGUGGAGGCACCAUUUGUUACUAUUGGACAAAUUUCUCCUUUGGUUUUCUUCUUGUUCUUUGCCAUAACGCCCAUUCUGGGACGAGUUGGAAGAGGAAUUCCUAAUUCUUACACGGAUGAGACUGAUCACACCUGAUCAGUGAAAAAUUCUGACACCAAUCAUUUACAUAUUACACCAAGAAUUGACAAGCAGAUAAGUUUUCUAGUUUGCUAUGUUGAUAUAGCUUAGAUAGGGAAAAGAUAACUCCACUAUAGAGUAGGGCUGUACUUCAAAAAUCAAAAAGGGUCCCUCUCCCCCUUUUUUUAUUAAAAAAUCAAAAAAGAGGCCCCGCCCCCCAAGGCCUAAGGAAAAAACCUCUGAUAAAGAAAGAAAAAAUAUAGAACUAACCUUUACACUAUAACCAUUAAGUCAAGUUAUUAACAAUCCUAUACUAAGAGGAGAAUUCGGAUCAGCUCGGGCGGAAGAGGAGAGGCGAAGAAGAAGACAAUAAGCACUCAGAUUGGACCAACCUUUCAUUUAAGGUUCGUCAUUAUCUUUUCAAUCCUGACUAGAAUCAGGCUUCUCUUGAAAAAAGGUAAGGAGUUAUUCGAUAUAAUAUGGUAUUAACCCUAGCGCCUAAGUCACCCCCGCAAGGUAGGAAGAAGAUAAAGGAGAAAGUGAACGGAGGAAAAAAAGGCGAUAAGCGAACCGGCGGGCGGUAAAAACCACAAAGAAUUUAUAUAGAAAAAUAGGUACUACCAAUAUGAAAUUAAGAAAGACAUAUAUACCUGAAACAAAAUUCUGUAAUGACUAUGUGACCAUGAAGGGAGUAGUUGAUUCGCGUUCCAAUUCAUUGGCAAAAUCCGGUAUAAAUAUAAUAAUAUAACGAGAUCGUCGUCUUGACAAAGAUGAAUAGAAAGAGUGCUUUUUUUUUAAUGGUAACAAUUCUUAUUGUUUUUUUUUCUUCGAAGGAAGAUCUUUCUUUGACUAAAAAGGUUUCCAUUUUUAAUAGAUUGUUUGUGGUUGUACCUUUACUGCAAGAAUAUAAAUGACUCGCUAUUCACUCGAGGUUUCUGGGUCAUAAUGUAGGAGAGAUGGCCGAGUGGUUUAAGGCGUAGCAUUGGAACUGCUAUGUAGGCUUUUGUUUACCGAGGGUUCGAAUCCCUCUCUUUCCGUACCUUUACCUAAUUCACCAACGUUACCGACCGCGCAAUACCAAUCGAGACCUCUAAGACGAACUAAAGGGAUGUCUCUAAGCAGCCAAGGCCAAGAGCAAGCAGGAGUGGUCCUAUCCGCCCAUUCAUUUUUAAGUGACUUAUAAGACGUGAGAGAUACUCUAAAGUCAUAACGGGGAAGGCCAGAGACUUCGUUCAAAUGGGGGGAGGUUUUCUCUUCAAUAAAAUGAAAGGCAGGUAUUUUUAUACGAAAAUUGAGAAUUCAAUAAUAAAUGUUCACUUGAGAUUAGGUUCGCGAAGAAGAAGAUCACAAAUGAGAUCUUGAGCUUGAAGCUUACUCUCCAGAAUCGAAAGAUCUCUUAUCCCCGAGGCGAGGAUGGCUUCAUAAACUUUUUUUGCCGAAGGAAAGAUAGAUAAGGGGUUUCAUCCAUAUUUUUCUCCCAUUUACGUAUCACGUUCAGAGAUUUUAAUUAGUUGUCCGCUCUUUCCGUACCUUUACUUACCGACCAAAUACCAAGACUACUUACAACAGGUGGUGAGGAUCAGCACACUGCGGGAAUCUAAGGAAUUGAUUGCUGUGCAUCGACCAAUCUCAGAAAGGGAACUAUAAAAGAAGGUGAAGAUGCACCGAGGCAUUUAUGAAGACGCAUGGUAUGCUGUGGAGAAAGGGGUGAAAGGAGUAGAAGCGGCAGGGCAAGAAAAGGAUAGUGAUAAAUGGACAGACGCUGAGAAGAAGAAGUCGAAAGUAUAACAGCAAAGCACUGUCAGCAAUCGCAAGUGACACAUUCAAGGGUGAAUCAUCCAAAGAUGCUUGGGAUAUCCUACAGAAGGGUUGACAAGUGUAAAGAGAUCUCGUAUUGAUAUGCUGCUGGCUUCACGGAGGAAAGAGAGACCAUUGAACAAUUCAUCUGUGCUUUGCCAAUGCUGCUCAAAAUGAAAGACAAAGACAAAAGUCAAAAAGCUUCUGUUCUGUAGCACACUCCCGGCGAAGCAGCCCUUCGCAAGCCAUGAAUGACAUAGAUACCCUUGCGUUUGAUGUUGUUGUAGGUCACCUACAAGCGUAUGAAAUGGAGACUGAGAAGUCCGAGAAAAAGCAUUGCUGCAGCACACACUAAGACAACAAGAGAGAUAUUGAAGAUUCAAUCGGCAGCACACUGCUUGCUAGAAACUUUGGCAAAGUAGUAAAGAAGAAUGGACAAAGUAGGAAAAACCCUUUUACACAGAACACAACAACAAAUCGUGAUCGUGUGUCAAAGAAGGGAGAACAACAGUGUAGGGAUAUGGCAAAGCUGAGCACUGCCUUUUUUUAGAGAAGAGACUUCAAAUGUUUUUAAUGCAAAGGUUGCUUCGCUAGGGGCACACAAAAGCUGAAUGUGUGAAUACUCCCUUAUUGGUUUGCUUGGAGCGAGAGCGAAACAGACGAGGAUGAUGAUGCAGAGGAAGUCUCUGGAUUCGUAGCAUUUGUGAUAAAGAUGAGACGCUUCAUUCGGACAAUUGCUUUGCUAGUGAAACAAAUUUGCUGCUUUACUCAAGCCCACACCCUCAAGGGGUUACUUCGUCACCUCCGUCAAACCCGCGUCAAAGCCCCUCGUCAAAGACCUACGUCAAAGUAGGUUGCUUCGCCACCUCCGUCAAACCUCCGUCAAAGGAGGCUGCGGGAGGCUACGGGGCUGCGGGAGGCUGCGGGAGGCUACGGGGCUGCGGGAGGCUGCGGGGGCUACUUCGCUGGGAGUGUGCGCUUAUGCUGAAGAAAGAAAGCAGGUCCAGGUUCAAAGCGUAAAACGGUGAAACCAAAGGCUUCUUCAACUCGAAGAAAAAGCAGGAACGGAAAGAACUUUACUUCCUGGUGAAGCAAUUUUCAGGAUAGAAUUCUGCCAGCUUAGGAAUCUGAACAUAAGCAGUAGAGCGAGGGCAUAGAUUACUCUGGUCAUGCCACCCCAGCAAUUCCAAGAAUUAAUGCAAGCAAAGCAUAGGAGUGUGAUUUCUCGUUUACCUUCUUUUGCUCUUAGGAAUAAAGGUAAAAAGAAAAGCAGUGUGCUGGACAGCACCUUUCCUACGUUUGAAAACGAAUUGCCGGUACUCCACUUAGACUUCUGCACCUGACCUAGUGGCUGAAGAAGGAUCUCCCUCAAGUGAUUUGCUGCUUCCUCCCCGACGUAGGUUUGACGGAGGUAUCAGUCUCGUUGCUAAAGCACCUUCGGACCUCUUUUUUCGUCUAUUCUUUGGUUAAAGCUAAAAAUAUUUCUUUUCAUUUUGGAUCAUUCAGUAGCUCAGACUGGAACUUGAGAGCUAUAACCUUUUUUCCUUAAUUUCUUCCGUUGCCGUAUCUUGCAUAUAUAAGAUCGAGAUAUCUCUAGUAUUCAUAAUCCAGGAUUUCGCCAUACUCUUACACCUUACCCAGAUCUUAUAACUUAUAAUAAGAUCAUCUAGGCUAGGACGAGGCAGACUACCAUCAAUAAAAGAGCGCUUCAGUCAACAUAUACAAAGUCCAGCAUAGUUAGAUCCAUUAAGAGUUGAGCCAGACCCGGAUGAUCACCGAAGAUAAUAAGGGCUAGAAACAUUAUCUGGUGAAUCUGAGACAACGAAGCUGCGAUCGGCAACACAAACCAUUGGAGUGUGCUGGGGAGGAUCUGAGCUGUAGAAACCCUUGAUCCACUAGGUAAGGUUACUUCCAGAGCGGAGUAUGCUCAGGUGAAACUGGUGGUGAUGCCGAUCUCUUCUUUCUCGAUUUCUAGUUCCGUUUCGCCAUUGUUGAGGAAAAAAAGUGAUCCGAGACUCAACAAAUCGAAGAGAAAAGGAAAACUUUGUUGAUUCAGGAACUGUGAAACGGAAAGUCUCACCAGAAAGUAAUUGCACUCUCUUUGAAGAGGGUCUUCCCUUUGUAAGCAAAGGUAAUAAAUGCUCAAUGAGGAAAGAUUAUGAAUUUAUUCUUUCAUUUCGGCUUAACAUCUCUUAAUAAUUGUUUCCCUGUUUUUAAUACAAAAUUUGAGGUGAAGCCUUCUCUAAUGCUACGUGUCUUCAUCUUAGCAGAUCUCUAAAGCUUGGAGCGUAUGGUAACGGUUAGAAGUGGGAUUUGAGCCGCUGUACUGUGGCAGAGAAUGACGUCGCUGUACGUUCAUGGCUUCAGCUCUGGUUUUGUUUUAAGUGAUAAAUAAGACAGAGGAUACUUUGGGCUUCGGUUUGUAGACAAAACUCGUCUUGGGCUUAUGUCUUGUAGUCAUAGGAGAGCUGAGCCUUGUGUUGGCCCAGUUUUGGUUCAUUUAGUGAAACAGUGUCGUUUUGAGUUGUAACCGGAAAUAUCUCCUUCUUCCUUUGACUGUCGAUCUCAGUGUGGGUGGCUUAACGAGAUGUUAGGGCUAAUGUUAGUAUGUAGUGAUGUGCUGUUGAAGGUAGAUACACUUUAUACCUUCUUCCUGAAGCAGACGAAGCGAGCUGGAACGUACAAGGAAAGAGAAGAUGCCUCCUAAUCUACUUAUGGAUGUCAGAGUUGAUGGUCGAGCAUAGGUCCAUUAGCAGAUGGAAAGAAGAUUCUGCUUAGCGACACUGCAGAGUCAGAUCGGCCCCUACUAAUGAGAAGGCCUUGAAGGAAGUGAAGAUUGAGGCUUUCAGGGUUUAGUUAAGACUUUGCCGGUGACUCUUUUCCUCUCGCUUCGUAAAAAGAAAACUCUUCCAUACUAAGAUUAAUGAGAUUUUCCGGUAUACUUCCCAGUCGACUAUGUGAACAGCACAAAGCAAAGUUUUACCCUUUAGUGUCCAAUGAUAUCAAUGGUAUCUUUCUGUUUGUUACCAAACAGGAGGGAAGCUUUAUGGUUUCGUAGGUUUUCUUCUACUUUUUCUUCUACUUUAGGGUUUGAUAGAAUCGUCCGCUAUUACAGACUUUGAUUAUCUGUGGGGCAGUGCGUUAGACAAAGGAAGUAGCAAGGAAGAUGAAGACCGGAUAUUAAAAGGAAUAUUUCACAAAGCCGAAGCAUUACAAGCAUACAUAAAAGAGGAAGCCUACCGUAGACCCCCACACAAGACAAAGUUCACUAAUAACAUAGUACGUGAACACAAAAAGACAUAGAAAUAGAACAAAAGGAGAACAAAGAAAAGCCAUGCAGUACUUUGGGUCGACCGGACUCCUUAUUUAAAUAUUAGAAGAGAGUGGUUCUAGUCUCCCUGGCGCUGGAGAGCGUGUUCGAUAGUACACACAAUUAGGUAGUUCCGCUCCUGCAGGAGACCAGAAAUCCUUUGUUGCAGGCCGCGAAUGCGGUCCCGUAAGACUUGCAUCCUUGCACCCACAAAUUCCGGGUCCAGAGCAGGCGGGUGCUCCCAGAACAAGCCCAGCAUUUCCUCCCAGUGGAGCUUUGCGUUUUCCGCGGCUUCGAUUUCUUGUGGAAUGGUCGCCAGCCUGUUAUAGAUCUCCAUAUCAUCCAUCUCUCUUAACUUUCGACUUCUAAGUGUUCUCAAAUAUAGACGGAAAGCUGCUUCUAUUUAUAGGCAGGCUAGUCUUCUUAUCUUAACUUAAUGAGUCUUCUUACGUAACACGUUUAAUAUGGAACACCCUUUAGUCCGCUGAAGAAUUAAUUAAGUACGCUGAAGACUUUAAAGGCCCCAUCCAUCAAAGAGUUCUUUUUGGCGGGUAUUGCCACGCGGCUUAAUACCGAUCACUCCCUCAGAAAGAAGAGGCAAUAAUAGAACGCACAGUAGAGAGUACUCCCCCGCGUUUCUCGCAAAGCCCAGAGCACUCCUUACUCGACAGCUCCUGACCAGAGUCCUCGUUGGCCCUACUUGCAUUAGCUCUGCCUGCUCAGAGCUCGCUUUUCUUUGUCUAUUUUUGAUUGGCUGAUUCCCAGGUACAUAAAAGCCCUCGGCCAAUCCUUACUCGACAGCUCCGUCCUUUCUUAGGUGAGCUAAGACCGAAGCUAGCUCUCUUGAAUUUCCCCGGAAAGACGGAACCUUUCCAGCUCACUCUGUCAGUCCACUAAGACGCGUAUAGAGUAAAUGAGCACUAGCAAUAACUUUUUCAGUACAAUAAGUCCCCUUCUCCACGACCACUUUUGUUUUUGGGCUUUCUUGGAUUCGUUUCCCCAGUAAUUCCAUUUUGGACUCGGAGGCUUUUCCAUUGGGCUCAGUAUCAUAAUUAUCCCAAAAGCCCCCUCUCCUCUAGCUUGCUUCUUUAAAAAACAAAGCACACUGCUUGUUAAUGGGCUUAUAUGGAUCAAAGCAUUAGAUAGAAUGCUAAGUCCAAUUCCUCAAUAUUCUUCUUCUUCAGUGGCCCAAGCAAGAUCAUCUAUCAGAGAGGAUAGGGUCCAAGGUCUGACUCUUAGAUAUAUCCCCUACUACGAGUUACUCCGUACCUCUGCCUAUUACUGAACAAUUACCUAAUGAGUGCGGGUAGCAUAAGACAAGGUGAGCAAAGAGAGGUCUCAAAAAGUAAAAAGACGGGUUUUACUUUUUGACACAGUUUUGCCCUCGUAUCUAGAAAAGGAUAAUUUACGGAAAUAGUAAAAGAUAGGACCUCCUAACUUUCCUGCUACGAGUGAUUAAAGACGGGGUUUACUCUAAAAAAACGUCAAAAUAUUGUACGGGAUUCCAUUCCCCGGUUGGUUUGUUUAAUCAAACAAGAGAAAGCACCUCUUUUCCAAAGGCAGACUCGGCUGUAAACAGAACAGAAUUAUUACUAAAAGGAUGUUAAUGACUUAUGGCUCCUGUCUUAUUUUUCUGAUAGGGAAACGGAAAUCCAUAACUAGGGAUCCUCCUACGUGGACAUAAAGGGAUUGGAGACAGAGAAAGUGAUUGUGCUAAUACUAUAAUGGUUCGCUAGUUGCUCUCCCUUGUUCUCUAGGUUCGGUAACCUGGGUAAAGGCUGCCUUGCUUCCCGUUGUGGAAUCUUUUCUAAUCCUUUUGGCCGCUUCUUUCCACUCGGACCAUAGGGAAGUCAGAACGGAAACCAACAAAGGACAACACAAACAGUCUAUCUCGGCAGGAGCAGAGCGGCUACGCAAACCGCCUGGCUAUUCAUAUUCCGACCUGAGGAGUAAGACUCUCGCAGCUACUCAGGGUAUUGAGCUACUACUAGGGAGGCUCCGGAGCUUUAACCAAAGGAGAGAAAAGUACCUACACCGGUUUAUACAACACCGGUUCACAGACUCAACUAUACAAUUCAUCACAAUCACAGAUGCAACUAUACAAUUCAUCACAUUACAUCACAAAAUUCCCCCGGGAUCAAAUAGAGAUCAAACCCAUCUUACUUACCAAGUUGUGGAAAGGAGUUGGAUGUAAUGCCUUUGUGAGAACAUCUGCAAUUUGUAGAUCAGUUCGGAGAGAAGCUUGAAUAGACCUGCAACCAACUUCUAACACACAGUCGAUCUCUAUAUGUUUAGUACGCUGAAAACAGGAUAGCAAGAUGUCUGGCAGCAGUGUUAUCACAAAAGGGAGGAGCAGAAGAACUCAUUUGAAUGCCAAGUUCCUGCAAGAAAUUUGUGAGGCAAACCAUUUCACUUACAGCAGAUGCAAGGCUUCGAUAUUCUGCCUCUGCAGAAGACCUGGAGACAGUAUGCUCUUUCUUAGAGCGCCAAGAAACCAGAGAGGAACCAAUGAACAGAAGCCAGUUACAGAGCGCCGUGUGUCGGGACAAGAAGCCCAGUCAGAAUCAGCAAAAGCCUUGAGCUGAAGAUCAGAUGUAGCAGAAUAAAAAAGACCCUGCCCAACUGUCCCUUUCACAUAGUGUAAAACCUUGUAAACUGCCUGCAUCUGGGCUGUACGAGAUGCUGAUGAGAACUGGCUUAACCUGUUGACAGCAAAAGUGAGAUCUGGACGAGUAAUAGUCAGAUACAUCAACCUGCCAAUAAGCCUACGAUACAACUCUGCAUCAACCAGAUCACCACCAGAAUCCUUAGACAGAGAUUAGGUUCCAUAGGGAUAGAAGAGGUCUCAGCGAGCCAACAAACCUGUCUAGAUCCAGAGCAUAUUUGCGUUGACAAACUGAAAUACCCUCUGUAGACCGAGCAAUUUCAAGCCCAAGGAAGUAAGAGGACCGAGGUAUGAAGUUGCAACUGAUCUUCGAGAGUGUAUCAGCUGGAAAAAUAGCUUCUCUGCGCCAAGGAAAUCCGGAUCUCUCUACAUACUAUACGAAAAGCCUCUUUCUUCACAAAGCUGGACCUUCGUUCGGGCUAUUGGAAAGUCAGAAUUACAGAAGGAAACGAGCCUAAAACCACUUACUUCUGUUACCAGAUAUGGCUUUACGAGUUCCUUGUCAUGCUGAUAAGAGGCCAGUCGAUGAGGCUCUUGAACAAGUUCCCGGCGAAGUUAGCCCUAUAAGCUAACCGCCUGCCAUGUCUACCCCGAAGGUAUCUUUGGUGCUGUUGUUCCUAAAAGUCUCUUCUUUAACUUUGUUUCCACACUUCCCCUGCUUUGUUGUUUCAGAAUUGAGAGGCACGAAAUAGCCCCCAAAAAAAGGCGAAAUCCACUAUUUCAUCAAUCAAAUUUUCGUUCGAGGGUUGAAAGCGCCAGAACUUUUGAAGAGUUUUCGCCCCAGGCCUGUCAUCCGGGGGAUCUCUUUAUGCUCGUCCACUCGGGGAUGACCCCUACUGAUCUCUCUCAUCGGAUCGAAUCGAAUCCACUCCUGAACUCCAGAAGCAAGAACGGACGGAUGCCCGAAGAGUUCUACCGUUGACGACAGCAGCGGGAAUGGAUUUCAAAUAGCAGCUGCUAACGACCACCGAGAAGGGCGAGUCAAGACUUCCAGUUUUAUGAAAUAGAAGAUCCAGAUCUUGGAGCACCUAAUCAACCAGUUGAGGAAGAGGAACGAAGGUACUCAGCCUCCUGGGGCAAGUGGGAGCGACACACUGAAUGAACCAACUCCAAUGGAGCAGGAUCAAGAAGAAGUGAAGCUACGUAAAAGUGAGCGUGGUAGAAUCUCUCGUCGUCGAUUUGAGAUUGAGGGAGAUCCGGGGAAUCUUAUUCUGUCACCCAAAACGACCACUCCUUCUGUCGGAAAAAGGACUUGCCCUAUAUUGAAAUGAAAUCGAAACGAAUGGAACGCGACAGAGCACUCCCUAUCAUCAGGUAGUGCGCGCCAUUCAGAACUAUGAUAUCGUCUUCUAGUCUAUUCGGCAGGUCCAAGUUGUUUUGGUCUUAUAAGCUCAGGUUCUUGAGUUUUGGGAAUUUCCUUCCAUUGGCUGGUUAAAAUUCAAUACGGAUGGUGCUUCCAAGAGGAACCUUUUCUUGCAUGGUGCUGCAACGGGACAUUCUGGUAAGUCGGGUGCUGGUGGCCUUCUCCGAGACUGUUCAGGAACAUGGAUCUAUGGGUAUACCUGCAAAAUAGCUUUCUCUACGAGCCUACAAGCUUCACUUUGGUUUAGCUUCCAACUAAGGCUAAGGGAGUUGUUUCCACGGGAUUGAGUGAACGAGCUCAUAGCCCUCCACCCGUACCACAAAAGCGCUAAUUUAUAUAAAAAAGACCGGGAAAACGUGAAUCUAUCCCGAACAUUUCCUAAAAUACUGGAUAAACUGACUCAGAUCGGUCUCCCUCAAUCGAGAGGCUCGCUUGCUUCACUUCAACUUCAUAGAAGAGGGAAGGAGCUAUGCAUAGGGGUGAUUCCGGUGGAGAUGGAAUGAAUGCAUUGACAGUUCGGUCUGAUCCGUCUUAUUCGUAUAUCUUAUUAUGGGAUAUUUGCCUUAACGGAAUCAUUAGAAGGCUUUGGGCGGGGAAACCCAACUGCAAGACCAGAGGCUACUGAAAGGAAGAUACUAUCUCUUCUUGAGCUUCCGAUUGACAUACCGAGAUUGAUUCAAUGAAAGUCCCUAGCGCAGGUGAGACCUAAUUCUAUGUUUACUUUUCAUUCAAAUCAGCUUCCUGAUGACUAAAGAAGACUUUUAUCCUGGCGGUUGUUGGUCCAACGACUCUUCUUCUUUCUUUUGAAAUAUCGUAAGAGAAGAAGGUUGACAAGAAGAAUAAUUUGUCUCCUGUGAUUGUAGUUCAAUCGGUCGUUUGUCUCUAGAAGAAAGAAGCCUACUUGUAGAAGAGAAGAAGCGGGGUAGAGGAAUUGGUCAACUCAUCAGGCUCAUGACCUGAAGAUUACAGGUUCGAAUCCUGUCCCCGCAUAAAGAACAAACAAACAAUAGAAAAAAUAAAAAAUGGGAUUUGAAGAGUCAAAGUCAAAUAAAUGAUCAUUCGGUGGGGACUGCUCCGCCGACAUUGGAACGAGGCCAACCGCUGCUUAUCACAACCUCUGGUGCCGGUGGAGGUUUGACCUCGGCGCCGAUGAGGAUUAACUAUGUGAGGAUUAAGGUGUCGGACGUCAUCCGCAACGUAAAGAUCGUGGUGCACAGUGUGUACUUGCCAUUUCCACAUAUUAAUCCUGUGGCUGCGGCUUACGAAGUAUCCUAGGAGGCUCAGAAGUCUCAGGAGGAGAUCAGACGAUGGAAGGAAGGAUUUCGAUCUUCGAUCUUCGUUACCAUUCCAAAGUUAAUUAUUUAGCUUUCGAUUAAGUGAGUGUUUGUUUGCUCAGACUCAGACUAAAAUGCGACUCUAUGCCUUCCCGGUAGAAAACGACCUCUGUGGCGGGAUUUACCAGGUCAAAUUCAACGGGACCCUAGCCUGCAGUCGUCAACCGGUCCGCUUCCUUGAAUGAGAGUAGGUCUUCCCGAUCCACGAAUACUGUCUGUUGUCCUUUACUUGUUUAGUGGCAUCUGGAAUUGUCUGUUUCGGUAUUCACUCUUGUAAAGGGCCGCGAACUAAGCUAAGCGCUUGGCUUGUCUUCUUAUAGGGUCCCAACCGACCAGUACAUUCAAUAUCGAAAUCCGUUACUGUUACAGAAGAGAAUUAAGAUAACAAGGCUUGGAGUAUCUAAAACUAAGUCCAGCGAACUGGAAGUCUCUUCAGACUCCCUCAUUGCUUGGCUAUCGAAGUGGACUUGUACCUUUUUCGCGUGCGUCGACACGACAAUGCUUACCUUUCUAGCUUUUACCCUUCUUCUCCGGAAGGAAUAGAAAGAAGACAACUAGAAUAAGGGGAACUACUCUAUAUAUUACAGCAGGAGAAAUUCCAACAUGAAAGAAAGCAGGCGGUGCACUUAAAUCUAAAUAGGGUGAGAAAGCUUGGCUUGGGAUUGGGAUUGUUGACUCAUCAUGAUAGGGCAUGAAUUGCGUAUAGAUAAGGUCGAGUUCAUUAAGUUGAGACAGCUGUAGGCUCAAACCAAACUGACGUGUAAAGAGCCCUAGUUGAAAUAAACCCUGGUGAAUCUUUUGGUGUCUUAGGGUAGGAGUAAGUGGAGGUUAGGUAACCCAGCCAGAGGAUUCCGUUAGCGGGUUGAUUCCGAGCUGGUAAUCGAACAGGUCACCAAUCGUCCUCGAAAGGGCGGUUCAAGCGCAUGAGUUCAGAGGUCUAUAGAUCGUGAUCUGAAUAUAAAGUGGAUUCCAGGGGCAGCUGCUUCUAUAAACACAAGAAAAGGUCUUGUGGACUUACGGAUUGAUAACUUGCCAGUACACGCUGAGCCUCGUCGAUGAGAUGAGGUACCUCAUUUAGGAUGACUAUUGGAAACGCGCGGUGCCGCGUUAGGUUAGGGAGCGGGGCUCAUUUCAUCGAUCAUUUCUGCACGAGCAAAGCUCAAUAGUACAUAUAGAUUCAGAUAGCAUAAUAAACUAAGUGAACAUGGCUAAAAUUAAAAUUGAUAAACAAGAGCAUAAGAUUGCCUACGUCACCAUAAAACUCGACACAGAAAUUCAUAAGUAAAAGCGGCGUAAGUUACUAACAUGCCACAUGCGAGGGACAGAACUGCCAUUGACAGCCUCCAGGCAGUAGCUCCCAGCUCGGCUUGCUUCUACUACCUUAUAGGGUCCCCCCCAGUUAGGAUCUAACUUGCGCUUUCACUUAAGUAAGGAAAGUCCUAUUCUAAAAGAAAAGUAGAUUUCUCCCUAGAUGCUUGGAAAUUUUAAUUACUCCACCACUUCGCCCGGUGAACUUCUAACCAUCCUUUUCUAGAGAAGAAUAGCUAUCUUUCGUCAGAAUUGAUUUCUUUUAUACCCGAGUGAAUUGAAGCAUUCCUUUAUGUGGGAACGUCCAUCUCUAGCGUGGAUAAGCCUGAAGGUCCUACUAAGCGGUCUAACUCGACUCCCCUUUCUAGGGAGAUGUGGACGAAGGCUACUUGAGCUCAUUCUCACAUUUCGGGGUAAGAGGCUAGGCUAGGAAUAGGGUACAGAGGCGUAGGGGGAAUGAAAGAAUUUGCUUAGUCAUAAUAGUGCUUUCAAAGUGAAAGGAUAUAAAGUAAUUAAUUCCUCUGCUUGCAAGCUACCUAUGAUUUUCUUCGUCACCAACCAUUUCCGCUGACUCAAGCAUGGCAUCUUUCCUCAAGCCCCUGGCAUUUCCAGGAUCGAUAGGUGCAUCCCCUCCUCAACCCUAUUUUCUUAUACAGCCUAUCAGUUAUUGAAUAAGAAAUAGGCACCUCGGCUAAAGCCUGACUAUGCCACCGGUCGUUCUAGCAUAGUCACUGAGACCCAACUUGCGUACUCGGAUUACUUCAGGCGGCCCAUUGGAAAAUAUACUUCUACCAGGCCUACUCAAUCCUAUCUUAGGAAGCCCGCAUCUCUGUGUCAAACCUUUUUGAAAAGGCUCUACUUGAAUUGAAUAAUAUUUCUUUAUUCCGACUUCGCCAAUGAAAGAGGGUAGUUGAAUAGACCGAUAUAUCUAGAAAGUGUGGAGUGAGUGAAUGGUGGAAAAAAAGUAACUGGCACCGCCCCUUGCUGGAUAGAAUAUCGAGAUGCACAUGGGAUUGGGGUGCUCUCUAAGUGAGGGGCCGUGGAACUAUAGCUUAGAUAGAAAGGUUUUUUAGGCCGGACAAAGGUCUAGGUUAAGUCCGGAGAGAAGGCUUGAUGAACACCACCUCCUGGUUAGUGAUUGGGCACAUGCUUCCUUUACGGCGUAGAAUCGGCUUCUUUUUUUGACGUAUCAGAAAGGGCCUCUCUUCUACCGCCCGAAGUUUCUAUUUAUGCAAGUAUCUUCACUUCAAUACCCCAGCCUAUACAUUUAAUGAUAACCGAACCCAAGCAAGGAGCUUAAAUCUUGUCUAUUUCCUUGAAUGGUCGGGUUGGAAAUUAUUUUAUGUGCCAACGCAGGCCUAUCACCUAAUCUCCACUGCGAAAUCCUUUGUUGGAAGGCUUGCUGAUUUACACCUCUCUCCGCCGCUUCUUAACAGUUGACUCUGCGCUGCGAGAUUAGCACUUUCUUAGUUACUAACAGAUAUAUCUUUUCCGCGCGAGCUAGUUCAACAGUUCAUUCUUGUAAGCCCCCUUGUCAGCCACACUAAGACUUCGGGUCAUCAUUACCUCUGUUGAAGGAAUAAGCCCGGCUAUUUCAGCUCUGGGAGGAAGGACUACUUUUUUCACCGCGAAUUGCCUUUGAUGCAAAACCAUAUACCGAUCCUGUUAAGUCUUGAAUUUACUUCUGAUGUCCUGGCUGCCCCUUAAGCCUGGAAGAAGAGUGACUCGGGAAGAAAUCUCCUGCUGGAGAGGUAUAUCCGGCCCUUCUACGAAGCCUCAACUGCAACUGAGACUGAUAAUAGGAGCAGUAUUUUUAAAUUGAAUUGCUGGUGCCGGUUGGUUAAAGGCAUGGGGACUGCUUUCAAUUGGACAGCUAACUAACAAUCGAUUCCCCAUAAACAAAUAGUUAUGAAACAUUGGAUUGGAUGCCUUUUAAACAAGGAAAGUAAAGACAGCUAAGGUAAGUAUUCCCCACAUUGAAAGAUAUCUAUUUCUUUCUUCUGUUCCCUUUGUCUAAUAAGAUGGGACUGCAGGAAAGUAAGUGGAAAGUAAGAACACAGUUGUUAGCUUAUAGCGGGGAAGAAAGAACUAGCUCGACUGAAAGGAGAGGUCCAAGGUAAUUUAUUACUCUUAUAAAAGAGGGAACUCGAGCAUUUAUUGCGAGAGGGAAAGCUUAGAGUUCCACUCCAGGAGAAGUAGCUUAUGGUAGGGAUUAUAGGUAGGCUGGCUAAGGAGUUGCUCCUGGAAAGGUAGCAGCUUGGUCCCUUGAUUGCGGGGUUUCAAACCUCAUACCAAGAGAAAGAUUCCAAACCAGCAUACGCAAAGCAAAGAGCGGAAAGGUGCUUUGUACCUCAUUUCGCUAAGCAGCGAGAAUUGUACUGAAGCUCUCUUUCAAACGCCCGCCGAUCGUACUACUUCAUUCUUAGUGUGCUGACCAGAUACCCCCACCCUGAGCUAAGAGCCAUAGCAAGAGAUAUAGCGUUGGCUGUAGGCUUAGUGAGCUCAUAAACUGGCGAAUCAAUUCAUUUGAAAGAGAAAGUCGGGUCUAGCUGAUUCCCGAGUUGACCAAUGAUAGAUAGGUAGGAAUGGCAGGACCUAAACGAGCUAGGCUUCGUUAGCCAGUUCUCCUUUUAGAAGCUAUUCUUAAUGCCGCUCGGGCUCCCUUUUUUAAGGGAUUCCAUCGCUCUUGGAACAGAUGAUAUAAGAUCUUACUAAAAUAAAAAAAGUAUGAAAAUUAAAUAUACAGAUAUACUCUAUACCGGUAUACAGCAAUAACAAUGUCAGCCAAUUAGCAAAGAUCAAGCGAACUCACUCAAGCGUACUACAGCUUUUCCGUCUUUCUUCCCUAAGCGCAAUAGCCCCUUGAAUGGAUAGGAUAUAAUUAGUGCGCUUGAAAGAGAUUUGGCUUAGUGAAAAUUCCUAGUCUUACUCAUCUCAGAUGCGGGAUUACCAAUGUCACGAUUGGAAUUAGGAAAGGAAGCUGUGGCACUUCUUACUUUAUAUGAGGAAGGGGUUAAAUCACUAGCAAUAGUAGACACGCUACGAUCUGCUAGACAGGAGCAGUACAGGAAGCAUCGAAUGCCAUGGUUCUUGUUACAGACUAGGCUGCAAGUGAGAGUGAUAGAAUCAGCUCAACUGGGAAUGUUGCCGAUGCCGAUACCGGAGCUGCUAAAGGAAGCAGUAGCAGUACAACCAUUAAAUUGAAAUGGAAUUGCACAUUCAUCUUCCUCUAUCAAUUCAUUUCUUUUGUUUGAAUAAGCUAUUAAGGUGCCUAGGACACUAGUAGACACCCAGAAGGAGUUGUAAGGGAGAACGGAAAUUUAAGAUCGGACGAUUUUCAACAGACAAGAUCAGAUCGUAGAAUAGAGAAGGAUUUGCUGCCGCUACUGAAUCAGAGUCCACGGUGCAACAAUUUCUCAUCUGCUCACGAAUUGGAUUCGAACCAAUCAAGCUACUUGCCCUUUAGUAGAUCGUGAGUGGGUCAGUCGUCCUCCUCAUUAUAGUCCUCCUAAAAUCAAUAGCAUUUCGUCGGAAUACAUCCUGUCUUUUCACCUUAGUAGUCCUAUGCAUAGUCAGUACUAUAGCCCCAAUCAUGGCUACUAAUAAAAUAAGACUAGGAACCAAAAACCAGACAGAAUAGUAGGUAUAAAGUAAAUUGCCCAAUGUUUCCAAAUUAGUCCAACUUCGUACCUUUCCGGCAUAAACCGUAUAUCUAAGAGAGGUCGUAUUUCUUUGGGUUGGUAGUAAUGGAAUGCUUUCAUUAUCUAAAAUGAAAAACAUUUCCCACCAAAAGAUCAGUCCAAUAAUCCCACUCACUGGUAAAUAGCGCAAUACUUCUUCGUGAAUCUCCGCUAUUUGAAUAUGGAACAUCAUAACAACGAAAAGGAAUGAAACGGCUAUAGCUCCUAUAUGAACUACUGGGAAGAUCAUAGCGAAGAAGUCGAGACCUAACAAAAGAAGUAAACCUGAAGUGUCGCGAAAGACUGGGAUGGGAAACAAAACGGAAUGUACCGGAUUUUUAGCACGUGCAACCAUCAAACCAGAGACCAAAGCAGGGCUCGACAAAACAGAAAGUAUCAUGGUACCGUCGUCCUUCCCUGAAAUGGAACUUUCAUGCUAGUUCUUGCUUCAGCAUGAAAGUCGAUCUAUUACGACCAGCGCGGUUGUUCCUAUUUCAUUUUCUUCUUCCAAGCCCUUCUUUCUUAGAAAGCACUCACUGAGUUACUUACGGAAUCUCAAUGCAUCCAUUUAAUGCAUUCUUUUCGAUCUUGUACCCACAGAGCGGUAGACUGAACACCACAAAAAUAUCGAUUCAAAAAAAGGUACAUGCAACUAAACCUGUGAACUCAGAUAGCCUUGUGGUAUGGUAGCGAGAUCCAAUCUUGAGUGAAAAAGAUACCGCGGCUUCAAUCUUUUUCAACAUAAUCAUCGCGCAGUAAAUCAACAAAGCCCAAAGUUGACUCUCUGUCUCCUUCAAGUUUACCUACUACUGUACCCGCGUGAAUAUGAUCUCCACCAGAUAGACGUAAAGCUUUAGCUAGUACACGGAAGUGCAAACCAUGAUUCUUCUGUCUAUCAAUAACAGCAUGCAUUGCACGGUGGAUGUGAAGAAGUAGGCCAUUAUCUCGAAUGAGCCAAACUAGUAUUUGCGGUGAAUCCCCCUGUUAAGUAGUCAUGCAUUACGAUAGGAACUCCCAAUUCUCUGGCAAAUACAGCUCUUUUGAUCAUUUCUUCGCAUGUACCCGGAGUAGCAUUCAAAUAAUGCCCUUUGAUUCCACCUGUUUCAGCCUGUGCUUUAUAAACAGCUUCGGCACAAAAUAAGAAACGGUCUCUCCAACGCAUAAAUGGUUGGGAGUUCACAUUCUCAUCAUCUUUGGUAAAAUAAAGUCCACCACGUAGACAUUCAUAAACUGCUCUACCAUAGUUCUUCGCGCCAAACCAACAAUCUGCACGCUUAGCCGCAUUGUUCAUCUUGCCUUAACCCUACCCGAAGGAAGGCUAUGAAUUGAGCUAACGCCCUCUGUAACAGCUUAAAUGAUAUAGGAGGGGGUUGAUCCUCGAUUUGAUUCUCGUGUUGCGAGUGUCGUGUCUCGCGUUUUGAAUUCAUUUCGAUUGGGAAAGUGAGCCGAUCCAGACCUAAUUGAUCUGGUUUCUGAGAGCACUGACAAGGCUAAACUCGCCGGUUGAAGAGAGCACUGAAUCAUUCGAAAGGGGAAGCCUCGACUGGAAUCCCUGCUAUAAAGGGCAGCGGAGGAAUACCUACAGAUUGCUCGCCUUAACCUUAAGAUUGCUAGAAAAUAUCUAAUGCAGGAGAAUAACUAACAAUUUAUGUGGAAUACUAUUUCAUUUCGGGGGUAACGACUUUAAAACUUGCCUAUAGGAUCGCUUGACCUAGAACCUGUUUACACUGGUCCUGCUGUGAAAGCUCUAUUGAUAGGAAACAUUCUAGCCAAUUUUAGAGGAACGAUUCCCUUGUCUGAGAACCGCCAUUCCCGCACUAUUCCUCCCCACAUUGAGAAUCUCGAUAACUCCAAAUUAAGAAGUGAGCGAAUCCCAAAGCUCUCUUCUUUCCCCCUUUUCACCUUUAAUUGGUGAAAGUCUAAAAUCUGAUGUGAAUAGAAGAAAAAGAAAGAAGAAAGAUAGGCGGACGACUUUACUAUAGUAUAGGUCGAAAAAACCGUGAGCAGUAAGCAACGGAUCUCCCCUUCUUUUGGGAAAGCAGGUGGCCGCGUGUGAAUUCUUUCAAGGCAAGGGGCGGCCUGAUUUCGACAUUGUUGUUUCACUCUGAUCCGGUCGAGGUGGUUUUCGUUUACCAGCGCGUAGGUGGUCUAAGUUCCUAUGACCGAGUCUUUCUGGCCCCUGUGAACAUCUUUUCUUAAUGUAUUAAAGAGGGCCUCUCUAACCGGUGAAAAGUAGUGGGUGUCCACUAACGGCCGUUCCCGGCUCGGCUCCGAUAACGAAAUUCCGGGAGGAGUCGGUAGUUGGGCACUGGAUCCCUUCGGACCUGGAGAACGUGUGACGCUGGGUAGGGGUUUGGUGAACCAACUGGUCGCUCCUCUAGUUGAAGUAUCGGGCCCCUUUUCGUUGCCUAGGUUACACCUUCGGAAUACCCCAGAAGGGAAUUUAUCUCUACUUCCCUAAAUCUUCACUUGAUGCCACGCCGACUCUCCUUUCGUCAUAAGGCGUGGAAUUAGACCAAGGGGAAUCUCCAUAGAAACAGGUCCCUCUGAUUUCGCGCGUAGGAGAUCGAGACACAGCCCAAGGGCUAUGGAGAAAGAUGUAGAUCGAUCGCCCUAGAUAGACAACUACAUAGAGGGUCUUUACAAGUCUAUAUAUUCUUUGAUUUCGUUCCCCCCCCCGUAAGAUCAAUAUCACAACUAAUGAGGUCUUAAAGUUUCACAUCUAAGUAAUACCCGAUCCGAUAGUUUACAAUAUAAAUAGAUAUUUAUCUAUUUAACAACAACAUUCUAAAAAAAGAUAUUAAUUGAUAUCGGUAGUUGUCCGGUCGUACCCAAACAAUAAUAUUCCAGAGGAAAAUGCACCUAAGAUCAAAUAUUUCGAGCCGGCUUCCGUGGAAAAUUCAGACUUUCUUUUUGAUGCUGCGAUUACAUAAAAACAUAAACUUUGAGGCUCAAUAGCUAAAUACAUGGCAAUUAAAUCAUGAGCCGAGAUCAUAAAGAGCAUACCGCGAGUAGGAAGUGGAAUUAAUACAAUGAAUUCAAAAGCAUCAAACCUCUCUUGGUCGGAAGAAUCGAAACACAUCGAAAUGGUACCAGCCGUACUUAAUAAUAGAAAGAUUUGGCAGAAAUAUGUAAAAUUGUCCCUCCUAAAAAGAUUAUUCCAGAAUAAAUGGGCAAUAGUUAGGAGAGGUGCGCCAGCGGCGAGCAGAAGCAAGGUUAUUAGAUACCUCAGGAAAGCCCGGCCAGAACCACACGUGCAAGUUUCCCUGCAUGUGGCUCGUCCGUGAUAACUUCUUCGGAUUUGCGUGAACUAGCAGACCGAUCACUAAGUGGAAAAAACCCUCCAGCAUAAGCGAACCUUUUCUCCACUGGUUAGGAAUGGGCUAAGAGAGGAAGCCAAACAAACCGACCUAUUAAGCACAGCUAAGCUAAUAUGCGCCGGGGAAAGCCAGGUGCCGGAGGUAAGCUUUAUUCGGCCCGGAGCAUUGAUUCCCCAUAACGAAUAGGCUAGCUCUAUCUUUCAAUUGCCUAUCCUGUGCUCGAGAAGGUCUCCCAGUUCCUCGGCAGCACCUCGGGGUGCAUUUAGUUGUCUUACAUGAGACUCGGGAUAUUCCUCACCCCAUGGCACCUUUUGCUCAUCCAUUCCGCCCGCCCGUACAGACGCGGCGCCCUUUUUCAUUAUCAUCUACCGCCCUUUCUUUCCUCCCGGCUAUUCACGCAUGAAGAUCGUCCUAUGUAUGCUUUACUUCGGUUGCCGGUGCUAUAGGUAGGAGUACAUUAUGGCAGGAUCAGUCACCCGGGCAAACCAACCCCCCUCCAAGAGGAAUUGUGCUAUGCCCCCCCCGAUCCCUAUAGAGCGAAAGAGCUGCCUGGUGAUCCCUAGGUUGCAGCACGUCCGGUCGUUAACUCCUCGCGCCGUUGCCGCCGUUUCUAGGACCGACCGACGCCUCACCUGCACUGGUACCUACGUAGUGUCGGUCGCACAUUCAACAUAGCGUUCGGACUCAUGUGCCUUCCAGAACCAGGGGGUCUUCGAGCCUGCUGCGUACGAUUAGCCAGCCUUGCGGCGGCAAAAGGAUUAGACGUCCCCCCCCCAUGCUACGGUUCCCUGCGGUCCGAAUCCGGCGCCGCAUUAGGUUAGGGUAGGGGGCUGGGCGAUAAUAGUUCCUCUGCAUCCCCAAGCGCGCUGCCCUCCUAGGCGCGCAACACUAAGUAAUCCAAGCCAACCCACAUUACUGGCUAACGGCGGAUAAUCAUAUUUCUUAGAGGUACUAAAUACAACUCCAUGAAUGAGCAAAAUGGAGGUUGCAUUAAUGAUAAAGAUCUCUGGGGAAACCGCUAAAAAAAGAUUGAACAUGUGUGGGAGGAUCCGAACGAAUUCUGCUUUCAUUUCCCCCGUAUGGAGCACUGAGUCACUUACGUUACGGUCUUCAGCGGGCAGGCUGCACUCUAGGCGACGGCUAGGAAGGAUCGCUAGACCAGCAGCCAAACCAACAAUGAAUAUAUAAUAUAAUGAUAGUGAUUCGGCUCAAUAAAAAAAUGUAGAAAAGAAAGGGCGGAAUAGCAUAAUUGUCCGAUUUAUUCCUCGAUCUUCUUUGAAGACUUACUCCUCCUUUCCGAAAAGAUCGUCCUUGGUCCUUUUGACAUAAGAUUCUCGGCCGCUCAAGAGACUCUCUCUCGUAUAUAUAUUUAUACGCAAUAUCUUGACUCCUACUACCCCUCCUUUCCGAAAAAUUGAUUGAGUCUUUGUCUAAGCGAGUUUUCUAGGCCGGGUGACCUGGCCACUUCUAUUGCUUAUCUUUUCAUUACAUCUUUUGUUCUCUAGCGGACUUUCUGACUUCAACUGGACCACCCACCCGGACUAGGAACCCGAAUUUAUCCGCCCAUCCCCGUCGAAGAAGGGGCGACGGCCUUGAUUAUGCCGGGCAUGCUCCCCGAACCCCACCCAAUUAAUAAGACUAAGUAAAAAAAAAUGGAAAUAGUGAAUCAAGAUCUAGAUGGAUCCCUAUCUUUCUCUCUAUCCACGGGAUACCUAUCUAGAUGAAAAAAUCCAUCUAUGAAUCGAUCUAGACUAUCCUCUAUCCGGAUAGAGAUGUCCCUAUGAGUGACUACGCCGAUCUUUAUAUGUUUUGGCCACGUCCGUUUCUGCUCCGAAGAGGAAGGUUUGGAUCUUUUAAUCUUAUGUCGUGAGGGAUAUGACCUAUGUUAGGUCCAUAAGAUACCACAGCUUUUGGUGUUCUAUGAUUAACCUCCGAAUAAUGAGUAGGUAGUUCGAUCCUUUUGAUUCUUCUCUUCAUAGUCAACUUAUGGGGGGAUGCGAAGCAAUAGGUCGAAUUACUAUAUAAAGAUAAAGAAGAGUUGUAAACUAUAGGACUGAUUGUUCGAGUAGGAAGAUUUAGGUUUUUAUCCUUCCUUCUCUUCGAUAAGAAUAGGGAUUUUAACAAAUUCCUCUUCAUUCUCUUGUGCUCAGCGAAGGAACUUCCUAAGCAUACUUUUUCGGAUCCAAACUUCUUUGUUCUUUCUAAGUCUUCUUCUUGCAUAGAAGAACGCAACUGUUGCAAAAACCGGGAUUUUAGUAGUAGGCGGCAUCCCCUCUUAGUUUUGAGUAGGUGGAACCAUUCAGUUUUGCUUCUUCUCCACAUUCUUAGCGGUUGAUGCAGUAAUUUGCCUAUGAUUUUUUCAACUGAAAUUUCUUUAUAGAAAGAUCUCCUUAUUUCUUCACCGCGUAUUAUCGCGUUAUUUUCUUGAAAAGAUAUUAUAUCACCGUGGGAAAGUUUAAAAUGAGUAAUGCUUACCAUUCCUUUAUUCACACAAACCCUUCGAUGACUUAUCGGCUGCCUUGCUUGAGGAAUAGUUUCAAGAAAAUGGAGACGAAGCGGAAUAACGUCAAAUCUUGUUUCUGGAUUGAGUGGAAAAGGGAUAUAUGAAGUUCGUUUUGUUCCUCUGUGCAUCUCUGUGAUGGGUAAAUCCCCAUGAAAAAGGGGCAACUUUCGUGUAGUUUGUAAUUGUAUAUAACUGGUAAGAUAUUUUUUCGGAUAAAUCUUUCUCUUCUUAAUAGAUCUCUUCCUGUUCCUCAAUCUUCGGAGAAUGCGGCGUUGUAUUAUUGUCAGUUCUCUGUUCCGAACAUUUCCUGAAAGUAGACGACAAGUUUGAAAUCUUAAUGGGGACAAAUCUAUAUCUCGUUGAAUCAGUUUUUUAAGCAGCCACAUUGCGUCCCUGGGACUCGAACCCAAUUCUGCAACAACCCCUGUUCCUGUCCUUUCUUUGUUUUGUUGAUCUAUUCCUCUUCACGUUGUCUUUUUAAAAAAAGACUGAAAGUAUGGGCUAUUGACACCAUGGUCAGAAAGAUAUUUUAGGACUUUUCUAAGUCCCGCUUCUACGAUAAAGUCUUUCCGGUUUUAAUAAAGCGAGCGCCACUCUGAAUCCACGAUCCGUAAGGAUCUAGCUCCGCCACAUUUUGAGUAGCACUUCUUUAUUUUUUGAAAAGGCCACAAAACUCUUUUCAAAAAAUAAAUCUACAGUUUUUGGUAGUUCAUUUUUUUGUGAAAGAAAGAGGCGGAAAGCUAUGUCCUGUACAGUUUCUCCUCCCACCUGAGGGCGAAGUCAUGACUCGACCUUUAGUUUUGUGACUCGAGUACUUGUUGCGAGAGGUACUUUAGUAACUCGACUAAAAGGAGAGGUUGUUUACAUACUUGAGCUUUCUGCGAGAGGGAUUUAUUACUCGACUAAAAGGAGAGAGAGCAAGGUGAACUCUUCCCAUUGCUAACAUUCCAGGGAUUCCAGAACCAACUAAUCUAAUUUCCUAACCUGGGAUUCCUUAACCAACUACCAAUUUAAAGAGUAAAACACUUCCUUGGGAUAAACUGAUUCAAACAGAUAGGCAGAUUGAAAUGGAACUUUCUACAAACAAAAACUCCUUACCUUACUUGGCUUACCUCUCCCAUUCCUCUAAUCCCUAACCAAAACAAACCUAAUCUCAUCACCUCAUUGCUAAUAUUGCUGGGAUUCCCUCCUAACCAACUAAUCUCCUUACCUCCUAUUCCUGGGAUUACUGGGAUUACUGGUUCUCCCAUUCCUAACAUUCCUAGGAAUUCGCAAGACACCAUAGGCAACAUGGGAAUCCUUGAUCUACUUGUUUCUCAGAUUCCCUUUGAGGUUAGGAGAGUGAGUCGAUUCGACGAGGCUAGCUUGUAGGUUAGCCUUUAGUUUCCGUCAAAGAAUUGGAUUUUCAUACUUCCUUCCCCUUUGGUCGAUUCAAGUGGACUUUAUCCUAGAUUUGUCGAUUUAUCCCUGGUUGAGGACCUUUGGAUGCCAGUUUUCUAGAUGCCAGUUUUCUAUAAGAAGGGUCAGCCUUAAAGGAAAAAAACCAAUCCCAAGGUAAGGUCUAAACUGAUCUAAUCGGUAAAGCCGGAAAAAGAGCUGAGUUUAACGGCGAGAAGCUCCUUUCAAAGGAAGGAGUGACAGAAAAGGUCGGGACAGUGGCUGCUACCGCAUUGACUUCGUAAGAUUUGGAUGUGUUAAGGCUAACCUCCCAAAACUCACUAAAUUUACGUUGCUUCACAAGGUAAUUCCUAUUUGCUUACUUGUUAGAGUAAGGAAAGGAGAAGAGCUUCAAGGUAGAACCUAUGAACGUAGAUCGCAUAUAAUGUGUCGAUCUCAUCACCUUACCAACCAGGGCCUAUGUAUACGAAACUGGUGCACCAUCUGCAAUCGCUAUAUAUACCUGACCUAUCUUCUCGUGUAUCACCCUUUCUUUCUUCCUUUCCUAACUAUCACUGACCGCGGGGGAAAUGCUGACAGAAUGCCAAUACUUGUUCGAUCGAAAUUCUAACAGUUGUUCCGGGCGUUUAAUGUUUGUUCUGGUUCAAGCUAGAAAACGGUCAAGUGUGUUUCUAAUCAGGGUUAUCUAAAUUGGAAUAAGUACUUUUUGAUAACUUUGUCUCAUGCGGAGCAAAGCCCUUCUUAGUCAAGCUUAGUCCCUUUGGAGUAUAUUUAAAGGGAAGUGCGGAUCUGGAGUGUUUUGUUUAGACGAGCUAUGCAGCAAGCUGAGUUCUAUCGAAACAACGUUUUCCGGGCAUACGAGAAAAGAGUCCAGCCCAGCAUAUUUAUUUGCGACUUUCUUGAUCCCGGAAAUCUUGUACUCAGAGUCACGGAUAAAGAUAAAGUGGACUACCCUGUAUGACCUACAGUUCUUUUUAGUGGCUUUUUCUUGUCCUGGACCAUUCAGCCCUUUCUCAACCAAGUAUAGGUAGAAGCCCUCUUUUCCAUACAGAUAAAGGUUCGACUUCCAAGAGAAAAGAUAAGGAAGUCGGUAUUGAUCGUGGAAAUAUCUUAGAAAGUCUUCAAAAUCGCUUCUCUUCCUUCAUUCUCAGUAGGCUACCGUCCUCGGAACCAAUGCCUAAGAUUUGCCCUUGCGGUCUGCCCUUAGUCUAAAGACUUCUAUCCACUACGAUGGAAUCUGUUUAGUGGAGAGAAGGCCUAGUUAAUCUAGCACUAUGGUGGAAUCUAAGUGUAAGAUAUUGUUCCGCGGUUGGAAAACUAGCUCCUAUGCGCCUGUAGGUAGGACGUUAGAAAAAGAAUCCGAAUUAGGCUUGCAGACCUACUAUUAGGCUUUCAGUGUAGUAACCUAGAUGCUGAAUAUAGACUCCCAUCUAUAGUAAAAGAGAAGAAAGUCAGGCGGACACUGGCAGCUGCAAGUCAGUCGGUUGGCUUCCGUCACUUCUAUAAAACGCUGCCCAACAGACUGAAAUGACUAUCUUCGGGAUAUGAUGCCAGAGUUGGUGCUUUUGCGGCAUCUAGUUCAGUAUCAGAGGCGCUGCGCUGCCCUUGGCUAAGAAGGUUUACUUCUCUGUCACUUCCGUACUUCUGUAACUUCUCUUUAGCUUAUUAAUGGAAUUGGUUAGAAAGUCUUUCCGGCUAGAAGAGAGGGAUUAGUACACCUCCAACACUGACUUCUUAGUCGAGUAGUUCUCUUUCUCCUGGGCUGAGACGUGACCUCUUCUCCUCGUUUUCAUUGGGAGGGAAGAUAUAGAUACAAAGGUAAGCACGAACGGAAGUAUUCGAAAGAGCUAUUUAGCUGAAAACUCUAUAGCUAAAUUACUCUAUCAUAGAAGCCAUUACUGACUGAAUCUGGGAGGGCAAAAGGCUUAGUAAUAGUAAGCUUCUCAACCCUGGUAAGGGUUUACUUCGUCCCAGGCCAGGUCGUUGCUCGUUGCACGGUAGGCGGCUUUGAGGAAAGGUAUGAAGUCACUCGCCCUUUAGCUUUAGAAAGCAGGAGAGGUGCUUUAGCAACUCGACUGAAAGGAGAGGUUAUGAACACAAACUCGACUGAAAGGAGAGGUUGUGAACACAAACUCGACUGAAAGGAGAGGUUGUGAACACAAACUCGACUGAAAGGAGAGGUCCAAGGUAAUUUAUUACUCUUAUAAAAGAGGGAACUCGACUGAAAGGAGAGGGAGAGGGAUUUGACUUUUUCUGUCAGGCCAAUUUCUUUCUAGUGGUAAGUGCUUUCAGCCAGUUCUAGUCCUUUUCUUAUACGCUUAUUGGCGUUAGCACAUUCCUCUUUCUUAUUGGAUGGAGUUGUUUUGCCACCUGGAGUUUUAAUGGAAGUUUGAGUGCGUCCUAAAAGCCAAUGCUUCUGCCUUUUGGAAGUGUCUGCCUAUAUCUGUCCUCCCCAUUUAAUCAGUCUCUGUCCUUACCUUCGACGGUAACCCCUUUAUAGUACAGCAGUCCCGUUUCCGGCAGUGCCUUCCCCCCCCCUAGUCUAGACCGAGUAUCAAUAGUUGUAGUUCCUGUCCGUUAUGGACCCUUCGUAUCUUUCAAAUCCAAUCAAUGUGUGGUGUGUAUCCAAGGGCAAAUGCAAUCUCUGAAUCUGUUACAGCCAUUGUAGCACUAGGUGCCUACCCAUAAGCAGUAGUUGCCCUUGAAUGUGCAUCAAAUCCUAAGACAAGCCUAUCUAAUCUCACUUCUUAGUCUAAAGCACUCAAAUCCCUUCUAAGGAGCCAGCCCUUUUUGAAUCCCUCUCUUUUCUUCAUGCUGUGAAGAAAUUUUCCCUAUCCCCCUAACUGGCGAGGCUUCUUCUAAACGAGUGGAGUUCAGUUAGACUGCCCCUUCUUUCUCGUGCUCUCCGUCCAAGCGAGCUAACUCCUGAUCUCCUGUUGUAAAGAUCUCCAGACCAAGGCUAUUCUUACCAGUUGACAUCCAUCCCGUUGCAUUCCCAGCGGUUUUAGUUCUAUUGGAUGGGGUUCUAUACGAGCGUUCCAUACCGUCUCUUGGGAUCAAACUGAAUUAAGUUGGACUCCCUUCAAGAGAUAGAUUUCUUUCCACGAUAAUAUCUAUAUUUUCUUAAGAAAGAAGACUAGAAUAUCAUUGGGAGUGCACUUAAGCCAAUUGGAGUACUAGGCCUUCUGUUCCAGUGACAGUUAUAGAAAAAAGCGAAGCCCUCCACUCAUAAGUAAUAAGUAAUUUCAUCCCUUACCAGUCCGUCCUACCAGCUCUUCUGUCUUCCUUUUUAAAAGGAGCUAACGAUACGAUGUUCAAGCUUUGCCAGAAGCCUUUUGCAGAGAGAAAGUUCGAAGAUCAGGAUCAGGAUUGGAUUGAAAAUAAAUCUCCUCAGCAUUCAAUUCAAGUGGGUCUAUCGAUACAAGUGGUAAGACCGAUAAUUCAGCAUCCAAGACCUGGCCGAUGUCUACUUCAAAUUCAAGUGCCACUUAUCUUAACACAACUCGGGCUAAUCGACUCCCAGCCUAUCCCGACCUGGUCCUUUCGAACCAGUCUUUAUAAACCUGGUGAAAGCAAUCAAGCAGGACUUACCUGCUGGGAGCCCCCUUCCUUCUAUUCCGAAACCUAGAAGUUUUUUUUUCCAGCUCUUGAGCUGAUUGAAUGAUUUUUGUUCACUGCUAAGCUAAUCCUUCUGUCCUACUUUACUCUAUUAUGAGACCUCACCCUAGGCUAGGGAGCUGGUUUAAGCCAUGCCCUUAUUUGACUCCCAAGACCGGAUACAUAGCUCUUCUGAGCGGGUCAAAUUCAAAUACAAUGAGUGCUUAGGGAAAGUAAGAAAGAAAGACAUAAAGCGGAAUCCGGUAAUCCUACUGCUACUAAGACUACUCCGUCUUAGGGCUAGGAGUUCAAGCGCGGCGUAACGGGGGUUGUCAGCGUAACAGCUGGUGCUCUAAUCUGAGCUGAGAAAUAGGAACUGCACUUCGACUUGAUUUAUUUAUUUACUAUAUUCCCCCCUCUCUAACCCAAGUCCUAGAAGUGAAUGAGGAAUGAAAGAACUUCUGCUUCCGCAAUGAGACGCUAAAGUCCUUAAAUCAAGGAAAUCACAAUGCUUCUCUUAUUCAGUAGUUCAAUCUUACUUUCUUACCCCGCCGGGGAAGCGUUGAAUGAAUGUGUAAUGAUGUCCAUCAGGGGAGAUCUUGACCGAUGGCCGCGCGAUGUCCGAGUUCCUUCGAAUGCUUUUUCCAAGCCCCUUCUUGCGCUUUACGAAAUUCGUUGUUAAGGCCAGUCCUUCUCUCACCUUCACAGAAGAAAAGAGAUUCUUCUGAAUGGUUGAUAUAUUCAUUCCAGAGGAGAUGCCGGUGAAGACUACCAGCCAAUGAUGGACCUGGGCUUACUACCGCCAAGUAGCCUAUUAAGUCUCAAAUUGAGUACUAAAGUCAAACUACUUGUCCUCCCCAAAAGAGCAGCUGAAAGAAACCCAUGGCAAAGCAACAUACCCGUUUAAGCAUAGUCGCUCGUCUAACGUUUCGGGACAAGAGGAGAGGAACGCCUUUGAGAUCAGGAUGUUCUACCGCUUUUCCUAGGGAAGGUAUAUACUACUGAUAGUAUUCCGCUUUGUGAAAGUGCCAUAAAAGCUCUCUUCGCGUCAACGACAUCCAUCUAACCAUCUAACGAGAUAUGCUUCGGGUAAGAUUCCCUGAUCUGAAAUUUCGUUAGUGAGCUGGUUCGGUCUAUCCCUUCACUUAACCUAAAGCGUACAUUCGAUAGGGAACUUUGAUUAUCAAAUGGGUUGGUUUAUUAGCGCACUCACGCCAAGUGCUACCGGCUCAUCCUGGUGAGGCAUCCCAAGCCCCUGUAAUAUUUCGCUUUUUUCGUCCUCUCGCUUUGUCCAUUCCUUGAUCUACGAAAGGUAUUCAGUAUUAGGAUCAGAGGCCUAUGGGAUUUCAGUAGCCUUUAAUCAAUUACAAACUCAUCACUCUUCUUGAAGGUUAACUUCACAUCUUGUGUGUGUUCCCUUGAUGUAUCUUAAGACCCAUUUCACAGCCUGCCAAUGACUCCUCAAUGGCUUACUCAUAUAUCUGCUAAUCACUCCUACUGGAUAAGGGUAAUCUGGUCUUGUACCAAUCAUUGCGUACAUCACACUUCCAACAGCACUUGAAUAUGGGAGUGAUUUCAUAUAGUCCAUUUGUUCCUGCAGUUCUUCUUCUGUAGCUGUUUGGAAUCUGAAGUGAACUCCCAAAGGAGGUAGGAAAGGUUUGGCACAACGCUCAUAGGACUAUCGGUGUGCGGAGUUCAUCUCUUGGUUAGCAAGGAAAGAUUCUUCAACCAGACAUCUCCCAUUUAAUCGGAACAGAAGUAAGAAAUCUAAUAUCAGUACGGACCAGGGGAAAGGUGUUACAAUUGUAGCAUCAAGUGCACUCAAUCCGGUUGUUAGUAUUUGUUAGGUCUUCCGUGUUAGGUCAUCUAUAAGACUUAGAAAAUACUGACACUUUCAAAAAGAUAAUGGGACUGAAGGUGCUCCCCAUAAAUCUGAAUGCACAUAAUCCAGAGGAUUCUUAGUAGUGUGCUGGCCCGUAGAGAAAUUCACUCUAUGUGUCUUUCCAUAGAUGCAAUCUUCACAAAAUUUGAGACUUGAAACCUUGCUGCUAUCUAGGAAACCUUUCUUGACCAGUAACUCCAUUCCUCUUUGGCUCAUAUGUGCAAGCCUACUGUGCCAAAGCCUUGUCUCAUCCUUAGCUGUUUCUGCAAGGUUAGACUCUCCUGUUUCAACAGAGCCUUGAAGAAUGUAAAGUGAAUCAUGUCUGUUCCCUUUCAGUAUUGUUCUGCAUCCUUUAAGAACCUUCAGAACUCCUUCACUACAACUUGCUUCAACGGGCCGGGGCCUUUCCCAUUCUUUCGAAGUUGCUAGCAUUCUCUCUCCUUUGCGCAUGUGUGGGAAUAAAUUGACUCCAUCUGUCUCUGAGAAUGGGGGAAGGCCACACUUUGUUCUCUUCUCUCUCUCUAGUCCAAUGUCCAAUUAAACCUAACCGAUCAACCCUUUCAGUGGUCCAAUACGCGCGCUGUAGGGCGCUGACACUUGGGUCAACGAUGAUUGUACCUAAAAUGAGAAGAGAGGAGAUAAAGAAAGAGAGCGUAUUGAAACUCUUAGGUGAGGAAUUUGGAAGUACUUUAAGGCUUGACGGAGAAGAGAGAGAUGAGAGGGAAGGAUAGCAGUUACCGAGUAGGAGUAGUUGAUCCUCACAUCAAAAUAUGUUUAUAAGAAAGUUUCCUCAUUCAAGUGAGAAAUAGGAUAAACCACCGCCCAAAGUUGCUUAGCCAAGAGUAGUCCUAUAUGGGCUCGCGAAGCCGGUCUCCGGUGGGAAAGAUCCUAUCUAACUAUUUGGGAGAACUUCUCUUCUUUUCUUUGAUUGUGCUUUGCUUAACACAAUCGAAGUGGGAUCAUCGUGGAGAAAAAUAUCUUGCGGUCAGUCUUUCCAUAUCUUCUUCUUUAGCUCAUUCGCAACAGUUUCCUCCAUUCCUGCGAUUUCCUCAGGAUUCCUCGCUUGUUGUGAUAGCAAUCUAUAACCGCUCUGUACCGUGUACAUGCCACUCUUAGUGUAAGCCCACACAUUAUCAUCCAUAAGAUUUGCCCCUGGUAUCAUCGAGAUGAUAAAUGCCACAUUCUGUGGAGGAAAAAUAUUAUGCAACAUAUCCAGUUUCCACGACUGCCUAUUCAUGUCGUACAAGUCAGACGAAGAUUAAGGUCAAUAGAUAGGUUUCAAUUCAGUGGAGGUAGAGGUGUCUCAUCCAUUAUCCAUCUGUCUAACCAAACCUUCGUGUGUAUACCGUCUCCAAUCGUCCUUAGGAGCCCGCGAGAGAGGAGUUCUCUGCCAUGAAUGAUACUUCUCCAAGCAUAUGAAGGUCUUGUCCCAACACUACACUCCAUCAUUGAGCUAUGUGGGAAAUAUCGGCUACGGAGAAGUCGAGAUAGUAGCGUAUGUGGUUGGUGUAUAAUCCGGAAAGAUUGUUUUGCAAGAAGAGCUUGGUUAAACCAACCUAAAUCCCGAAAACCCAAACCACCAUCAUCUUCUUUAGAUUUGCAUAAUUUCUGCCAAGCUACCCAUGAGAUCUUCCUUUUGUUUUCGCAAGAACUCCACCAAAAUUCCGUCAUCGCACUUGUUAACUUCUUGCAUAGCAGCUUUGAAAGCCGGAAGCACGACAUCGCAUACACCGGUAAGGCCAUUGCUAUAGAUUUCAGCAGCACCUCCUUUCCCCCCUGAGAUCAAAAUUUUGCAAACCAACCAUUAAGGCGGGAUUGAAGCUUGUCCCGAAUGAAGGCUAACAACUUCUUAUUUUAUCUACAACAGCAGAAUCGCAGCAAUAAUCAACAGAUAGAAAGAAAUAGAUUAGAGGAGAGGGUAAGGGUGGAUAGGGUAUGGACAGCCGUAGAACUCGCGAAGCAUGCAUUAGAAGCAGAUCCUACUAGGGUUUGUUAACCUACUCGGCGGGGUAGGAGAUAGAUAUGUUCCUCGUAGGGAUGACCUAGUCGAAGGAAAGAAGAUGUUCCCAAAGAGAUGUUGAGGAAGGAUAGCAGUAUACAUAAUCUUAAUGCAAUCAAACGGUUAUCCUCCUUUUUAUAGGUAUCCAAACUCGGAAGAUGUUAUGAGACUGAGCCGGCUACCGUACUUCGUGCUGGAACAGGGGUGACUCCUAACAAUGGAUCCACCACAGUAGGGGUUAUAUCACAACUUAUUACCAUCCGGACAAAGAAAAGGAAUAGUAGUGAAAUGACAGGAACGACAGCUUUCACUGCUACGGCUAUUGGCUUUAGCUAUACUAUGGCAUUCCCUGUAGUUCUUGGAGUCACUCAAACUCGAACUCCUGUUACAGCUCGGCUAUAGACUACGCCUCUAUUAAUCCUUUGUUCGUGAUCACUCCCAGCAAUCACUUCACUGGCUAACAGUUAGUUAGAAAGUGUUCCGGCUAAGGCCUAUAGAACUCAUUUCACUCCGGUUAUAGCUGAAAGUGGCUUUGUUCUUAUCGUUCAGUGGUCACUCUUUAUAGGUAAGUAAAGAAGGGAUUCUAUUAUAUUCCGAUACUGCUACGAGCUGUCUUAACUCCACUUACUUCUAGGCCAUUAGCUCAGUAAGCUCAGUAACUCCAUUCUCUAAUGCCAGCCUUACCUCAAUUCCCUUCUUAGCCUCAACAGCUAAAGCAUCCCUUUCUACAGCUCCUGAAACAGUCGAAGAACCACAGGCCUAAGUAAGUGUUGUGUUCAACCUUUCUAUAAGUAAUAUGGGUUGGCUGGUUGGAAGGACAGCUUUAUGUCGUAAGUAAAUAGUCGUCAACUAUCGAGAACCUGUCUGAAGUGUUAUUCCAGCGCUUCCUAGUCUUUACAUAGUCUUUUUCCCUAUAAUCAAGAAACGUCUCUCAAGUCGUGUUCCAACCAGAUGACUCCAUCUCUCUCUUGGACUGUUUCCUUCAUCCUCAGAAUAGGUGUCUGAGGGUCUUCAUCUCCGCUGGAAUCUUUACUUGCAAUUUGAUCAAGUCAGCUAUCCAAAAUGAGUUUUCAUUCAAGAACCACUUUACUUUGAGCUCGUAGCGGAAAGAGCAGAUUAACUUUCAGUUUCUCAUAUGGAGUCCCAUAUGCUUAGCCAUCAGCUGAGAAAGAUUGAUACCAAGUCGGAGCAUAUCCCGUUCGAGGGUCCACCUAUUCGGGAGCCAGUACGAGGGUCAAUUCCAGUUUCGGAUACCUGCGCCUAUUGCAUAUUUAGUAUUUGCAGUUCACCCCGCUGUUAGAUAGGCAGAGUAAGCAUAGGCUGUGGUAUAAAUCUUUUGAGUUUGAAGAUAUUUUAUCGACCGGAGCAAGAUCCAUUCAUAAGGGUUUGGAGAUUUCUCAAUCUAAAAAAUCAAAUACGAUUCAACAGCGGGAGAGAUCAGCAUUGAUAGGACAUGGAGAUGUGGGCUCAGAAGGGAGUGGAAUAGAGUCAUUUGAUAGCUUAGAUGCCGCCACUAGAGAGAGGUUCACUUGCUUACCUUGCCGGGUCACCAGGAGAGGUUGUGCAGAACAAGACCAAUAACCCGAUCUCUGCUAAGGAGCAAUACGGAUCGGAUAAGAGAGGAUCCAUCUUCUCGGGGGAGUCUAAAAGAAGACCACCACUUCCAUACGGAAAAGUGUAGACGAUGAUCCGGGACUUUUCGAUCUUUUUUCUGUUACCUAACUCUUCAAUCACUCUUUCUUAGGCGGGGACAGGAUUCGAACCUGCAGUCUUCAGGUCAUGAGCCUGAUGAGUUUUCUUCCUCUACCCAGCGUCUUCCCCUUCUCUUUCUUUCACAAUUCCCACCUAGGUCCCCCGCUUUGUUAGCUUGGCCGGGAUAGAAGCUGCGCUUAGUAAGCGCCCCUUGUCUUGUAUAGGUUGGAGCUAUGAAGCUUAGCCUUCUUAUUAGAAAAAGGUAUGAAAUGACUCGACUAAAAGAGGAACUUUCCUUUGUGAACAUUUACUUGCCUUUGCCUUUCCUUCCCGCCUUAAGAAAAAGAAAGCCCGGAUCCGGAUAAGCAGCUAUCGGCUUCAUGCCAUCUUCAUUCAUUUGUCCAAUUCCGGGCACUGUAAGAACCUAUUCUCUGAUUCAAUCAAAUAUCCCAAACCAAAGGCCUAUGAAAGCCCGCUCAAUAGCAAGAAGGCUUUUUCAACGAUUUUCAUGCUUCCUUCCUCGAUUGAUGAGGCCGUCGGGGUGCCUUUUGUGCUUUGCUUGCCUGUUAGUUUUGCGUAUCAGUUACUAGCUUUCCUUCCCUAGCUUGAAGUUCAGUUCUUCCUUUCCUUGGGUCAUUAGUGGCAUUAGUUUGAAAAUGAAUAUCAGAUCAUCUGUCCAAAUUGAUGGAGGAAGAUUCUUUCACAGCGCAUUCAAUUCCUAACUAUUGUGACGUAGCCCGAUGUAGUGUGAAUCGACCUUUCUUCUUCUUUUUUCUGGAGAGCUUCAAUUUAGCUGUCAUCCACGGAGAAGCUUCUUGGCUCUAGCCUCAUGUCUCAUAUUCUUUCAUAUUCUUUCUCGUUGGAUAUGGUAUCAACUUCAAGACUGCAGACAUGAACUCAAGAUCCCACCAAUCCCUUCUUCUUGUUAUAUGCGACGACCUACCGAAGACAAGAGAUGAUUAGCUCCUUUCUUAUUGGAUUGGAGAAGAUGGCUCGCUCACUUCCUUUGUGCACCUCCCGCUAUCGAUCUCAUUUCUUCCCUUCUAAAAGAAACUGAAGAAAGAAGUAGAGUCGCCUAGGAAGUAAAGAAAGUUGUGUUGGUUCUUUCCCUGGUUCCUUGUUCCCCUGUUGCCCUAAGAGAAAGGCUGUUGUGAUUCUACGGUUUAGAGCAUUUCCAAGAUAGGCAUUGUUAGCCUUGCGCUUGAACCUACAAGGAGGAAGAGAUAGCAAAGUCUUAUCUUAUAGGGGGCCUCGAAAUCAGAAUAAGUUGAGGGGAGGGAAUUCAAUGAAUCUGAAGCAUCAGAUAGCAACACCACAGGAUAAUCCAUUCCUACUUUAGAAAAAGGGAAGGCGUGAGGGUAAGGUAAAGUAGAAUACUACUCAAAAAGCUGGUAAAAGACCUUGGUUGAUCGGGUAUCGAAGGAAUCCCUUUAGUUUGAAACUAAUACCCCCUUGGAAAUUGAUUUGAUCUGGCUACGUAUCUCACUUCCUCAGCAACCGGUAAAAAGUAGAUUCAUCAAGAUAGGAAGGAAAGACGCAGUGCUCCUGUGGUGAAACUGCAGGAUAAAGAUAGGAAAAGUGGUGCUUGUCUUGAAGGUGAGGAAGGGAAGAGGAAGUGAAUUUGCUUUGGGUGUGGGUUAAGCUCUUCCUUAUCUUAGGACGAAUCAGCAGAGAAGGGCCUUCGCUUCGAACUCGGAUGUUUAGGAAGAAAGCUGUCCACUUGAAGCUGAAACCUUAGACUUCCUCUCGGGCUAUCUAUGAAUUAGAAAGCUAACCCUUAGAUCCGGGAAGAGGGAACUGGCAGUAAGGGUAUUACACUUCAAGAAAAGUGGAACUCACUCGAAUAGAGAGAGUCUAGGCUCACUCACAGACCCAGCUGUCUUUGCUUUGUUCACAACGUCAGCCCGCAAGAACUCACCCUCGUGUGAAAGAUAGCAAGAUGUGGUUGAUGGAAGUAGGUAUGUGUCAUAAGUUCAGGCACAGUGUCUUCUAGGAAGAAACUUUGUGUAAGGAUCUUUUACAGUAAAGCAAGGUAUUGAUCAAAGUGACAGUGGUGAGGGUAACCUUGUGAAAAAAAAAAUGGUUAGGUGUGCCCUUUCCUAUGGUGUCUCUUCUGUGUUAGCUAGUAUAAGUCUUAGUGCUUUUGUUUUAGUAAGGUCAAUAGGAGUUAGCUGGUAGGGCAAUCUCUCGUGCAAUCAGAAUAAUCCUUGAACCUUCCACCCGGAGUUUCUUCUUUCUUCAAAGCUUUGGAUUGAAAACCUUUGCUUAGCCUUAUAAAGUAGCCAAUUUUCCAACUAUAAUUAGAAUGAAUGUGAAAAGAAGAUGAAAGAAUCGUGUGAUACUAUAGCUAGCUACGAUCCCCUACAAGAGGAAUCACUCUACUUACCCCUUUGGCGGGCUUCGAGGACCCUACUGACUAAUUCUUUAUGCAUGGAUGCAGGAAGAGCCUACGAGUUCAUUUGUAACAAUAUGAAAGAAGAACCUUGCGUGCCCGAUCAUGAUAUAGGUACAGCUUCCAGCCAGAAAGGUGAUUGUGCUAGAAAGAUGGCAGUGAAGAUCAUGGAUAAAGAGCUAGUCAAGCAGCAUCCUGAUGAUAUCCACGUACCAACUACUGGCACUGCUAGUGCUUUUGUGGAUUAACCUACUUCCCAGGGCCGGCGGUCAGAGAAGAAAAGAUCUCUAUGAAAGCAGGAGACGGGAAAUAGGCUCGCUCGAUUCGAUGGUUUAGAGUCCCGUAUCAUAUGGCAUGCUUUCCUUAGAAUCCAUAGACAAAGGGCGUACGGUACCCUACGAAAUCGGCAGAUGAUUGCUUUGAUUGGCCUGCUGUAUCAGUUUAUUCGACUACUUCCUCCAUACCGUAGUGGACUUCCUUCCUAGAUAGAUGUAGGAGCAGCGGAAAGGGCUGCUUUAGAAGCUUCAAUAGUUCCCUCAUCAACGGAUGGUUUAGCCGCCAGGUGAUAGGGAUGUCAAAUAGAAAAGGCAAGCAGGCGUAGAAGGCCACGUUCGAUAGCUGAAAAGUCAAGCUGCGGUAGAGGGUGUAAACUAAAUAGUUACAGCUGGGCUUGGCAAUUAUCUAGCCGAAGUGGAAGGUUAAACGGGAUAAAAUCCUGGUCAUUCUAUAGUUGCAGGAUCGGUAAAUGAAGCCGGAAAGAGUAUCUAGAGAUAAAAGUCCAGGCGUCGAAGCCAAUUAAACACUUGGACAAGAUAGUGAAGGGUCUGGGGAGAAGUAAAUUCUAGAGUUCAUUACUCGGAUGGGGACUACAGUAAAGAAAUCUAUUCUAGAGGACUAAAUGUCAACAAACUUUAGCGAGAGUACCAAGAUCGGACUCAACUUCCUAUUCCAAAGGCAACUUUACUAGCGUGGUUAUGAAUCAACUUACAAUUCUUGUACAGGAGGAACUGUUAAUGAAAGACAACUAUAGUAGUAAUAGCUGUGAAUUCCACUUCUGAGUUAGAGUUCAAUCCUUUCCAUCUGAAAGUACGUACUUCUUAUAGCUUGAGAAGAGGAAGGAUGCAUUCGUCAGCAUAGGAAGGCCCAAUCAAAUACCCCAUCAUAGUAUAAGUUUUCCCUCUUGAUUGACUUGAACAAAAGGAAAGAAAGAAAGAUGCACAAACGAAACAGGAAACUACGAAGGUCUCAGGAGCAAUAUCAACUACCUAGACCGACCUGCUAUAAGAAUUCCAUAAAGACCUUGCGAAGAUACUGUACUGAAUGACUGGAUCGUACUAGAUAGAUAGUCUUAGAUAGACUUGAAUACGCAAUUCCUGCCAAUCUCGCACUUGACACGCAAUAAACAGCAGUCUAUCUUCACAGAGAAGGAUGGCAAGGGGUGAAAGGCUUAGACCUUAUCUGCUCUAGGCUAGUUUCAUUCUAUUCUUGUUCAGCAUAUUUAGUUUCAAAAGAUAGAGGUCCGGAGGCAUUAAUUAGUUGAUGAGGAGAAAGGCCAGCCACGAAACACUCACCCAAUCAACCUUCAAAGGCAAGUAAGGACUCUCUCAAACUGAAAAUUGCUGUUCACAUUGCAAGAUCUGUCUCAAGAUGUUUUGAAAAUGAGAAACAGCAGCAGAAUAAAUAGUAUACUUUAUCGAGAAAAGGGAGGAAGUAUCUUCUUUCUCUGACGUAGACGGGCAUUCCUAUCGAGAUUACUUCCUUAGGACCGGGAGGUCGAAGAAUCUAUAUGCUACCUUACUUUCAGGAUGGCUUUACGAAAGAUUCCAUUUAGCUGAAGUAGGACGAAGCGGUAUGAGAUAAGAGGUCUCAACGAGCCUUCAGCAUCUGAAACGGGAGCUUUAACCUGCAUAUCAUACGGGAGUCUUAGUGGAGAGCGUUCUCUGGUUAUCAUCCCUAGUUAAAUUUGAAGUGACGGAGGAACCCCUAUUCGAUAAAGAAGGGAACGGUGCAAAUAAAGCUAUUUCGAGUCCUCUAUCAACAACCAACCAAACCACCCGCUUGUCGGGCUUAAAGCGAAACUGAGCUUCUCACUAACAAAAUCAAUCGUAAGCUUCAUGUCCGAGACUCGGAAAGAGUGGCGUUAAAGAGGGCGUCAGAGCCUCUCGAAGUCUCCGAUCUCACAGAUGGUUAGGCUGCAAUUCCUUCGCUUGUGAAGAAGCUUGGAUAGUUCUCCUUACUCGGACAUUCUAUUCAUUCGACCACCGCCCAUGCUUAAAGAUUGAAGUUUUGUUUUGACUCUGUAAAAAAAAAGAACGUUGUAACGUCGGUUAACGCAGCCUCACAGGCAGCCUGAGAAGUUUUUGACCCCUUUACCUAUCUUGGGUGAGCUACAUCCAUACAUAGUCUAAGCCUCUGAUUGACAGUACUAGAUACGGAAUCUUAGUCCCAAGAGUUCUGCGGAAGCGGGCUAAAGGCAAUAGUUCGCUAGGGUGGUUAUCCCAAUUCUUUGAUAAGAUCGCUACCGAACGCCCCCAAAAGCCUAGUCUUUAGAAGGAACGAACGGAUUUCUUUGUUUGUUCGUGCAAUGAAGAAUCUUAUCUAAAGAAGGUAAUACGGAAAGAAAAAAACUCAACCUGAUGCUACUGGAAUAGAGAAGCAAGCAAAGUGGGUCGGGCUGGCCAAUUGAAAAAAGCGGUAUUUCUUCCGCGAAGACUAACUAACGGGGCGCACUCAAUUUCUACCUUCCCCGAGCUUACCACCACCCGUGGUACAAUAGAAUGAAAACAGAGUAAUGACCAAGGGAAUUUCUAUUAACCAACGGGAGAUCCUCCUUUUCUCGCUAAUCUAGGUCUCAGGGUUCCCCAGCACAGACUUCUUGUUAGUUUAAACUAGUAAAAUGGGAGUGAAGCUAUGCUGUUAAACAAGACAAACCAAUCGCAGAUGUACUAUCAUGCGAGGAAGGCCCCCCAUUAUUGUUGAAAAAGGACUAUUCCUAACACGUCUUUCGUCUAAUCGGGAGAAAAAAGGAAAAAGGCGUUAUUGCUGUGCUUCCCUUCCCUUUACAGGCAAGCUUUAACUUCCCUUCGGGGAAAGGGAAAGACCUUGAAAACUCUUUCCGUAUAGGCCAGAAAACAGCUUGCUUAGAGAAAGACUGACUCUCCUACGGACCUGGUGGACCUUACACAGUCGAGUUAUUGCAUCCCUCUCACAAACUAUCAAUUUCAUAAGAGAAGAAAGAUCGUUUUUAGAAAAGAAAGAACGUUUUGAUUCGAGGCGGAUCCCUUUUUUCUUUGCCUUUACGAGUUGAAAAGAAAGUGGUAACAGGUAGUAGCUCUGGUAGAGUGCAGGACUGUAAAUCCUUCUGUGAGCGGUUCGAAUCCGCAAUCACUUAUAGUUAGUUUCAUCGAUAUUUUUGUGGUGUUCAGUGUACCCUGAGUACAAGAUCGAAGAGGAUCCUCAUUCCCUCUUUAGUCAAUCCCAAUCGAAAAAUCAGCGGAGCCAAUGGCUUGAUCAUAAUGCUGCGGCGGGGUCAGAGAGCCGGCAAACCGUUUCUGGUUCUAGUAGAAAGGGAUUUACUGAUUCGGGUUGAGGAUGACGAGCAAAAGAGUGGAGGAAAAGCUGUUAUAUAGUUAGUCUAUUUCUAUCUUCCUAUCUUUGUCAUGUCAGUCUUAUUCCUAUCUUGGUAUCUUUGUCAUGAGGUAUGCAGCACACUCAACCAAAAUAUAUAGAAUUGGAUCAUCAACGGGUGUGCUAAAGAAACGCCUCUACGUAAACGGAUGAACGGGAUCAUCAUAUAGUGAGCUUCGUUUGGGAUACUUAAACCCACAAAAAUUAGCUCUUUAGCUGAUAUACGACCACCAACUAUCUGGCUAUCGAGAAGAUCUAAUAUGCAGGGAAGUAAUUCAAUAGAAUAACGCAAGGUUCGAUAAAUCAAUUGAUGCAAAAGCAGGGAAUUAGACCACUCCAUCCUUUAUUUCACCUAGGAGCCAUCUUAGCAGCAGGGCUUUCGACUCUCGAAUGUCAAAGAAGGUCCUUUUCUAUCAUCUGAGCUUUCUCACCUGUGCCCUCAGCCCUCAAGACUUCGCCAGACCUUGAUUUUCGAUUGAAGAUAAUCGUUGCUUCGCUAUCCCGAUACCAAAAUGGGAAGAUCUCCCUUCUGGGUUGGUAGAUGAAUUGUUCUGGGUAACAGGCGGUGGACAUCUUCGUUGACAGAUCUGAGUUAUCGACUUGGUCAUAUGCCCUAAAGUUACCCUAAGCCCUCGGGGCUCCAUCCGAACCUGUGACUCAACCUUCUCUUUAGCGGAGGAGAAUAGUUCCGAGUGAGUGUGCUCCCGAACCAACGAUUUGUAUACUCUUUGCCCCAGGUACCAAUACCCAUGUCUUCCUGCUUCUUUUGAUUCUCUUACUCUUCAAAAAUAAAAGCAAAGCACACCGCUAAACAAAAAGCUGGUAUUACCAACCUUCUCAGAGGUUAGGCGAUUCAUUGAGUCGAUCAGUCAUCUUUUUCCCAAGACAACUUUAUUGUGUGUAGGCGCACAAAGGAAGAUCGUAGAAUCAGGAUUACUCGUCCACUUUCAUCGCCUUUUGUUGAUCCGUGUCAUCCUUGCUGCUUCAUCCAAUUAUUCUUUAUUCCUCCUCUCACUUGGGCGAAACACUAGAAACGGCCAUUAAUUUACGGAUCGGUCAUACAAGGAGCAUACCUACUAAUACUUCGGCGUGUGCUGCAUUCGAGUGGUUAACAGCAUACAUCUAUUCCCAAAUCCCAACGGAGAUAGAUAGUAUCCUUCUGUGCUAUCCCCUAUAUCCUCGUAGUAGGGUUGAGGGCAGCGAAGUCUCCCGUUUAUCCUGUCUCCUUCUCUUGGUUAGUGCGUACUACUUCCCAACGUAUCUUAUAUAGAGACAUUGGAGGAGCCUGAUCUUCCAUCUACGCAAAAGAGAUGCUUGAGUUCUUCCAUCCGCGAAGGCGGUGUGCUCAAAUAAGUUAGUUUGUUACGAGACUAUCAGGUCCACCAGGAUAAUUCGAGGUGGAUAGCCCUGACUGACAGGGGACUAAGAUUAGGAAGCAUCCACAAGAGCGAAAGAGCCCUUUUAUGUUUGUUUCGCUAAUCUUAUAGAUUGGAAGUUUGCCCAGCACAGAGUAGUAGGGUUAUGCUUUCGAAAGUCUUUUCAGAGUAUAAGGGAGGUCCAUCUUUAGAGAUCUGAAUGAAAGUUCUGAGCUUAAUGGAUUCCCGGAACCCCAGGACUUUAGAGAGUCCCAACCCUAAGAAGGCUUGCUCGGGUUGAAAGAUGUGAUGCAGCACAGACAGAGGUGCGAUAGUAAGUCAAUUGAUCAGGAGAGGUGGUAGCUUCUGGUCUCUCAAGCUGACAAUGGUAGUCUAGAUAGAUAUAAAGUUCUAUGCUGUUUGCUUGCUCAAGGCUAGAAGCAGGAGUCUGUUAUUGAUAGCUCCCGUUGCCAUUGGCUGUUCCGCCCGUGGUCUUUCAGAUAGACGUUCAAAAUAAAAUUCUUUUCAUCCUCUCCUCCUGGCUACCAGUAUAUGGAGAUGGUUUGAUUCUGAGAGUUGAGGAACACCAAGCAAGAUUUGAUUGACAUCAUCUACGGCUUUGCGCCAAUAUGAAUUAUGAAUAUAGGUUAAGUGAAAUCUGACAACCAGCACACUGCUUGAUCUCAUUAGCAGCUCCGGCGAAGCAGCACAGACCAAGGUAAGCACAGGAUAGGCAGUAUCUUUAUGAAGUCUCGUAAGGCUCAGAUCUUUAAUAGAAGUAAACUUCAGGUCUUUGUUCUAAUAAAUAGCCAUCUUCGUCCUCAAUGGCAAGAAAGAAAGGCUGCUAGGAGUAAGUGGGAAGUGCCAGGGUAAAGCCCCUGAUGGAUCGAUCAACGGAUUCUGCAAUUUCAUCUCUUUCAUAAGCGAUUAAUUCUUGUUUAGCCUUAGUUGGGAUUUGGACUCAGAAGCCGAACACAGUUCUUAGAUCGAUUAAAAGCAUGCCGCUUAUCGACACUCUUUUUCUAAGGAUCUUAGGCAGCGGUUGAAGUUACCAGGGAUGGAACCAUAGGUGCUUUAGCAACAGCAACUCGACUAUUAGAACAUGCGUACGUGAGGAGCAACUCGAGUGAAGAAGCAAGUUAUGGUGUAUUGUCCAAUGUGCCCCGCUUUUCUCCAUGCUGAGGACUAUUCGACUUGUGAGUCAGAUUCCGAUUUAGUGGAGGAACUUCCUUUUGAAGGCACCCGAGAGCCUAUAUAAGAUUUACCAAUUUCCUCAGCUAGAUGAUCAAAGUCUUGGAUGCAGGAUGGCUCCAAUCUGACAGAUGUGGCACCAAAACCUAAAGAUUCCUUUACUAGGGUUUGGUGGAAUGAUAGCCCAAAGAAGAUUUUUGGUGUAGAAAGUCUCAAAUUCAGGAUCUUCCGCUGUACGGAUUUCCUGGGAAACGAAGUCAUAGGCACGUAGGUUCAGAGCCAGACCGAUCACUCACAAUAUCCCUGGGCAAGCCAAAGAUUUUGACCACAUGCUUAAGGAACAACUCCGCAGCAUCAUGGACGGUGCAUGCAUGUUGCGCUGCUAUGAACACAGCAUACUUAGAAAAGCGAUCCACCACUACCAUCACGGACCUAAUCUUUUUAGGAAUGGAACCCACAAACAAGGUCUUGAAGAGCCUUGUGUUACCUAACUAAAGAGCUCCCAAGGCCACCUGAUUCGGAGUAGAGCACUCCUAUUUACACUUCGAUUCCGCCCACUGAUUCAGAUCCAGCUAAGGCCCGCAACCAAAGAGGAGACACUUGCACCGGGGUAAUGCUACCACACAGGUUUUGAGGCGAGGCGCUGCCCUCUUUCGGGCAAUCAACUCUUUCUUGUACCUGGCACUAGUCAAAUUGUAUCUCGGUUCAUGGCAUGCCACAACGACUCUAUCGGCUUAUAGUCAUUCCUGGCACUCGGCGCAUGUCUUUGAUCAACCCCGGUUCCGUCACUCGUAUCUGGUUGAACCAGUACUUCCUUUCCGCCGUUCCUAGGGACCACCCACUCCCGUUCCCAUGAGUGAUCCGAGACAGUACGCGGAGAUUAAUCGGUCUCUUUUGGUUCUCAUUCCAAAAGUUGAGCAGCCUGUUAGCAUAAAAAUGGCAAUUAUCCUCCUUCUAUUCGUUCUGGAUACGGGCCUAGUCCUGAGUGCGCUGUCUGUCUUCUCGGCUGGCCCAAACAACGGGAUUGGUCCUGUGGGAUUAGCACCAAAAUUCCUCGGCAUCUCAUCCUCCUGUUGCUGGUCAUUUCCUAAAGGAUCGAAGGUUCAGCCGACGCCUCAAAGUGGAUUUGUUGUGCGAAGGGUGCGACCGGGAUUUAGAGUUAGAAUAGCGGGGAAGACUUGACCUCAGGCAGCGUGAAACCAGUUUAUUUCAUUCGAUGUAGUGGUCCGAUUGCCUAGUGGAAGCCCUGAGGCACUUGAUUCUUGCGUACGCUCGGCUCCUCUACCAAUCACCACAGCGCGAGAUGCGCAAGAGUGACCCAUCUCUCCACACCAACUGGACCAUACAAUACACUCUUUAUAAGAAAAAAAGAUUUGGAACCGAAAGAUAGGAAAUAAAUUUACUUCCAGAGCGGAAGGGAAUACUUAACCACGCCUCGAGUCCCAGUCUCCUAGUGGUGAGAUGGUAAAGGGCAAUGUCCGGUUCUGGCCAAGAGAUGUCUUUGCUCCGUCCCCCUUCUUGUUGGUUGGCACAAGCCCUUGUAGUAGUAAGUCUUUCCUCCGGCCGGAUCGGAUGUUAGAGUCAAUUCCAUUGUACGUUUGACCAUUAAGUGAAUGCAAAUAUAGGUAGAAUUUGAAUCAACGACCUAAGAGUCUUCUUUUGCCUAUCGUAGUUACCUUGAUGUGAUAAAUGGUCCAACUUUCUUGAAAGAUAUCAGAUCUUUAAAGUCCUGCUCAUAUACAUACUAAUAUGAUCGCUACGAGGUCAUCCCACUACACACCAUCAAGCAACCACUACUGAAGCUAUCAACUCAAUUCUCUCGUUCGAAUGGGGAGAUAGAUAAAAGAAACGAAACUCUAUAAAAUAUCAUAAGAGAAGAAGAUUUUAAUUCCAGCUUAAAUAAGUAAGACUUGACUCUUUAAAAAAUUCCGAUCAACAACUUGGAGGGAUGGCUGAGUGGCUUAAGGCAUUGGUUUGCUAAAUCGACAUACAAGAAGAUUGUAUCAUGGGUUCGAAUCCCAUUUCCUCCGGCGCGGAAGUGAAACGGGCGGGCGAAAUGAGAAGAGCACUACUUAGUGACUAGGAGCGGGGAGCCCGUUGCGCGUUUUUUUGUUUGACCGGCCUAUCUUCAUAAGUAAGCUCCCUAUGGCCGUCCAGUCCCUGGGCGGCUCUCGGUUCUUGAGCAUGUUGGGAGAUUAGUCGUCAAUUGAAAGAGCUGCUCUAAAGCUUGACGAAGAAGUUUUCCCUAUUAAUUAGAUUAGUAAAGGGCUUUUCCCUUACUAGUCAAGUGGUAAGGUAGGGCGCUCUUCGAUGAAGAAAAGAAGAGACUUUUGGAAAAGUGGUUCAGCUCAGCUGGUUAGAGCAAAGGACUGUAAAUCCUUGUGUCAGUGGUUCGAAUCCACAACCACUUCUAUUCUCGGAGCUGAGGUAUAUGAAGAAUGGCCUUUUGGUCCUUUGGACACGUAGCCGAGAGCGAGCCGGAUUUUUAAAAUUCAAGUGAAAGAAGGAAGAAGGCAAAAAGCCGUAUAGUGCAGGAGGCAGAUGAAAAAAAAAAAGCAAUUACAGUGAGACGCGAGGUGUAGCGCAGUCUGGUCAGCGCAUCUGUUUUGGGUACAGAGGGCCAUAGGUUCGAAUCCUGUCACCUUGAUUAAUGUCUUUUUUUUUGGAACCUUUGUUUUGGAGUUUUCCCAAACCUAUACCUUACUCAUCUUACUAAGAAAAUGGGGCUUAUGUUUUUCAGCCGCAUCGCACUGCUGCAUAAACAAUAGAUCCGCUGGGCUGGAUGAGCAACCUUCUAUCUGGCCUCUGUACUAGUAGUAGAGUUGCUUGCUACUUUCAAUCAUAAAACGAAAAUUGAGCAAGGCAAGGGAGAAAGAAGUUGUCCCCUCCUCUCUGGUAACCCGCCGCCGGUCAUAUAGAGCGCUCCGCCCGCCCCAGCAUAUGUAUAAAAAAGAGGGAAGAAAGAACAACCGUUUUACUUUGGCACAUGAGGUGGCGGGUUUGGCUAGGUAACAUAAUGGAAAUGUAUCGGACUGCAAAUCCUGUAAUGACGGUUCGACUCCGUCCUUGGCCUACACCUUCAUGACCAGAAAUAACUGGAACAAAGGGAAAGCCCACUCAACUAGUAACAUACGGACACAAACAACAAAACUACUUGUUACAAAUAACAUCUUGUUGUUGCAUCGAAACAUAUAAAUGUUUACUAAUCUGGCUAACAUUGAACUUGGUAAAAUUAAAUGGUUGAAUAAUUUAAAAAUUAGAUUAUUCGGGAAUACACAUUGAAUGCGAAGAUUACGCAUUUCAUUUCUGGUAGUAGAUCCAUAAUCAAAAAAGUGUUUGUGAUUGUUCCAGAAGAAGAAAUGAAACAAAAGAUACGGUAGAGCUAGGACAGUUAUUGUAUGAGGUCUACCCAAUGCUAAAUGCAGAGGCGCAUAAUAGAUCGAUAUGAACAUCAUGAGCUGUCCCGCAAUAAAACCUGUUGUUGCUGAUACUUUCUUCUCGGUUCCUUCUUCUCCUUCGUCCAUAACCCGAGCUCGGAGAAGGAAGAGAUAAAAGGGCCCUAUGGAGAAUGUGGUCAGAAAUCCAUAAUAGAGUCCGACCACAACGACCGAAUUGAUUAUCUUCAUGCAUAAGUAUACUAGAUUACCUAGUAUAAAAGAUUGAAAAACCAUCACAAACCUCCCCUUUUUCUUUUCUAUUUCAAUUUAUGGAUUAUUAUAUGAUGAUUUUGCAACUUUCCAUAUAUAGAAAUAGAAAGAGAUAGACUAGAAACGACAUCUCUUAUGUCAAUGACACCAAAGGGAUAUUAAAUGAAUGGAAUUGGGAUAUGGAUAGAAUAUAAUGAAAUAAAUAGAGCCGCUUUGAGGUUCCCUAUGAAAUGAGGCAUGGAACGGAGCCACUACGAAGAAGUUCCGGGGGUUACGAAGGAAACUUCGAGUUCAUAUUGGUCAUGUGGGUUGAGAACGGGAAUUGAACUCUAUAAGAUCUAAUCUCCCAUUGUUCCUCAGUAGCUCAGUGGUAGAGCGGUCGGCUGUUAACUGAUUGGUCGUAGGUUCAAAUCCUACUUGGGGAGAUUUGUUAGUUAUCGCUUUUCUGACCUAACGGCCCCUGUCCUUCUCCUUUGUUUCUAAACUAGCUGAAUCGUGUCAAAAGUGGAAAGUUGAUUGUUGGUUUUGAUUCCUCACUCUCGUAUAGGUGAACUUGGUUCGUUAAAUUCUUAGGAAGAAAAGAAGGAUCAACUGGGAAUGAAUGGGAAGACUGGAGUAGUAUCUCUUCAUUAGUCGGAAGGAAUUUGUCUCCACUAGCCUCAUUCGAAAAAGAACAGAAUCCGAACAAACAAGAAAAGGGUUUAGGUAGGAUAGUGCGAUGUAGUCCAAUGGCUAAAGCUCUGCCAGCUUCUUGUAGACUGAACUCUCUUUAGGCUCCUAGUGGUUUUCGGGUGGGAUGGUUGAAAUUUUAUUCGCCACUAGUGGCAACGAAGUUCUUGGUAAUUUUAAAGGGGGAAGGCUUGCAGACCACUCAUUUCAUUCAUUCAGUGCCUGCGGUGAGGCGCGACCCACAACAAAAACAAAGGGGGAAAGCUUGCUUACUGUAGCCCUCUUUUAGUAGACUAGGCUUGGUAAGCGUAAGCUAUUUAAGUAGGCUCGAGAAGGGUAGGGCUCGCAGCUUCGCCGGAAGCGACGAAGGGGGGCUGGGGAAGGCCGACGACUACAUGAGGGGGAAGCUGUCGUAGAAGCUUUGUCCCUUGCUUUACAGAGAUUGUUAUGAAUUGACUAAAUGACUAGAUUCUCCCGGAACGCUAGCUAAGCUAAGAAAUAGUAUUAGUUCCCUUCAAUCAAAUCAAUAAGUUUAUUUUUUUAUUGAUUCAGGGAAAAAACCUCCUUCUUAGAACCCAUUGAGGGGGCCUCGGCCCGGGAAGGGGAGAGUGGCCGAGUGGUCAAAAGCGGCAGACUGUAAAUCUGUUGAAGUUUUUCUACGUAGGUUCGAAUCCUGCCUCUCCCACUUGUUGUAGUUUUAGCUUGUAUAUGUGAAAAAACGAGAUUUUCUUUCAUAGAAUAACUCUUUCACAUAAGAAAGUGGAGGCAGGCUUGGGGGGAUACGAUCUAAAAUGAUUCCACAUGAAAGAGGACCGGGCAAUCGCCCUCUUUUUUAAUGAAGAAGCGGGCUAGUCCCCGAAAAUGCCCGUUAAUCAAGCAAGUUGGGGAAAAAAUCUUACCUAUUAGACGGAACACGAAGAGGUGAACUGCCGGAACAGGAGGACUUAAAGCUGAGGAAACAGGAAGGGCAGCUAAGGGAACUUGCUUCGGUAGGAGUGUGCUGAAGUUGGCUUCAAACAAAGAGAAAGAAAGUAGUGUGCUGAAGGAAAGAAGAAAGAGAGAAGGUUAAGAAGAGGAUACUGGCUUCGUAAGUAAAGUAUCUGAAGAUGAGAUAGAUCGGAGAGGUGAGUUACCAGCGAAACUAUUCACUCUGAUGUCCAUUUCCUGCAUUUUCUUUGUGCCGAUAGAGGAUUUAAUAUGUAGAUUCCUUUCCUUAUUCCCUUUCUGGUAACCAUAACACGUCCCUGCUUUUUUCUGUCGUUGACUGCUAGAGCAAGAGGGGACGACCUUUCCUACCUUAUGAUACACUGAACUGCUACGGCGGCUUUAGCUCUACUAUGGCAGAAGGAAUCGCCAACUUUCAUUUCAUAUAGCUGUAAAAGUUAGCAACCCCAUUUCUAAGGGAAAGAGCAAUCUUUUUUUGAAAAGUUUCAUCUACAGUCAAAAGAAAGCAAACCUCGGCAGCACAGAAGAGAGCUACUACUAUUAUUGCAUGCGUGCUCACGUGUAAGAGUGUGCUAAAUAAGGAAACUUCGGUCUAAUCCUCGGGUGUGCUAUCACAAGGAACUCGUCCGGUGUAGGAUUGUAGAUUACCUGUCCUAUUCAGCACACUCCUCCAUUACAGCACAGAGGAUUAGCUCGGGUUAGGAAAACAAGUAGCUGGUCAAAGCAUCGGAAAAGCAGAGGAGUGUGCUGACUUCAAGUAGUAGCUAGUCAACCAACUUCUGCUCAACCCUAGGAACAAGGAAAGUAUCAGCCGAUAACUCUGUUCACUUGGUGUGGGAUUCCUAAAAGUGUACUAUUAUCGCACGCCAAAGAGUGUGCUGAAAAGGGAAUAGUUGGUUAACUACCGAAGCUAGAAACAAAUACCUGCUAAAACCAAGGGAAGCAAGAGUAGGAACUACCCACCCAGGAAUCAGCAUUCUAAACUGCAGCACAAGCACACCAGCGUGUAUCAGGGGUGUGCUAUAAAAGAUCACAGCUAAGGUUGAGUCCUUACCUUCUUAUUCCUUCCGUAGUUAGCAGAACAUACUAGCCUGGCUUAUCCAUUCCUCGUAUUUGAGGAAAGUAGGGUUUGACAUCCCAUUCUCGGAUGCACGAAUUAUGCGUUUAAUCCCACGCAACAAACUCCUCUGUGCUGGGUUGUGAUCUUAAAAAGGAGCUUUACUGUAUAGUGUUACAGUAGGAAUACCUACUAGAUCGAGGAUUCGGAACAGUACUAUCCUGUUUAUAUUGACAUUCUUCUGUUAAGAUUUCCCGUUUGAGAAACCCUUUAAGAUCUGAGUAUCUCGGAAUUGAAAAUAGGACUUUAUUUGCAUCCCUUCCAUUUCAUAGGAAUACAGCUAAGGAUACCAUCAGCUCGCAUACUAUUUACGGGAAACAGAAGUAGGGCAAAGAGGAAAAGAGCAACUCCCUCUAUUAGAACAAUAUUCUCGAAUCGUUGCCCUUUUAUUCAUGAAGAAAGAAAACACAUCGGUCUAUCUAAAGCAACAAAAUUCGUUCUAUCUUUCUUUCUCUCCUAUUAAUAAAACUGGACUUCUCCUCUGCUCCUAUCUUAGCGCGACGGAGAAGCCAGCACUGAGAGAAGACCUCCCUUUCAAAGUCCAUCGCCUGCACUUGAACCGGAUACCUACUAUUUAUUUUAUUGAACUAGACGAUCAGCGGACUUUUAUAUCAUAUCACCAACAACGGGUUUCGCCCACAGUACAGAGAUGAUCUCAAUCGCAUCGGCAUAAAGGUCCGGAUUCCACUUCAAAAGGAUUUACGCGCGAAUUCAACUAUAGACAAAGGUCCGGAUUCCACUUCAAAAGGAUUUACGCGCGAAUUCAACUAUAGACAUAUCUCUUUGGCGACCCAGGGACGGGGAUUCAUCAAUCCCGGGGUUCGAGGGAGACUUUAGAACCCCUAUAUAUGAGUCUCGAAACCAUUAUUUAUACAUUUCUCGAUGACAGAGAUCAUCUUUAAGGAGAAUAAACAUUGGUCCUUUAUUUAAUAACCCCGAUAUUAUCAAAACCAUGAUUUCCUUAUUUCUCGAUGGCAUAGGUUCCAGGGAAGGAAAACAGUCCGGUCCUUUUUCACCCCGAAAUUCGAGAGUAGCCGUAUAAACCAAUACCGGCAGAACCACCCAAACUCGGCUCAAAGCAGGAACAAAGACAUCUAGAAAGCCCACAUCACGUGGGGACUUGGCCUUGGUGGGACAUUCAACCGACAUACACAACCAAAUAAUAAUAGGUUUUAGCCAUGUAUUCCGCUACACCGCCCUAUUGAUCUACGCUUUCGAAGCAACCACCGGUACCAUUUUCACACAACAGAGCCGACUUACUUAUUACAUUUAUAGGACAGGGAACCGGUCUCGGUAGGACUUCCAAAUCCUACCUCAAGCAACCGACAUCUCUUUACUUACUUGACCGCUAGCCAGGGGCUUGAAACCCCUUACAACCUUCCUUGCUUGCCGGGCUUACAUCGCUAUCAUCGCUAGCCAGGGACUGGAAAUCCCUUACAAUCACAUGCCUGCGCUCGUCGUGCCUUUAAUACUUAUUUAUUAACCAAACCCUCCUUGGCCCCAAUUGGUCUAAGACUCACCAACAUCUUACGAUGAGACAUCGGGCUACCUGGCAAGAGUCAAUAAAUUGGUGAACCUAUGAGAGACGCUUCUAAUUCUUUUCUUUCUCCUGACACUCACUAUCCUACCCGAUCCUGCUAACAGGAAAUUUGAUGAAAUAAGGAAACUUAGGCUGUUGUUGAAUCAACUUAGAAUACAACCGGUACCCACGUCGCAACUAAAGCACUCGUAGCAUACGUUCCAUCCACAUCCGGCCAGUUGAAGUGAAGAUCGAGAAAAUGUUCUUCAAAGCUUGCUAAUAACCAAAAAAGAAUUGGACUCGUGUAAGGGACUUCCUUUUCAAGCUAGCAUUUUAGACCAAUGCAAUCGAGUGAAAGUGCUUCCUAUCAUUUGUCUGCUGGAAACCUUGCAUUGAGUGUGCACCUUGGGAAUACUUGAGUUUGGAGGUCUUCAAGCCUUUCUAUGGGAAAGGUUUCCAAUACGUAUUCUGCCGUUGUCGAGCUUAAAAGCGGAUGAUGAUCCCUAAUCAAGAGUUUGGUCCUAGCUUUUCGAUUUCAUUUUGAGUUCUGUCCUCGCAAAGAUAUGAAGGGCGCUUUUCCAGGACGGAUACGGAUACAGGUGACCCCUUUUUCCCCUUUGCUUUCUUUAUUACUUCUCGUACGUGCCCAGUCUCAACGUCACUUCCAAAACCGCCUUUCCCAGAUCUAUGAAAGGUGAAAGGUUGAAGGUCCACAAAAGGUAACAUAAAUGAACAAGUUUAUUUUGUAUUCGAGCUGCUGAGGGCCGGAGCUCGUAUGGAUACAUUACUUCAUUGUUCUAUGAGGCCUUGCACAAAGCCCAUACUCGGAUAAGGAUCGCGAAGUGCAAAGAUCCGGUCUUUGACAACCCAACCGUCGUAAGGACAACAAAACCUAUACUUAUGUGUGUUCGACACUAUAGGCGAGACCAGUUGUCAGAUGAUCGCCGAGUGGCGUUCUGCUUGAUUAGGCGAAUGCGAGUGAGGUAUCUAAUCCCGUUCGCUAGGAGGGAGACUCAGGAAGAGUUCGGGCAGAAAUAGAUGGUGAAAAGCCCUUUAUAUUAUAUAAUAAAGCGCGCUCCUUGCAUGACUCCAUAUCAUUCAUUAUUAAAGCGAAAGCGACAACGUGUCACCCUAACCUUCAAAUCGAUAAACGGGAAUGCGUUACCUAAUAAUAAUGAGCAAUGCUGCUAAGAGCAAAUGGUUCCUAACCUCAUAAAAAAAGAGAUAGUCAUAUCCGACUAUCCGGCAACACGCUUGGAUAAGUAAGGCGAUGAACCGUACCUUUAUCUCUAGGCGCCUAUGAUGUCUUAUUAUGUAGAUCAUGUCUUGCUUGAGAGUUCCAAACCUCGCCCUUCUAAAAAAGUACAAACCCACGUCUAGGGAUAUACGAGCGCCAUUCUUCAGAUGGAUCGCUCUUCGAUAGUUAUUUAUUGUAGCCGGGAUAAGCAGGGGUUCCUCCUUCCGUCCUAGUUUUUUUUUAGUACAAGUAGCUAAGGGGGCUGGGUUGCGUCUUUCUUGUGAAAGAAUACUUGCUGCGCACCUGCUGAAAGGAAGUCAAACGGAGAUUACCGGUUCCGGAGGGACCAACCAUUGUACUUAUAGGGUCAGGUCUAUCUUGCCCUUCCAAAUCACCCAUGUGUAGCUCCACCGCACGAGUCAGACCUUGUACGGGCUUUUCCACAGGCUUGAGGCAGACUCUUUCCUUAUUGGGCUUCAAUCCGUUUGUCUUUGCCUCCUCUACUGAGUCAGUGACAGAAGUGCAGCAGCCAAUAAUACGUAUAUAAGAAGAGGACUGCUUACGGGAUCAAACUAUCAAUCUCAUAAGAGAAGAAAUCUCUAUGCCCCCUUUUUCUUGGUUUUCUCCCAUGCUUUUGUUGGUCAACAACCAACCACAACUUUCUAUAGUUCUUCACUACUCCUAGAGGCUUGACGGAGUGAAGCUGUCUGGAGGGAAUCAUUUUGUUGAAAUCAAUUAAUCCAAUAUGCGACGAAUCUUUUUGUUUGAUGAAAAUAGUCUUAAUUCAAGUUCCACCAUUGAUACAUCUUCUGCUUCCACCAUUGAUACAUCUUUUGCGAGUCAAUGCACUAACUUUUCUAGUGGUCAAGCGUCCGGUACUCAGGAUACUCAUGCUGGUAUUUUUGAGGAUUGUCCGGGCCUUAAUCCUAACGAUGAGCGUGUAGUAGAGCUGCAAUGUGAGAUACGCGAGAAGUGUGAGGCAUUAACGCAAGAUCCCGAAAUGGGCUUGAUUUUGGGCGAAGCUUUACAUGCGGAAAGCGACAAUGUCCCUUUUUUGCAGUCCAUUGCUGAUGAUUUAACCCAAAACGGAGUAUCCGGGGAAGCCUUUCAAGAAGCUCUGAAUAUAGUGGGACAGGCGGCGGCCUCCCCACUGGACCAAUUUGAGAUUGUCCCAUUGAUUCCUAUGCAUAUCGGAAACUUCUAUUUCUCAUUCACAAAUCCAUCUUUGUUCAUGCUGCUAACUCUGAGUUUUUUCCUACUUCUGAUUCAUUUUGUUACUAAAAAGGGAGGAGGAAACUUAGUCCCAAAUGCUUGGCAAUCCUUGGUAGAGCUUCUUUAUGAUUUCGUGCUGAACCUGGUAAAGGAACAAAUAGGUGGUCUUUCCGGGAAUGUGAAACAAAUGUUUUUCCCUUGCAUCUUGGUCACUUUUCUUUUUUUGUUAUUUUGUAAUCUUCAGGGUAUGAUACCUUAUAGCUUCACAGUGACAAGUCAUUUUCUCAUUACUUUGGCUCUCUCAUUUUCGAUUUUUAUUGGCAUUACUAUAGUGGGAUUUCAAAGACAUGGGCUUCAUUUUUUCAGCUUUUUAUUACCCGCAGGAGUCCCACUGCCGUUAGCACCUUUUUUAGUACUCCUUGAGCUAAUUUCUUAUUGUUUUCGCGCAUUAAGCUUAGGAAUACGUUUAUUUGCUAAUAUGAUGGCCGGUCAUAGUUUAGUAAAGAUUUUAAGUGGGUUCGCUUGGACUAUGCUAUGUAUGAAUGAUAUUUUCUAUUUUAUAGGGGCUCUUGGUCCUUUAUUUAUAGUUCUUGCAUUAACCGGUCUGGAAUUAGGUGUAGCUAUAUUACAAGCUUAUGUUUUUACGAUCUUAAUCUGUAUUUACUUGAAUGAUGCUAUAAAUCUCCAUUAAAGUUCUUCUUUCUUUUAUUUAUAUUUAUAAUUGAACAAAAGCGAGGGAUGGAUGUCUGAGCGGUUGAAAGAGUCGGUCUUGAAAACCGAAGUAUUUCUAGGAAUACCGGGGGUUCGAAUCCCUCUCCAUCCGCGAAGUCAUAAGUUCUCUCUUGCCGCCUGAUAAGAACGAAUCGGAUCGACUCGACUGAUAUGAUAGAUGGAAUGGGUACCUUGUGUUAUGAUUUUGUUAGGAACUUUGUCUCCCUUUCGUUAUCUUCUCUUUUUUUCUUGGUCGGCAAGGGUUAGGGCCUUUCUCGCUGGGCGAGCGCAUCCGAUUAGUCCUUUCCUAAGCCACUUCCCGUUCAGUUGCUGAAAAAAAAAUGGGGAUAAGCUAUGCGACGACAGAGAAAUCUGAAUCUACUUUUUGCCAGUUCCACGAAUUCUGCAGAUAACGACGUUCUGCCAGGAGUGCCAGUUCUGGACAUGUUUCCUAAUAUAUCAGUAGACACCAUAAUUAACCACCCCUUCUACUGUUCGGGUACAGUAGCUCUCGCAGAAGAAUUGGUGGAUCCUAUUAUUAUGGAGAGGUGGAUAGAUAGGACGACUAGUUGCUCGAUCAGGACCUUAGCUUUAUUGCGAGCCUAGAAGUCUCUCUUUUUUCGGAACAGCCUUUAAGUAAAAUCCAACCUAAUAUCAUUCAGAGUAAAAGGACUACGGAACCAAAGAGAACCACACUUGCUUCGCUAGGAAUGAAGCAGCACACCAAUGGGCAAAGGGUAUGGGCGACCUAUCUGCUGCGCUAGAGAAAGAAAGAAAGUGCUUCGGGCUGCUUUGCUGCGCUAGAGGAAGGAGACUGAUAAGGAGAGGAGUGAUCCAAGCUCAACUCGAUACUCCACUCAUCUUUCUCGAUUCUAUUGACAUAAUUUGGUUUCUUCUAUAUUAGUGAAAUCAUUACAUGACAGUGGAUCUUGCUUGGUACUUGUCCGAGGGGAGAUCCAUACUCAACUCAUCUUUCUCAAUUCUACUGACAUGAUUACUUGGAAUUGAUUGUCGUGAACUCAAUCUCUCAUAUAGGCAUAGUUGAAUAUCGCGAAGCAAAAACCCAAACUUGAAUAUCGCGAAGCAAAAGGCUACAUCAGACGAUGUACAAGUUUUUCAAAAAUGAUUUGAUCGAUUGGUGUGUUUCGAUCUUGUUGAUUCACUAGGUAAAUCACAGCCUCAUCCUUCUAUAUUACCUGUUGAUCGAUCAAAAAAAGCACCUUACCUCGGAUCAAGAAAAAAGAAGAAACCGAAUCUCGGAAAACGACAAAUCACACAGUUGAACAAGGUGGGAGUAGCUCGUGUGAUCUAGUCGAAGGUCCAUAGGAAACUGAUAAGGAGAGGGGUCUUCCAUCUCACUAUUCUAGAUUCUACCGAAUUAGUUGGAAUUGAAUUCGUCCAAGAUUAAAUGCCAGUUGAAUGUCGACUAGUGUUGAAGGUCCAAGCUGUACUCGACUCAUAAUUUUGCUUUUCUAUACCUUACUCGUGAAAUCGAUGAUGAUUACAUGACAGUUUAAUGUCGCCUUAUUGCUUGAUCCUUAUCUUGUAUCCAAACCAUACUCAACUCAGAAUCUACUGACGAUCGACCACCAACUCAUGAUUACAAAAACCCUCUCUUCGAAAACCCAAUAAUCAUAAACCAACUCGUCGACUUUGGUUGAUCCUUCACUUGGCCAAAGGUCCUAGCCGUACUUCCCUCCACUCAUAAUCACCAACUCUAUCAAAUUUUUAGAAUUGAAAUGUUUGACUAUUACAAAAGUACAUUUUCCAUAGAGUGCAGGAACCCCAUCCCCUCACCCCUCAUCAUCUAGCACACCCUUGGGGUUCACAUACGGUUUUAAAAAGCAAAGCAACUCUUCAUACUCAUGGCGAAGCACGCAACAAGCCGAACCCUCAAUCCCAGUGAGGACUACUCCGUUGGGGGUUACUUCGCAAGGACGCCGCAUGUGCAGUUCCUCAGUCUUCCUUCUCCUCCAUAUGAAGAUUUAUCCCAUACGGUGCUAGCGAAGCAAGUCUUCCGAGUUCAUACUGCAUCUCGAACGAAGGUCACUCACAGUUCCGAAGGUCACUACGGUUUCCGAGUCUUAUUGUUCUUCUUCUUCCACGUAUGACAGAUACCCUCAACCCUCAGGCCCACGGGGGGUUGCUACGCCCAGGGCUACUCCGUUGGCCCUGAAGGGUUACUUCGUUAGGGCUACUUGGAGGAGUUGACCAACCCGAACAUGGUGCCUUGAUCUUCAGCUUUCCAAUAAGAAGAUCAUUGAUGCAGCACACUGAGCUAAAUUCUUAAACUAUCUUUACCGGUGUGCUGCCUCGCAGAGAUUCUCAACCUAGUCCGCGCAUACUCUUUCCGUUUCUGUCUUACAGUCUUUCUUGUUCUUCUUUUCCCUAUAGUUAGAAGAUGAGCCCCUGGGGUGCCCUGCCCUUCUUUUACGGCUGAUGGACAUUCAAUAGAUUUAUCUGCUGUUGCCUGAUCUACGACCCCCUCAAUCUGUCGAAGCAAAUGCUGCACAGAGGGAGAAGUUGCCUGACCGGGCUAUUCCCUUGUUAUCUGUUGUCCAACUGGUUGAAUAGUAAUCUGUGCUGGAUCCCUCUGAAGCUGGUCAUUCCUUGUUUCCAGUUAAUAGUGGAGUCUUACUUACUUGAAUUCCUAUUACUGUUAGCUAUUAGCACUUGCUUGUUAGGUGAGGACUCUCUUAUCUGGUUAACCUUAGUGGUAGCACACUCCAAGUCUAGACAAUCUUCCUCCCAAGAACCUCUCGAUACCAGAAUGGCUACCAGGGCGCUACUAGACCAACUCAGAUCAGAUCGUCGGCAUAAUUAAUUCUUUUUACUUGCCCAGUAGUGGUCUCUGAAGUUUACUACUAGUGGUAGUGCAGAAGACCUCUUUACCUACCCGGCUACUGACAGGAAAGGAUGAUUUUAGAUUCUUUGCUUGCCCAUACGCCGAUCCUGUUAGCUGACUGGUACUACGAAGAUCUAUGCCAUUCAAAGGAGAGAUAUGAAUACACCAACUACAGACAAGAAAGAGACUCUAAGUCCAACCCAUGUCGUGGGCAGGGAGAGACAGGCAGGCAGCUAACACAGAUAUCAGAUAUUAGACUUGGCAACAGACGCUUUGAUAUGUGUUACACAGACGCCCUGUAGACAUUGAAUCGGCUCACUCCGACUUCGAUUGCUAAAAUGUUGACGUGAAUAGUGAAUACGCUUGCUGGUUGUGAUAUGUUCCCUACUAUACUACUAUUGAAGACCUUGACUUUUGAUCUUCCUUCUAGGAGAAUUCAUCAAACCUUGCUUAUCCUUCUGAUGAGCAUUCCUCUAACUAAGUUAGACUGCCUCUUACGAGCAGGUAACCUACCUUCUAAACCAUGCCCACUAUACUUUCUUCUAAGCCAGCUUUUAACUCUUUGUUUUCGUAUCAUCUCAUUGGACUUAUUUCAAACAAACUCGUUACACUCGCACCUGAUUACACGGGAACGAAGAAAACUACAUGGGGAGCACGCUUACACCUGCAAGAACUAAGGGUCCAGACCAAGCACAGACAGAUAGAACCAGACAUCAAAAAUCUUCCUUUGCAGCCUAUCAGAUAUGGAAGUUUUCGACCUGUCUUUCACUGGAUUGAAAAGCCUUGUAUGUUGAUAGGACUAUGUGGGCUGCAUUUUGAAGUUUCUUUCAUCGCAAACUGGCCAUGGGGUAAACCCUCUGAGAUAGGGGGCUGCUCAAUCCCAUGUAUGUUGACAGGGAGAGGGAGCGAACUUUCUUAUCAUAUCAGAGCAAGCCGAAGACCUCUUCCGGGAAAUCGGUUCCACUUCCAAUCUUUUUUUUGAAGAAAGAAAAGUAGCAAGAGAAUGGUUCAAGUUCGGAUCGAGUAACGGUGAUUGAAGGGAUGAGAUCGGAAGCUCCUGAUUCAAAUAGUUAACUGGGCUGUGGUUGUCGAGUCUGCUUUCCCUCUCUAUCAAAGCCCUUGCACCUGCCUUCUCAGUUCCUCGUGCUUAGCGGGACUCCUUUUCUAAUUAGAAGGAGACAGAUUAGGUCAAGUUGCUCCAGGUAUGAAAUCAAUCCCAUGUUGGUCGUAAGAGUGGCAAGCCAUGAGGUAGGUCUUAUGGAAAUAAAUAAGCAUCUUCCUCAAGCAACUCCUUCAUCUGUGGCGGCUGCUCCUCCAAGACAACUGCCCAGCAUAACUAAACUCUUAUCUUUGACUUGACUCUCUUUUGUUCUAUGCCCCUUAGGUAGGAGUCAGAUCUGUUUUGUAGCUUGUUUCACCCUUCUUUGUAGCUUGCCGUUUGGUGUGUUCAUCCCCGCCCUCCCUGAACGGAGCUGUUGCUAAAGCAUAACUAAUAUCUUAGCUGUUUGGAACGUAUAGCUACCCGGUUCUUCCUUUCUUUAGCGGAGGCGUAGGUAACAUAUCUAUCUAUGAGUUGCUGAGAACGUCUCCAAAGCAUAAGGAGUUGUUCUUCAAUUUCAACCAAGAAGCACAGGUUCCCGCAACCCUGACGCCAGAAGAGUUGCAAGACGUGGUCUGGUCGAACAGAUUACGACCGCUGACCUUUACAGAUCAAUUAUUUUCCAUCUUGAAAGAACAGCCGGAAGGUAUGAAGCUCUAGUCCUUCUUUCUAGCCGUAAAUCAAGAACUCGAAAGGUUUAUUACUUUGUUUAAUCGCUUGACUAGCUUCGAAAGAGCAAUCUCCUCUUCUAGUCUUACCACAAAUCAAUGCUUUCAAGAAAGUGCUCAGUUCCUGACAACAUGGUUCCCGGUCGCGCAUCCCCAUGGAGGUGGAUAUUUCACACAUUGGGGUCAUCAGCCGUCGAACACAGUCAAGUUAGCAAAGAUUCGUACGAAGGAAAAGAAGAAAGAUAGAUGGUUUCUAAUGGGAAGGUAGCAGCUGUCAUCAUUAUGAUGAUUCAAUCCAUAUUAAUCCCUAUUUCAGAACUAUGUAUUAGUUAGACGACGUCAACGGAACAAGAACUCCUUCCUUUACAGGCAAGCGGGGUAGCUGCUGUCUCGUUUAGGAACUUGAGUUAGUCGACUAAGAGGUAGAAAGUGGAAAGAAGCGGCCUAAAGGAUUAGCGACGACCCCUCUCGGCUUAAAGUAAAGGAAGCGGCUUGUCCCAUCCAAUGCCCUACUUUUAAGUACUCGGUAUGUUCACUCAAUCAGAAGAAGCUUUCGGAAGUUCAUUGGCCUCUGCGGAGCAUGAAAAGGCCUGUUUUGAAGCUCCGGGGACUUAUUAGCCCGUCAGCCUUACUUCUUAGGAAGAAGAGAAAUGUGCUUGACUUCUUCAUCUUAUAAGAUGACGGCAACAUCCUAGAUAAGAUCUACGAUUCCUGCUUAUGAAUCAUGGCAAACCGGUGGUGAAAACAGUAUUACAGAGUAGGUUGGUUAAAUUAAAGCGGGUUACUUUGAUCUUAUCGUCUAGCCGGGCAUGAGAGCCCAAUAAAAAAGGACCGACGACGAUCCGAGAAGGACGAAUCAAUAAAUCGACUUCCUUUAGAGCAGACAGACUACGCGCUAACAGCUUUAGAAACUUUGCUAUACUAACAAAGCAAGCAUAGCAAAGUCAAAGUUUGAGUUAGACCGGGUAUGAGGCAAAGCCAAAGGCAGAAGUGGUUUAUCCAGGUCGGUUGAAUCCCCGAAAUAAGCACCAAUUGCUACCGUCCAAUCGCUAUCAUUAUCAUGGUUGGAGCAUAGAUAGCAAAGGUAUGGUUAGAGGUCAAAUACACAUAUCUACCAGGUAGGUGAAACGAAUUCCAUACCCAUAUCGGGUAAUGGGCCUCCAAUUACUUCAGCCUAAAACGAAGUCUGAGGUCGGGUCAACAAUCUAAUAGGUUGCCUUCCCCCGUUCGAGAGUCAGAAUCCUAGCCAGGUGAAGAUCCACUGGAUGGCGGGCGGAGUGGCUUUAGAACCGAAAAAGUAAGAAAUUCCAGAGACGGUUGACCGAGCGGAGACAUCAGAGGAAGGAGCACUAAUGGAAGAGGCAUCCAUUAGCUAGGGACACAAGGGCUCUUCUCUGGUAGCGGAGUCUAAGAUCAAGCCAGCUAGAGAGGCAGGAAGAGGAGAGGCAUAACUGAUUGAUUGUUGUUGACUCUUUUUUCCCGGUUCUAAAGCCAAUCACAGAGAAAUGGGGGCAAAAGAGCAAGAAGUAGCACCUACAAUGGACCGGGUUUACCGAGUCUCACUAACAGCAUUUAGCCUAGCAUCACAGCCACCAGCCGAAAAAAAAAGUCCCUGACCUCAAACCGAAGGCAUCCGUGGCAAAGAAAGCAUCUGAGCUGGAGAUUGUGUUCGGUUCAUGUCUUUGUUUUUUAUUUUGAAGGUUGGGUGGGAUUAAUGAGAGUUACGAGGCUUUAAAGAGAUAUAUAGGCACACAAACGUUGAUGCCUUUUUAAAGGCUAUGAAAGUUGGAAGCUGGUCUUUGUUGACUUUUUGUAUCAUUCUUUUCUAGAUGUGAUAAUCAUAACUCUCAUAUAUAUCAACUUUAAGGUUUUUUAUAAGGACAUGGUUAUAAUAUGAAAAGUUUUUGGAGAGAAAUCCCCAUUUUCAGUAAAACAAAAGUUUUGCAUAAACGUAUCCGAAUACACACAUACAUUUUACUUCUCGGAUUAGUUUACCAGUUGAAGACUAUAGAUUGACAAGAUCCAUCAUGAAUCCCAUCCGCUAUCGUUAUUCGUUACGAUUGUCUCCACCACAUCAACCAAAAUUUGUUGUUAUUAGCCUUUGUUCGUCAUUGCCAACGUUCUAAUCAUGUAGUAACUGCUUGAAUGAUCAAGAGGUAAGCAGAGAAAUAGAAAAUAAAAAAUGAGCAGAUUAAAGAGGUGGAUGUGGAAAAGCAAAGCAGAAAAGAGAAAUCGAGAAAAUCUUUUAACUCGCUAGAAGAAUCAUACAUGUAAUUCUACUGAGUAUAAAAAAAUUUGGUGGUUUAAAUGUCUUGAUAGAUGAAAAAGUAAGAUAAUUCAAGAGGAGAAAAAGAACAAUAAUACUAUAACAAAUAAUAACACAGUACGUAGUUAAUUCAAAUAAGUAUGCAUUUUAAUGUGUUUUUUCUUCACACAACUAUAUUUUCUUUAUCUUAAAUUAAUCCAAUCGCUAGCUCUCUAAUGUCGUUUUGUUCUUCUAUCUAAGGGGUUUUAAUUGUGAAAUUCUGUCUUUGUUUUAGAGUUUAUCUUUGUUGUUACUUAUCAGGGUUUGUAGAAAGAAUCCUAUUCAAGUUCCUAUAGAUGCAUGGCGUAAAAAUCUUUGAGGAGGACCUGCGUCUAGAGAAGGUAAAGUUUUCAAUCUUUAUCUUUUUAUGGCGUAAGAUGGUUCACCUUCUCAAGAUAUGCUUUUUUUAUAUCCAAUCAAAACAAUUCAGGUUUUGCUUUAAAUCUCUGGGAAUUCAAGGGAGCUGGGAUGAUGAUAGGUUUAUGUUGGUUGAUAGGUUUGAUUUUUACUGUGAUAAGUAUUUUUGAAUUUUAUAUUGGGUCAUUGCACCAUAAACUGGAGAUCGAAAAAGAAAAUAUACGAAGACAAACGUAAAAGAGAAUGUUUUAUCAAAAAAACUUAUAAAAAGCGAAAUCAAUUCUCUCGACUUUUAAGACAUUUAGCAGACCUAGAAAUCAAGAUGGUGGAUACUUUCGGUAUUUGGUUUUGUUGUUGUUAACUAAUCCAUUGUUCUCUACUCUAAAUUUGUUUAGUACAUAAGUCAUUUUCAUAUCGUUUUUCUUCUGUACAUUGUUCAGUGGUAUGAUAAGUCACUUCCGCAUCAAGAUGGCAAAACAGAUUUUUGAUAAGGCCAUGCAUUUUAUAAAGCUCCAAAGUAGAGAUAUAUUUGUUUAUUGGACACGUCCCAAACUAGAAGUUUUUCCGGUGUGGAGAAGACUAAAAAUACACUAAUUUUGGUGUGGUUUACAUAGACUAGAAUAAAAAGAUGGUAAAUGUCAAUAGUUGUGCCUUCUUCUCAUGUAAGUUAAUCAGCUACUUUAACACUUGUGGUUCUUGAGGAUUUAAGUGCUAAAUACUAAGAAGAGCUUAUGAGAUCAUGUUCUUUACCAUCUCAAUUUCUAUAACUUUUAUGUAAUUUGAGUGAGCUCUGUUUUUUUUUUCUUUCAAUCCGUUGAAAAGUUUCGAAAGAGAUGUGAUGACUAUUUUGAAAGUGUAUAGUAGUCAACUAUAGUGUUAUUGUUGGAAAGCAUGUAUUAUGUUAUGUGUAUUUCUUUAAUUACCUUGGUGCUUAAUUUCUUAAUGUUUACUUUACCAUGGAUUAUACUGAUUGAAGAAUUUUAAAUUGUUUAUCCAAAUUUAUCUUAACCUUCAAUUAUUCCAGAAAAAGUAGUCAAAGAAACAUAGGUCGAAUAAUUAAAUGAAAAGAUAUUUUGAAAAUUCUUAUAACAAAUAUAAUGCUGGAAACAAAGUUGAUAGAGUUAUUUAAGGAUAAGUUUUAAGGGCUGCAAGCUCUUCAUCCAUAUUUUUCUGGUUAUUAUCGAUGAGUUAAAUUUUUAUUUGUGGGAGUAUUGAAAACGUAUAUUCGAAGGGAAAAAAUGAUUUUGUGAGCUAAAUUUGUUGCCGUCUACAGCAUCCCAGCGUACUGUGUGAGCCGACAUGUAGAAUUUACAAUUUAAAACUGUUAUUUUAAUAAGUAGUUCUCUUACGUUCAAUAUAUUUUUAAAUAUAAAAAUAAAAUAAAUCAUCUAAGAGCCAAUUUCACGAAAGAAAAACAACAAAAAGUUUAUCUUAAAAGAGAAUUAAUUUCAUUCUCUAUUUUAGAUGAGUGUUAGAGUAUAUAUGUAUAUAGCGUCAUACAUCUAGACUAAGUUAAAUAUUGGUGUUAUUUGGUAGGGCUUAAGAUAUAGUGUUUAACAUUUAGAUGAAGUUAAUUAUAUAGGUUUGGGUUUAUAAAGUAGGAACUAGGGUUUAGUGUUAUAAAUUCAGAUGAAUUUGAAUAACUAAUUUGGGUUUAUAAGGUAGGGUUAGGGUUUAAGGAAUAACUGAUGGAAGCACAUACAAUAAUGUAAACUUAUAUCUUUAGUUCAUAUCUAACUAAAAAUAUUUGAACAAUUUGAAACCUCAUUCGAUUAUAUUUAAAAUUAUUUAUGACUUAAAGUUCAUUGUAAUUGUGUUUAUUUGGUAUAGUGUUUAACAUUUAGAUAAAGUUAAAUAUAGGUUCGGAUUUAUAAGGUAUUAGGUAGGAUUUAGUAUUAUUCAUGUAGACGAAUUGAAAUAACUAAUCUGGGUUUAUAAGGUACAGGUUAGGGUUUAAGGUUUAGAAGUCUCAUGAAUAUUAAAAAGGGGUGCUAAGUAAUUUGCAAGGAUUAGGCACUUAUGGGGCUUGGAGUUAUUCCUCUUCUCCUCCGUUGGGAAUAAGUUUUUUUAGUGAAAGUUGUCCAGAAAACGAGAGGGAAGAACUCAACUAUUUCUCAAUUUGAAGAAGCUUCCGGUGGAUCCUUUUUUUGUUCUUGAGACCUUUGAAGUUAAUCAGUAGGGGUCCUAGGCGCUAGAAUGUCUAGAUUGAAAAAGUAGCAUAUAUAAGCUUUUUUAUUUCAAGAGAGUAAAGUUUACCCUGUUUUAGUGUACCAAAAGAUAAGAGACUGUGUUUUUGUGUGUAAGAAAUCUCAAGAGACAAGCUAAAGUAGUCGAAACUUUGUGUAAAACCAAUUAAGAGAGUUACAAGUUCUUUAUAAGAUUUUUUGAUGAAUUUAUAAGCUCAUUGUUGCUGAAUUUUUUAAAUUUUUUUAGUUACUUAUUAUUUUGAAGUUAGAUUUUGAUAUUGUCAAAAGUAUUUAUGGGUCCGGCGCAUAGGCAGACACAAAGAAGAUUAAAGGAGGUCAGCUGGUCUUUUUAGAAUUCUACAUUUGCAUUGUAACCCUUUAAAAUUCAUGAUAUUAUUUAUAUAUAUUUUUUUAUUUUUACUCUUUUAAAAUUACAAAUUCAUAUGUAAACCUUCUAAGUUUUAUUGUAUUUUUCUUCUACUUUGUGGUUUGACACUAUUUCUAACAUGUUUUUUACUUUUUUUGUUUGAUUCACCCAUAAACAUUGAACCAUAUUUUAUCUAUUUUUUAAAUGAAGUUUUUUGAGUUUUAAAUUUUUUGGUUACUUAUUAUUUCGAAGUUAUAUUUUGAUACUUUAUAAAUUAUUUAUGGGUCCGCCGCAUAGGCAGACCCAAAAAAGAUUAAAGCAGGUCAACUGGUCUCUCUAGAAUUUUAUAUUCGCAUUGUAACCCAUUAAAAUUUAUGAUAUUAUUUAUAUUUCUAUUGUUUUUACCUUUAAAAUCACUAAUUCUUAUGUAAACAUUUAAAGAUUUAUCGUGUUUUUCUUCUACUUUGUGUUUUGAUACUAUUUCUUUGUUUUCAACUUUUUUGUUUGAUUCACCCAUAAAUAUUGAACCAAAUUUUGGUGUUUUUAAAAGAAAUGAAGAUUUUUUUAGUUUUUUAAUUACUUAUUAUUCAAGUUAUAAUUUGAUCCUAUAAAAAGUAUUUUGGAUCCUUGACUUGAAAUGUAAAAUUAACGGGUACAAUGUGAUAGUUAAUAUCCUAAACAUUAUAUGACACAUGCCUUUGAUACGGGUAAAUAGAUAUAAAUAUAGGUGUUGUUAUAUCCAUAUAAUAUAUAUUUUUUAAUUUCGUAAAUGUCUCUAACUUAUCACUCUAAAUUAUGAUUGAUUCAAGAAGAUACUCAUUUUAAAUUUUUUUGGUCGAAUUUCAAAAAUUUUGGUAUGCUUGAUCUUUAAAAUUUAAAUUUAAUUUUAAAAAAACAAAUUUUGGUCGCGCAAGGCGCGGGUGGCUCACUUAGUCUCAUAUUAUUCCUUCACGAAUCUGGACUUAUUACAUUUUCGUUUAUAAAAGGAACGUUAAUACCCGGUUCAUUCCAGUUUACAGACUCAAUCAUAGUUAUUCUAAACCAUACUCUAAUAAAAACCAAAUUAGUCAAACUGACCCAAAUCAGAAACAAAACGAACCAUAAAUAAAUCGAAAUGCACAUCACUAGCAACUUUUCUAUAAAAGUGAAAGUGGGUGGACAGACACUUGGGUAGAAAACCCAAGAGAUGAGUGGCUUCCACGUCAUCCUUUACAGUGAUCCUCGCACGCAUGUAUAACACUUAUAUCAGUCAAAGUCAUUAUUUUAAUCAAUGGACCAUUUCCAACUUAACUUUAACUUUAAUGAUGCCAGCUUUGUGUCACACCACUUACUAAUAAACGUAGAAAUAUAUCCAAAAAUGAACUAAAACACUACUCUGGAAAUAUUAAAUAUAGAAAACCAAAGAAUUGGAACAGUUCAUCGGGAAGGGUUUUGGGACCCUAGAGAAUCCAUGGCUAUCACUCUCACUAAUUUCACUGUAAGUACACUAUUUCUUUACUUUCUCUAUGGUUUGUUGAUGAUGAAAAAUUUAUCAAUCUUUGUCUCAGUUUCUCUAUAUGGAUGCAAACCUGAAACGUUUAGGCGACAUAUAUCCUUCCUUGAACUUCAUGGGUUUAUAGGAGUUUGCGUAUGUAUAUAGAUACAUGAAUGCUCAAUUUUGGAUUGUUGUUCCUUAAGAAUGAUUACAGUUUUAGGGUUUGGAGCAAAUGUAGUUACUCUUCUUCUGAUUCUGAUUCUCACCAUAACGAGAAGAAAUGGUAGAUGUAACAGAAGGGUAAGAGUAAGCCUAAUUUUCUACUUUGGUUUUGGUAAAAAAAAAGAACUGAUUCGUCCUCAUUUGAUUUUCUUUAUUAGAAAAGCUACAUUGAGAAGUGUUUGUUGUAUGUAACACCUGCACUUGGAGCUUGUUUGUCAUGUGUGGACUUGGUGUUACUUGUGAGAACAAACCGUAGGAGAGAAGUCAUUCUCUGUUUUGUCCCCUUGUCUGGUUUCGUAAUGUGGGUAAGCUUCUUGUUACCAAACACGAACAGAACUCUGUCUUUGUCUUUCUCUUUUGUUUCUGCUUUGAAGGUUUUUUUUACCUUGUAGAUUGCCGUCAUCCUCUCAUUGAAGUUUGCUUGUUGUGCGUGCCACGUUUUCACUAGCCAGAUUCUAUGUUUCUGGUGGAUCUUUAGAUUCCUAACAGAUGCCCUUCAUCUUAACAUGAUUUUCACAUUACAGGUAAUUAAGUUGUCUUUAUGAAUCUGUCACAUUCUCCAUAUAAGUAGAGUUGGUUAACCGAAUUUGGAGCGUGUACAGGAGAUUUGCCUCAUCAUGUUGGACAUUGCUUUUGGUAUCUCUAUUAAUGUCCUCAGGAUAAAGCAGGCACAUCCCAAAAUCAUGUAUAUGCUUUAAUAUGGUUCUCUUAUUUAAUAUUUUUUUCCUUUUCAUUUCUUGUUUAAUUCCUUAUUCUCCUUGUAGUCCUUUGGAAGAUCCACUUAUUGAAGACGACGAUGAUCAAAAGCGCAUUGUACGACGUCUCUUCCUUGUAACUAACUAGUUUAAAGAGUAGUUAAAGACCAAUAGAUUUGUUCAUUCUUUGAAGGAGAAAAAUGGAAGCUGGUGGGACUUAUUCACUUUUGGGUACAUUGGUUCAAUAAUGAAACAUGGCUCGGUGAAGCAGCUAGAAUUGGAAAAUCUACUUACACUACCACCUGAAAUGGAUCCUUUUACAUGUUGUGAGAAUUUAUUGAGAUGUUGGCAACUUCAAGAGUGUAAUAAUUACUCAACUCCAUCACUAAUUUGGUCAAUAUAUGGUGUAUAUGGAUGGCCAUAUUUUCGUCUUGGACUGUUAAAGGUACGUUGCUUAUUUGACUUUCUUAUAUAAUCUUUGUUAAUAUUGCUACUACAAAACAUGAAUUUUGCAGGUGUUCAAUGAUUGCAUUGGAUUUGCUGGACCCUUACUUCUCAACAGACUUAUCAAGUAUCUUGAAAAAGGUUGAGAAUCUUUUUAAAGAUUUAGUAAAUAUGAUUACUAAUGGAAUCAUUGACACUGUUUAUAAACUAAACAGGUUCAGGAAGUUCUGUUGGCUAUACACUUGCUAUCUCCUUGGGCUUCAUAUCUAUCUUUAAGUAAAUAUAGUGCAUAGUCAUCAUAUUUCUACAUUUUUUUGUCAUCUCAAAUGUGUUCCAAGUGUAGCAAUAGUUACUAGGCACUUGUGAUGUAUGCUUUUUUGUCUUGUAGGUCUUUUCUUGAUACACAAUACACGUUUCGUCUUUCAAAGCUGAAACUCAAGCUACGGUCUAGUAUAAUGAGUGUCAUCUACAGGAAGGUAAAACAUGUGAAAAGUGAAAACUUUUAUUGUGAGUGGUAGUAAUUGGUUCCAUAAUUUCUUGAAAGUGAACUAUUAUCACAAGAAUUUUGUAUAUAUACAGUAUGGUUUUGGAAAUUUGUGCUUUGCUUCAGCGAGUAUUCGGUUAAAGAUAUCGAUAUCUCCUUGCCGUUACUACAAACGGAGACGCACCUUUUGAGUAUACGAUAUAUAACUUCAUACAUAGUAUCAAACGUUUUGGUUCUUUUGGUAAAGAGCUGUUUUUGUUUAUGAAAUUAUAUUGUAUGCAGUGUUUGUGGGUGAACACAGCAAACCGGUCAGGAUUUUCUGAAGGCGAGAUUCAAACAUUUAUGUCGGUAGAUGCUGACCGCAUUGUUAACUUGUGCAACAGUUUGCAUGACUUGUGGAGGUAAGAACAUUUGCCUGUAAACAAUGAAAGUGCUUCCAAUAUUGAGUAACAAUAAAUUGGCCACUCUUACAAUUUUUCAUUCAAAUAUAUGUCUCAGCCUGCCUUUGCAAAUUGGGAUAGCUUUGUAUCUUUUGUAUACUCAAGUCAAGUUUGCUUUUCUUUCUGGACUUGCAAUCACCAUCUUGCUGAUACCAGGUACCCAGUUUACAUUAUCGUAACUACAAUAUAGAAUGCCCAUUUUUUUCUUUUGAAUAUCUGGAAGUGUAAGCCCAAAGGCCAUACAUCUCCUAGAGGCGAGACCCACACCAUUUUAGAUUCAUCUCCUUUGAAAAAGAAAUCCCUCCCAACGUGCCUCGAACCUAUCACCUCCACGGAGAUUUAGUAUUGGGCCAAUAGCUCGUUGGUGAUGCCAGUUUUUCUCAUUUUCCCUUUUUUUUUGGCAGUGAAUAAAUGGAUAUCGGUGCUGAUUGCAUCUGCAACAGAGAAAAUGAUGAAGCUUAAAGAUGAGAGGUGUGAGAAAACGUUUAGUAAGUGUUGAUCAUAAGAGGGAUGUUAGUAGUAAUUUCUCACAUUGUAAAAAGUUUUGUUAUCUAUCAGGAUUAGAAAAACAGGAGAGCUUUUAACAAACAUACGCACACUUAAAAUGUAUGGAUGGGAUAACUGGUUUGCUGAUUGGUUGAAGGAAACAAGAGCCACCGAAGUGACUCACUUAGCGGUUAGGUCUUCGUAUCCUUCCUUUUGCUGUUUUGUCCAAGUACUUUGUAUUAACGUUUAAGUCUUCGUUUGGCUUUUCUAGACUCGGAAGUAUUUAGAUGCUUGGUGUGUUUUCUUUUGGGCAACAACACCAACUCUUUUUUCUCUUUGCACUUUUGGUCUCUUUGCUCUGAUGGGUCAUCAACUUGAUGCAGCAACGGUACUUUUUGAAUCUGCUCUAUAACAUUUUCUGAUUCAAAUAUGUAAAAUUUUCUUGACAAUCCUGUUUUUUUUUUUCCAGGUGUUUACUUGUCUUGCUUUGUUUAAUAGCUUAAUCUCUCCAUUAAACUCGUUUCCAUGGGUCAUCAACGGUCUCAUUGAUGUAAGAUUAUCUUUCGAUCAUAUUAAGAAGCAUUUUUAUCUACCAUUUUAGUUAUAUAUCAUUUUUGUUACCUUGUUGCAGGCCUUUAUAUCCACCAGGCGUGUGAGCAAGUUCUUGUGUUGUUUGGAGCAUAGUAGAGAUUUUUCUAUAGAUUCUGGAUUUACAUCUGAAGACUUAGCUGUAUGUGUGGAAGAUGCAUCUUGUACUUGGUCAAGUAACGUAGAAGAGGAUUAUAACUUGACAAUAAAACAAGUAAGCCUAAGAGUGCCAAAGGGAUCUUUUGUUGCAGUUAUCGGGGAGGUAUACGAAUCGUCCCCACCGUUAGAGCUGCAUAGUUCGAUUAAAUUAUGAUUAGGUGUUUCUUAAACUCUUUUUGUUUGCUUAAUUUUCAGGUUGGUUCAGGUAAAACAUCGUUGUUGAAUUCACUUUUAGGCGAAAUGCGGUGUGUUCAUGGAUCUAUACUAUUAAAUGGCUCUGUGGCAUAUGUACCACAGGUUUGUAAACUGGUUAAAUACUUUCUUUUUGGUUUCCACUAUGAGAAGUCUUACAUGUACCUCACUCACCUUCAAGGUCCCAUGGCUUUUGUCUGGAACUGUACGUGAAAACAUUUUAUUCGGGAAGCCUUUUGACUCCAAAAGGUUUAGUAAGUUUGCUUCAUCAACUCUUAAAGUUAUGAUCUAGUGUAACUGAUAGACAAAGCUAGUGGUGACUUUGUUAAACUAGGUAUUUCGAGACAUUGAGUGCUUGUGCACUAGAUGUGGAUAUUUCACUUAUGGUCGGAGGAGACAUGGCGUGUAUAGGUGAUAAAGGACUAAACUUAUCCGGAGGACAGAGAGCUCGGUUUGCUUUGGCCAGGUUUGCUAUAUAUCUCCUAUGCUCUUUCACCAUCCAUAGACUUGAGUGUUGUGUUUCUGAUGAUUUUGUGUGUGCUUUAUCAAUAGGGCUGUUUAUCAUGGUUCAGACAUGUACCUUCUUGAUGAUGUACUGAGUGCAGUGGAUUCACAAGUAGGAUGUUGGAUAUUGCAAAGAGCACUUCUGGGUCCUCUGUUGAACAAAAAGACUCGUGUUAUGUGCACUCACAACAUUCAGGUCUCAAAUCUCUCUACACGUUAAAUAUUUAUCUAUCUCAAUUUAAUUUUUUCUCAUACCGUCAAGCUGUUUCUACUAUGACAGGCGAUAUCUUGUGCAGAUAUGAUUGUUGUGAUGGACAAAGGAAAAGUGAAUUGGUCAGGAAGUGUUACUGAUAUGCCCAAAUCCAUUUCUCCAACAUUUUCUUUAACCAAUGAAUUUGAUAUGUCAUCACCAAAUCACUUGACCAAAAGAAAAGAGACUCUAUCUAUCAAGGAAGAUGGUGUAGAUGAAAUUAGUGAAGCUGCGGCGGAUAUCGUCAAAUUAGAGGAACGAAAAGAGGGUCGAGUUGAAAUGAUGGUUUAUAGGUAAACAAAAUUUGCUUAACCAUGUCUUUUUUUUGUUGCCUAUAUGUAUAAGUAAGUGAUUGUUAUCUGUUUAUGCAGGAACUAUGCUGUGUUUUCUGGUUGGUUCAUUACUAUUGUAAUAUUGGUUUCAGCGGUUUUAAUGCAAGGGUCUCGUAAUGGAAAUGAUUUGUGGCUAUCAUAUUGGGUUGACAAGACAGGAAAAGGAGUAUCGCAUUACUCAACCUCGUUUUAUUUGGUAUUAAACUCGCGCAUAAAACCACGAAACGUAACUCUUAUGUCUCUGUGUUUUUCUAGUUUAAUAAUAACUACUAAUCUUGCAGAUGGUUCUCUGUAUCUUUUGCAUCAUUAACUCAAUAUUAACCUUGGUGAGGGCAUUCUCAUUUGCAUUUGGAGGAUUAAAAGCAGCAGUGCAUGUUCAUAAUGCAUUAAUCAGUAAGCUUAUAAAUGCACCUACACAGUUCUUUGAUCAGACACCAAGUGGAAGAAUACUUAAUAGGUUAGACACAAGGAAACUCUUUGAAUCAUGUGUCUUGUUCUUCAUCUUAACUUCUUUUUUUGGUUUUACUCUGUUCAGGUUUUCCUCUGAUCUAUAUACCAUCGACGACUCUCUCCCGUUUAUUCUCAACAUUCUUCUAGCAAAUUUUGUUGGCUUGUUAGGGAUUAUUGUAGUAUUGUCUUAUGUUCAGGUUUGUCUGAAACUCUUCUCUCUUUUUGCUAAGUAUUAACUCUUCUGUUUUGUUGGAGAAGUUACAUUAAUGUAUAAUAUGUAUACAGGUUCUAUUCCUGCUUCUGCUUCUGCCAUUUUGGUACAUAUACAGCAAGCUUCAGGUACAUAUACAACUUCUUGUAGCCAAUCUGAUUUCAUAUUUGGUGUCCCUUAGAGAAGAAGAAGAGUUCAAAUUUUCUACUAACUGAAAAUUGCUUCAGGUCUUCUACAGGUCUACUUCAAGGGAACUACGAAGGUUGGACAGUGUUUCACGAUCACCGAUAUAUGCAUCGUUCACGGAGACACUUGAUGGGUCAUCAACUAUCAGGGCUUUUAAGUCUGAGGUAGUUUUGGUUCUGCUUCUAAAUGUCAGGUUUUGCUUCUCCAUUAAUGACAAAACUGUAUGCUAAUUCCGGUUUGCAUGACAGGAGCAUUUUGUAGGUAGAUUUAUUGAGCAUUUGACGCUAUACCAGCGGACUUCUUACUCAGAGAUAAUCGCAAGCUUGUGGCUCUCCUUGCGUCUUCAGGUACACUAAUACAUCUUUGCUUACAUUUUGUAGAACAUUUUUCAUUCACCUUUUGAGAAUUGGUAACAAUGUUUAGUUUCAUGUGUCUGCAAUAAAUAUGGAAAUCUCGAAAAAUCGCUGAUAAGUUGAGUAAAAUGGUGCAGUUGUUAGGAUCAAUGAUUGUCUUAUUUGUCGCUGUAAUGGCUGUCCUCGGCUCCGGGGGGAACUUUCCAAUCAGUUUUGGUACACCUGGACUGGUAAGAAACUGCAGUUUUCAUAAAUAUAUAGGAAAGUGAAAAGCAUACUAUUUAUAAUUUGGAUCACAGGUGGGAUUAGCGCUCUCAUAUGCAGCUCCAUUGGUUUCUCUGUUAGGAAGCUUGUUAACAAGUUUUACUGAAACAGAAAAAGAAAUGGUUUCUGUUGAAAGGGUUCUCCAGGUAAUGAUUCUGAUUCUUUUUUUGGUUUGUCAACCGAAAUUAAUUGCAGCUCAAAAGAGCCAUUCCUGAGGAAUGUUGUUUACAUAUAUGAUAUGAUGUGGUUCGGUACAAAUUCGUCGUGCCAAAUUAUCCACUUCUACAUUCGCACUACGAGAAAUCAAAGAUAAAGAUAAUGAUUCUGAUUCAUUAAGUAAUUUUUGUAUGUUAGUGUUACUAAUUACAUGAACCAUGCUCUCCUGUGUUAUUAGUACAUGGAUGUGCCUCAAGAAGAAGUUUCAGGUCCUCAAUCUCUCAGCGAUAAGUGGCCUGUUCACGGAUUAGUUGAGUUUCACAAUGUGACAAUGAGAUACAUCUCAACUCUGCCUCCGGCCCUCACCCAAAUUUCUUUUACAAUCCAAGGAGGAAUGCAUGUACGUGUAUCGCCGAGCACUCUACAACAGACUUGACUUUUUCUGUUUUUAUCUUUUCUCCCAACAUAUACAAUUUAUAUGAAGUUAUCGGGAAGAGACUAUCCGCUAGAGAGAGCACUCUACAACAGAAUUGACUUUUUCUGUCUCAUGAUUGUUUUGUUUUCAUUUAUCAGGUAGGAGUAAUUGGAAGAACUGGUGCCGGGAAGUCCUCGAUCUUGAAUGCGCUUUUCCGGCUUACUCCUGUUUGUAGUGGAGAGAUAUUGGUGGAUGGAAAAAACAUAAGCCAUCUUCCGAUAAGAGAACUCCGUUCUUGCCUCGCUGUUGUUCCUCAGAGCCCUUUUCUGUUUCAAGGAUCACUGAGGUGAGAACUUAACUCCUUCAAUUCACUAACCAAAGGUGUUGCCUGCAGUUUCAUAAUGAAAAAAAGUUGUGGUUCUCGUAGGGAUAACCUUGAUCCUCUUGGGUUGAGUGAGGAUUGGAGAAUCUGGGAGAUCCUAGACAAGUGUAAAGUUAAGGCAGCGGUAGAAAGUGUAGGAGGGUUAGAUUCAUAUGUAAAGGAAUCUGGUUGUUCCUUUUCUGUUGGACAGAGACAGCUUUUGUGCCUUGCUCGUGCUUUGCUCAAGUCAUCUAAGAUCCUAUGCCUUGAUGAAUGCACCGCCAACAUCGAUGUUCACACAGCUUCCCUACUCCACAACACGAUAUCGAGUGAAUGCAAAGGCGUAACCGUCAUUACCAUUGCUCACCGCAUUUCUACGGUUGUUGAUUUAGACAGCAUCCUAAUUCUUGAUCGUGGAAUUCUUGUUGAACAAGGAAAACCACAACAUCUUUUGCAAGAUGACUCCUCAACUUUUUCAAGCUUUGUCAGAGCUUCUCAGUGAAAUGUUGUUAGAAUCUGAUCACUUGUAACUUCUGAUCUCUGCUAUAAUUAUCUUGUCAUGGAAAUUAAGAAAAACUAGUUUCAACUGUAGUAGCUCAUUUAUAUGCUCAGUUUUCCAUAAUAAAUGAGUCUUCAUGGACUUGCCUAAUCCAAAUUCAUAAAUAUCUAUCUAAUUCGAUGGUGAUUGAGAACUGAGAAGUAAACAAUGGUACUCUUAUUGUCUGUUUUUCUUCCAAGAAGUUAGUUCAGAAGGAAUUGAUUCUUCAUUGCAACUUAAAACAGCUUUAGCCAUGAGUUUCCCAAGCUAUGCAUGAUAGAGUAAAGUAAUUGGCCAAAAAUAUGUUAAAUAGAGAAGCAAUUAUCUCUCAACAACACAAGAACAAAAUGAAAUUGAGAGAUUCCGGGAGCUUCAGAACCAGUUCAAAAUUCAACAACAUACUAGUUUUGUAACCCGAACCAGUUUAAAAGAAGAACAUUUUGAGUCAAGUUCAACCAUGGUUAUUUAUUUCAUUUUUUUUUCAAGGUAACAACAUUCUACUAAUAACAACAUUAAGAAAAUUUUAAUUUACAUAUACGUUCAGAUUACACUUUUACUUUAUCAACUAUUCUAUCUGCAUCUUUACUUUAACUAUCGGCACUAGAUUAUACCAUUCAGCAAUCUUCAAACGCUUUCCUAACAUUGGCGUGACAUUUUAACUAAGGACAACAAAGGUGGAGAAUACAUUAGUUUGAAGCAAGCGUAAAAGUUUACUAAGAAUCUUCAUCAAAUACACAUGACAUAAGCUUCUCUUUCUACUUUUUGCCUACAAAUUAACUUGAUAAUAUUAAAUAUUUUGUUUUGUUUGGUCAUCGCUGCUACUAAAGAAGAGAGAUUGCAUGCCUAGACGAUCAAGCUUUGCGGACAAUAGAACGUCUCUCUCGCUGGUACUCAACUUCACCUCUCUGGUGCAUUAUCAACAAAGCUCUCCUCACCUGCCAUUUUAACAUGCACAUUACCUCAAAAAUCCCAUUCACAUUACUGAAAAUUAAACAACAAAGAUGUUAGCUUAGGUACCAUUGAAUCGUUCAUUCCCAUUCUAGCCAGAUCCUCUAUCAGUCUUCUCUCUGAUAAUCGAGCUCCGAUCCCCAUUCUUCUCUUUAUCUGUGUUUCCGCUUGCUGUUUUUUCACACCAAUACCAAAUUUAGUUAUUACAUCUAGAGAUACGAUGAUUCUUUCUUCCCCACAAGCAACUAACCUUGAUUUCAUUGGCCAUCUCGCCUGUUAUGUUUAUCUGUUGAUUUAUCCCUGAUCUUGCUGCAUCCAUUGUCGAGGUAUCAAAAAGUUUAAAAGCUUUGUCUACAUCAUCUGGUGUGGCCUCGUGUGACCUGACAUAUUUAACAAUGUCAAUGGACGGCACAUCCCAUCAGGUUUCAGGAAUCAGGAAUCUCUAUGUUAAUAAGAUUACUUACAGUCUCAUUUUUGCAAGUGACUCACUCAGUCUGACAAUAGCUUCGAGUUGUCUCACUGUGAUAGGUAUCGGAGCAGCCUCUCCUGUUUCAUGUGCACGUCUCUUCAUAUCCUGUUUAGCCGAAAAUUUUAUACUGACACCAACUUUGUUUUUUAACCAUCUUAUUGUCAAAUCUAAUGUAAAUGACAAUUACCAUUCUGAUUGUGACAUAUUUCCGCUGCAGGUUCUCAGCAGCGUCUUUUGAGAGACGGGGAUGACACCUUGCUCGACAGUAUUGUAUAUACCUAACAUAAAAAGAGCAUUAUAUUUUAGAGUCAUGAUUUUGUACAGAAAACUGCGAGAACACAUUGUUUUCUCGACGAAUGAAAACACACCUUUUGAGCCAAUUAUCUUCUUUAGAAUCUGUGUUUUCAUCCGAAAAUUUGUUUGCAGAUGCAUGAACCCUUAUAAUAUGGCUGGCUAUUUCCUGUGAAAAGAUUAUAAACAUUAAUCAUGUCUACAUAAUAAGCAAGCAACGAAGCAAACUUUCCAAUAACAGUGACCUCCAUCAUUAAUCUCUGUUUUCCCUUUUAACUACAUAAAAUUUCUGAAAGAAUUGUUCCUUUCCUUGCUUACCUUGUCUUGGGAAUACUUCCUGAUGUCCUUGACAAUGAAGAUAAGAUCAAAUCUAGAAAGAAUUGUUGUCUGCAGAUCGAUAUUGUCCUGAGCAGUCUGCAAAUCCAAAGAAAAAAAAACACACCCAUCUCUUAAGAAUAUUGCAAACAAGAAUCGGGAAAACCAUGAUAUUGCCAAAGGAGAGUACCAGAUUUCAAACCUUAAGGUCAUCAUAUCGACCAGAUGGCGGGUUAGCAGCAGCAAGCACCGAGGUUCUAGAAUUAAGGACAGUUGUUAUCCCAGCUUUUGCAAUGGAGAUUGUCUGCUGCUCCAUUGCCUCAUGAAUAGCAACCCUAUAAAGAAAAAAAAAACAUUCCAUCAAUUCUACUCAUAGAGAAAAAUUAGAUUCGUCAACACUAUGAUUCAGAUUUGAAUUACCUAUCUUCCGGUCUCAUCUUGUCAAAUUCAUCAAUACACACAACACCUCCAUCAGCCAAAACCAUAGCACCACCUUCAAGAUAGAACUCUCGCUGCAAUGAACAUAUGUAUAAAUAACUGAGAAUCUGUCAUAGCAACUACUUUUAAACAAAUCAUAGAAAAACACUUGAAGAUAGGACAUACAGUGCUGCUAUCUCGAAUCACCGAAGCUGUGAGCCCAGCAGCCGAUGAACCCUUUCCAGAUGUAUAAACAGCAAUUGGAGCCGUCUUCUCCACAAACUUAAGAAACUAGAGAGAAAAAAAAUAAGCAAUUAAGCUUUAAACAUGUAAGCUACAGGUGUUGGAAAUAACACAGACAUUUUGUAAGGAUUGUAAUCUAACACUUGAACAGAAGGAUGUAAGACGAAUAUCAAGCAAAUAAGAGAGACGUAAGAAAAUAUAAAAAGAAUAACACACUUAUUAUAAACCAUUGAUACUGAGACCACAUUACAAACCUGUGAUUUUGCAGUUGAUGGGUCUCCCAAAAGCAAAACAUUAAUAUCACCUCUUAGUUUCACUCCAUCGGGCAGGCUCUGAAUCAAAGAUAGAAAUGUAUAUAAAUAUAUCAAAAACGUAUACAAAGUGCACAGAAAAUAAAAACUGCUAUCACAGUUUCCUACCUUCCUGGAUCCUCCAAAGAGAAGACACGCAGCUGCUCUCUUCACAUCCUCAUGGCCAAAUAUAGAAGGAGCGAUCUUGGUGCAAAUGUUCUUGUAUACAUCUUGACUAUCAGCAAACUUUUUGAAUUCUUCCUCCUAAAAGUAAUAUUAUGGAAGACAAAACUGAUAAAUGGAAUUGUACAACUAGGCUUCCAAGCAGGCCUAAAUGUUUCAUAGUAAACUAGUAGCACAGAGAAUAUUUCCAGAAAACACCAUCACAUUCAUUUGGGAGUUACACAAAGAAUUUCAUAGAGCCAACAGCUACCUAAGGCAUUUGGUUUCCAGUAACAAUAAUUCAGCCAUGUUAACUUCAAUAGUUCAUUGUGAAACCAUGGAUGACAUAGGCUAUCAAAUGAGAAAACAAAAAGAACCAAAUGAUGCGAUACUAACUUCGUCAGGAGUGAAGUUGGCAGGGCCACGGGAACUGGCCUCAUUUGUGUCUUCCAGUCCAACAACUCGGAUAUAAGGCUGGCGAAUUGCAACUGCUCCUUUAUGCCUACAUCAGAAAGUAGGAAAAGAUGUCCAUCAUUGUUGUGGUGUAACUCUCCCAGAAAACAAUCUACACUCUCAUUUGACAUAAAACUACAAAGCUUACGAGUUAGAUGAUGACGAAGCUUGGAAAAUGCUGUAGAUACCCAUUACUGUCAGUCUGGUUCCAGGUACAAUUGUUUGUACAAGAUGCCGAUCAACUGAGAGAAGCAUAUUUCUUGGAAGCUCUCCAGUAGGAACAUCCUUCAAAACUCAGAAGCAUUUAAUAUAUACAAGUGCAAAAAAAGCGAAAACAUUACAAUGUAAAUCUAUACCUCCGGAUUCUCCUGUAGCUUUAAGGUCUGUUGAUCAACAUACUGGCUCCUAUCAGGAACCACCAUCCAAGGAUCAAGAGGGCAAGGCUCCUCUCCAGGCUAAACAAAUUCCAAUUUGGUCUAAUCAACACCAAGGAUAACUACAAACUCAAAUCACAAACGAAUCAAAAGAACUCACCUGUGGAAUAUUAUCACAUGAUCGAGGAACAAUUGCCCCACCAAGACCCGGACGACAUGGAACUUCCCUUGUCUUUUUACAAUUCUUACAUACCAAAAACACAUAAGUCGCCUUUGCUUUCACUCUCGAAGCUGCAAUACUAAUCCCAGAGAUUUUCACCAACUUUGAGAUGUACUGUGCCUAUCAAGAGUAAAGAGUACAUUAUAGACAUACCCCAAGUAAUCUCAUUGAUACUAAAAACAAAAAAACAGACAUACCCCAAGUAAUCUCAUUGAUACUGGAUCCUCUCUUGAAGUGAGCAAAAUCUGCACAUCUCUAGUCAGAGGUUCCUCCAUUACCCCUCCCUCAUUAGCCUCCCUCAUUUUCAAUCCAGUCAACACUUCACCAGCUGCUUUCUCAAACUACAAUUCAAAGAUUGACUCACUCAAUACAAAGCUUAUAUGAACCCUAAUUUUUUUUGAAGUCAUACCACAGGGAGAUAAUCGGCAGGAGCAGAUCGGAUUAAGGAGGGGAGAUCGGAAUCAAAGGAGAGGAGAUCUUCGAGGUGGACAACAAGUCGCUUAGGGUUAUCGAGGAGAGCUUCUCUGUAGGGGAAACAAUUCUGUUCGAUCUCGAAGUUUCGAAUGAAUUCCUUAAAUUUGGUUAAGACGGCGUGGGGACUGAUGGUUGCGGCGUCUCCGGCCUCCGGGAACUGCGGCUGGUCGCUGUAGUAAACUGCUCCUUCGUCCCAUCCUGACAUCGUUGCUUCGUCUCCGUUACGAAUUUCUCUAUCUCUUUCUCUCUUAUCAAAAAGUUCUAAACGAAGAGAGAGAGUGGGGGCAAGGGCUUUAUGUCGACUAUGAGUUUUGGCGGGAACAAUGUGGCGGGAAACUGAUGGGCCGAACCCAAGACCUAUGGACGGGUAAAUGGAUUUCGUUGGUUAUUGGGUCUUUCUUUCUUUUUCUUUUUAGCUAAGGUUACAUUUUUUAUCCAUUUUUUCUAAUUUAUUAUAAAAAACCAAACAGAUAAAAAUAUAAUUAUGGACUACAUCUAGGAAUCUUAAAUUUAUGAAUUGCACAUUUUAGAAUUUCAUAUUUUUAAGCUACUUAAUAUCGUUGUAAGCAUUUUCAAUUCCAUCGUAAUUUUCUUCAAUGUCACUUAAAAUUUAAGGCUAUAUUAAUAUAUAUGUUUAAAAGAAUAGUUUUUAGUUUUAUAACAUUAAUAAUUUGAAAAUUAAGUAACUAUAAAAAAGAAAAGAAAAAUCAACCAUAUAUAUCCUUCUCAUUUACGUUAAUUACAGAAAUGUCAUUAACAUGAUAAAUGUUUUUGAGAAUAUUAGGUAAUUGGACACUUUUUUGAAACUCAAUUACGCAAUAAAGCACUUUAGAAAGAGUAAACACUUUUUAAAGUUUUUUUACUACUACACCAUCAACCCAACCUAAGCAAUCCAAACUUACCAUAAUUUACAACCAUUACUUUUUCUCUCUUUUCAUUCAUUUUUUUCUCUACUCUUUACAAAAUUAAACACACAAAACACUUAAAAUAUCUUAAUGAAAAAAGGAAAUGGUUUGAGACAUUAUCUCUCUUCUCUCUCAUCAAAAACACCAAAAAGUAGAUCUAGAUUUUUCUUUUUUCUUUCUCUUCUUAGAUCUUAAAAGUUGGAAAUUUUCAAGAUUUUUAUUCAGUUUCUCAUUCUUUAAUCAACCUCAUAAGGUUAAAAUUUUCAUUUUUAAUUGCUAGGUUUCUUCUUCUCUUAGUGUAUCCAUCAUUGUCUUGGUCAAAUUUUUGUCUUUUUACAAAUCUUAGAUUUGGCCACCAAAUAUUUGUGGAAAUUCCUCAAAGAGAGAGAGAGAGUUGAAUUAAAGAACCCAAACAUAUAUUCUUACUAUAAAUUUGUAACUUAAAGGUAGUUUGAUGCUAUUUUCAUUAAAACACAUGAGCAAAUAAUGAAAAAAUGGAAAAAAUACAAAACAAAUCAAAGAAGAGUGAUAGGCGAUAAUUUGAAAUGACCACAUGGUCAGAGUUUGGUGGAUGUGUGUUGACGGUCGAUAAUUCAAAAUGAUUGUGUUUUGUUAAUACUAUUCAUAAAACCAGUGUUACGUUAUGUAAAAGAUGUUGAUAAAAUGUGAUGAAACAAGUUUUGUUGGUCAUAUCAACAAAAGUUUAUUUAUGAAAAUGUUUAUAUUUAUUUAUCCACGAUUACAUAUUAACAAAACAUAAAUACGAGUGUAUAUCGUAAGAUUGUGUAUGAACACAUCGAUCUCAAUAAUAUUUUACGUUUUCAGGUUAAGAAGCGUGCUUUAGAUUAUCAUGGAUCAAAAGUGGUGGUUAUAGAUUAUGUACAUAUAAAACUUAGGUUUUAGGGUUUAGGCUUUAAAGUCAAGGGCUAGGGUUUAAUGUCUAGGGUUUAAGAUUUAGUAUCUAGUGUUUACAUUUUAGGAUUUAGGCUUUAUUGUUUAGGAUUUCGCGUUUAGUUUAGAUGAUUUAGGGUUUUGGGUUGAAGAAUCAAAGUUGUCUACAAUGAUUUAGGGUUUAUGGUUACAUGUUUCUCAUUGGAGAUUAUAUAUUCCAUUGUUGUCCAUAUGGAUUGGAUAAUAUGGAUUUUCUAUCUCAAUUUGUUUAUAUUUAGGGGAUUUAUGUUUAAUAUUUAUGGACAACAACAAGAAGUUUUAAAGUGAAGAUCUUAGAAUUUAGGGUUUAGGGUUUAGGGUAUACGUGAUAUGGUAUAUGUAUAUUGUUAAGGGUUUAGUCUUUAUGGUUUAACAGGUUUAGGGUUUAAUAUCAAGGGUUUAGAGUUUAGGGUUUAGGGUUUAGGGUUUAGGGGUUUAGGGUUUAGGAUUUAGGAUUUAGGAUUUAGGAUUUAAGAUUUAGGGUUUAGGGUUUCGGGUAUAAAUUUAGGGGUUAGGGUUUAAUGUUUAGAGUUUAGUAUCUAGUGUUUAGGGUUUUAGAUUUAGUGUUAAGGAACUAUGAUUGUUUACAAUGAUUAUAGAGUUUAUUGUAGAUGGUAUAAGGUUUAGGGUUAAUUGACCAUGGUCAUAUACAAUUAUUUUUGGGUUUAGGGUUAUAUGCUUCUUGUUAGAUUAUAUAUUUCCAUUUUGAUCAUAUGAAUUAAAUCAUAUGAAUUUUUUAUGUUCUCAAUUGGUUUAUGUUUAGGGGAUUUAUGCUUAAUAUUUAUAAGCAAUAAUAAGAAGGUUUAAAAUUUAGGGUUUAUAUGGUAAAUGGUAUAUGAUAUAUUUCUAUGGUUAAGGGCUUAGUGUCUAUGGUUUAAAGUUUAGGGUUUAUGGUUUAGGUGUUUAAGGUUUAGAGUUUAGGGUUUAGCGUUUAGGGUUUAAAGUUUAGGGUUUAGGGUUUAGGGUUUAGGGAUAAGAGGUUUAAGCUUAAUAUUUAUGGGCAACAUUAAGAAGGUUUGGGAUUUAGGGUUUAUGGUAUAUGGUAUAUGGUAUAGGGUAUACGUAUAUGGUUAAGGGCUUAGUGUUUAUGGGUUAAAGUUUAGGGUUUAGGGUUUAGAUAUAGAAGUUAGGGUUUAAUGUAUAGAGUUUAAUAUCUAAUGUUUAGGGUUUAGAAUUUAGUGUUAAGGAACUAUGAUUGUUUAUAAUGAUUUUAGAGUUUAUGGUUAUAUGGUUCUCAUUAAAGAUUAUAUAUUUCAUUGUUGUCCAAAUGGAUUAAAUCAUAUGGAUUUUUUGUUUUCUGAAUCUGUUUAUGUUUUGAUGAUACAAUAAAUAAUAGUAUGAAUAAAUAUAGUAAUAUGGAUUUCAUGAAGGAAAAAAUGUUAUUAUUAUAUAUUUUAUAAAAAAUGAUUUUUAAUCAAAUAGAGAAUGUCUUAAAUUAAAUAAAAAUUAAAUAACAAAAGGAAGAGAGAGAAGAAAUUGACAAGAAAGAUAAGAAAGUGAUAGAUAGAGAAAAUAUGUUUUAUUUAUUUAAAUUUGACGGUCAAGAUUAAAAGAGAUUAACUUUACCUUUCAAUUCGAUGGACGAGAUGAUUCCGUCAAAACCAUUUCUUAACCAUGCUACUUGAUUUAAGGUGAAGAGAAUAAGGGGUAAACUGGUAUUGAUUUUUUUAAAAUAGUGAAAAAACUCCAAAAAAGUGUCUAUUCUCUUCAAUGUGCCCUAAAUGCACUAAAAACUUGGAAAAUGCCCCAAUCAUGAAAGAAGCCCAAUUUUUUCUGACGUAAUAUGUGGCGACACAGUUCAUAAACCGCUCGAUAACACUGCUCACAUGCGACCGAAACACUAUUCAUCAGAUGAUAUAGUAAAACAUCAUAUGAUUUAAGCAUUUAUCUAUUUGUUUUAUAUGCUAAAAAAUAUGAUAUCGCGAUAAGUUUACUUUUAAACAAAUCUUUUAUCGACCUAGAAUUGAAAAUUAAUAUAUUUUUAUUUAUGUAAAUAUCAGUUCAAUUUAAAGAAUUAGUUUAUUUCUUACAUAAUUAAUAUAAUAGCAGUUAAAACAACAUGUUAUAUAAAAUAAUAACAUGCUAACAUAUUUAAUAUCUAGAUAAUAUUUGUAUGAACGUGCCAUCUCAAUCCACGUUUUCAUUCACGCCACCUCUUUUUUUGUCAACUCACCAAUACUGAUUUUAAUAUCUUUGUUUCGAUUUGAUUUUAUGUUUCCAUUAUUAUUCUUAUAGUUUUGUAUCGUCAGAAAUUAAAUAAAAGAGAAACAAAAGAAAGAAAAAAAGAAAAGAGAGAAAAGGGGUAAAAGAGUCAAAAAGAGGAUGAUAAAAAGAGGAUAAACAAAAAAGAGGAUGAUAGUGACAUGUGCACAGUGAUCAAGUGGUCAACCUAAUUAAUGAGUCGUUCAUGUAUAUCUAUUGAUAUUACCCUAAAAUUUAAAGAUGUGAUUCAACUAAAUAAAAUAAGUUUAUUACAAAAAUAUAAACUUUUUAUUACCUUCUAAAUUCACAAAACCACGUAGUCAAUUUCAAGUAUAAAGCAAGGUUUUGACAAUUUUUAGAAUAAGACAAUUUUUUUUACAAAGAUUUAACCACUUACAUCCAAUACUAAACGAUGAUUUUGUUACUAUUGUGGUGAUUAAAAUGCUAAACACAUAAAGACGCUCAUAACCUCCAUGUACGUUAAAGACAUCAAAUCUAAAUAUUUUUCCAAAUUUGAUGUUGUGUUGUCAAAACCAAGCUGGAUGCUCCUCUUAACAUCAAAGAGAUCAUGUAUGAUAUAGACAUACUAAAUUAAACAAGUAUGAUUAUUAUACUAUGAACUUGAAAUGUGAAUUGAUUUAAGAAUUUACACCCACAACCUCAUAUCUAUCCCAUAACUAGAAUGGUAAUGUACUAAUCCCGAUAAUUUAGCAAACUUGAAUUAAAUCUUCCUAGCCAUCUCUUCUACUCUCAAAUCACUAAUAAGGUUCAAAUUACCCUAGAACUACUCUCUCAUAUAAGAGAUCAAUUGCAGUAUUUAAGGAUCGAAUUCACAAAGUUCUUUUGUUCAAACAAUAAGUUGAAUGUCGAGAUUAAGCUAGAAGGUGAUGAUUGAAAUAGUAAUAAAACAAAGUAAGAUAACAGCAGGUUGAUUGUGUUGUAAAAAAUUAGGAAAAGAGGUAGGAACAGAGUAUUCUCAAGAAACUAUUGGUUAGUAGAUCUAAUGAAAGCUAGGUUGUUAUCGAACCAUUCUUAAACUCAAACCCUAAUUAUGGAAUAACCGGUGGCUUUAGUACCCCGCGCAUUGACCCCAGGCAAGAAAGAAGGGCAAGAGAAGAAGAAGAGAGAAUGGUGCGUGAAAUGAAAGGAAGGGCCGAGUAUUUAUAAUCCGCGGAAGCUAGAGUAGAGCCCAAGUCUUAAAACGUGGAGCCGAAUCCAUUCGGGCAAAGCCGACUUGGUGACCAAGUUUUGUCCUGAGCAAUGCACGCCAACUUUAGCCAACUUGGUGAGCAAGUUUUGUCCCAAAGCCAACUUGGUGACCAAGUUUUGUCCCACUCCUCAUAUCCGAACCUUGAGCCUAUAAAUAGAACCUUACCCCCCCCCCCUUAGUUACACCUUAGAAGCUUUCGCACCAAAACUCUGCCCAAACCGAGAGGGAGAGAGAGAAAUCAUCCGAACCCUUAACCCGAGAGAGAGAGAGAGAUCGUCCGAACCUUAAAACCCGAGAGAGAGAGAGAGAGUCUGAGCAAGAGAUCGUCGAGCCUUAGGAUAGUCCGAAAGAGAGAUCCCGAGUAGAAACCAUCGGUCGAGUUAGGAAGAUUCAUCGGUGAUUGUGAGUUCCGGUUUUUGUUUUGCAUGUUUGAUUUUCCUUCUUGCAUGUUCUCGAUUCUCCCUUCUCUUAGUUUUGUUGUUGUUAUGGUUGAGUUUGUUGAGGUUGUUAACCUAAUAGCUAGGAUAGUUGAGACCGAAGCACCUUGCCCUAUAGGAGUGGUUGUGUUAGAAUAGCACCAUUCACUUUAGAGGGAUGGUUGCAUUGUCAAGACACUACUCGCUAGUAUUCGGGAGACAUUUAGAGAGAACUUUAUGAACAUGUGCGUUGAAAACGAACCGCAUGUUUCAUAGUGUUGAUUGGAAGAUCGUAGUGUGUGGAGCUUGAAGAGUAUCUAAGUUAACUCCAUAAGCAUGCUACGGUCAAGUGGGAUGUAUCUGACCUUUCCUUGUGAUUCUGUUCGUUCGUGGGGUGUGCUUGACGAGAUGCAAGUGACCUCAAGGGGUUCAAAGGACCUAUAGAGACUGGGUUAGCUACCCAAGGCCCGGUGUCGCUUACACGAUGGUGUAGCCAAGGUGAUGUUCCAGUUAUAUGCAUUUGUGGUUAUAACUAGGGUGUUCACGAUGUGUUGAGGAAGGCAGUGCAUUCGGGUCCUAAUUAAAACUUUAAGAAACGUUAUCUUCUUGUUGUGUUGUGUGUUGCUUACUUCCUUCUUUGUGUACUCUGAUUAUUUAUGUUAUGCAUGUGGGAUUAUGGGUGGGGAUUAAACUAAUGUUUCCUUAGGGAACCCGAGCUCAUUGAGUAAUGCUAGAUUACUCAUGACUUUACUUGUUUUGCAUGAAACCUUAGAGGGGAUUAGAGGGAGUGGUGAACACUAGGGAACCCGGAGUAGUUUUUCAAUGUCCUUUUGUAAAACUUAAAAUAUGUAUUUUCGUAUCGUGUACUUUUGGACCUCAUGCCUUGGCCACAAAAACGAUGUUUAUGUUGUGGUUUUUCCUUGUAUUUUCGUAACUCUAAAAUAAUGAAAUCGGUAUUUAUUUUAGAGUAUACGGGUUUCAAACUGAUAAGACUUUGUCCGAGUCGACACAACAUUUGGGUGAAGUGAGGGUUGGCAAGCCUAACACUACAAAAAAAUUUGAAUAUUCUUACGGAAAAAUUGCGACCAUUUUUUCGUCAGAAAAUUGUAACCAUUUUCUUACAAAAAUGUGACGUAUUUAUUUAGUCAUAAAAACGUUACUAUUUCGUUAUAAUAUUAUGUCUUAAUUGAAAGUAACUAACGUUUGUCACUAAUUAUAUUAAAUUUGUUACGAAUUAUAUAGUCAUAAAUAUAAAUACGGAUUUGCGACCAAAUAUGGUAACUAAAUUAUACAAUAAUUGUGACUAAACUUAUGUCACGUAUAGUUACGAGAGUUUUGUAACUAUCAUGUCACAAUUUGUCACUGUUUUAGUGACUUUUGCGUUUGGUCAUAGAUUGUGACAUAAUUAUUACCAAUUUUAUCACAAAAAUAAAAA
rnacentral:lncRNA from 1 species